UUUUAUUCUUUGUUAAAAAUAUAACAUUGUCUUUUAAUUAAAACAAUUUUAAUCAUCUAAUUAUAUAAUUUUCUACCCAUUAACCAUCCACAAUAAUUAAUUAGGGUCAAUUUACCAUAUAAGGCCUUCCAAUCAUGGUUUUAUAGCCAUUAAACAUUAAUAAACUCAUAGCGAUUAACUUUUGUAGCUUUUAUGAUUUAGUCCUUUUACUUAAUUAACUAUCUAAACGUUAUAAAUUUUGGACCAAACUUCAAUAUACCUAUAUAGCAACUCCGUAAAUAUGUAAUAAAAUAUUUACGAUCCCAAUUUUUAGAAAUGAGGUCCCGAAACCAUAUUUUUCGAAACCACUUGACUUUAAUGACAAACCACUUGUACUUAACUAUUCAUUCAAUUAGAAAAAAUUAACAAAUAAAAAUUUAAUAUAAUACUAUAUUUGACUCGUAAAUAUUAAAGAAUAAUAUUUAUGGACUCAUUCGUUAGGUUUGUGGUCCUGAAACCACUAUUUUCGACAACACUGAAAAAUGGGUUGUUACAAUAGAUGUAGAGGCAAUGGAAAUAAACAUAUGUACAAGUUUUAUCCAUCAAAAUAAAUUAUGCAGACUGGUUAGAUAUUUAAAAAGAAUUGGUCAUAAUCAUUCAAAUGAAUGCAAGAUAUUCACGAAUUAUUGUGUUGCUGAAUUAUUCGUGUAACACCUCUUACCCGUAUUCAUCAUCGAAACAAGUAAGAAGUGUUAUCAAACGAUCUGAAAUAUAUUUUUUUUUACAAAAAAUUUGACAUAAUUCCUUUUCAUAAACAUUCAAUUCCUCCUACAAAUUCUCGAAACACAAUUUCAAACAACUUCAAUAGUUCAACCAAAUACAAUUAUAUGUUCAGACACAAUUUAUUCAUCCACAACAUUCUAAUUACUUUGUUAAUAGUUUAAGGAAACAAUUUACAAUUAACAUACACCAACAUUUUAAACCAAACAAUAUUUUAUACAUAUAUAUAUAAAUUUAUAGCACAUUACAUUAAGUCAUCUAUACAUGCCAUUUUUCAAAGUAUUGGUUGCAAAAUACCCAAAAGAUGAUGAUGAUAGUGUGGAUGAUGUUCUGAUCCCGUCCAAUUCCCGAGCUGAUUAAUAUCACUAUAAAACAAGGGAAAAAUAAAGAAAAGUAAGAUUAUAGCUCAGUAAGUAUGUAUGUAAUUGAUAAAUAAAUUUCUAGCAUGAUACCAUAUAUAAUAUAAUUUUUAUCACACAUAAAUCUAUUAUCUAUUCAAUUUCCAGCAAACUGUUUCUCUGCAUCAUAGUCACUAAAUUAUUUUUAUCUAGAGCUACCAAACUCAAAAUUAAGAUCUGUAAAUUUUCUCUAAACCUAGACUUAUAUACCUUCUUACCAUAAAAUUUUAAGAAUUUUUGGUUUAGAUAAUUAGUACAGUUUAUUCUCUAAAUAUUCCCCUGUUUCACUACUUGACACUUCUGACAUCUCUUCACUAAAAGUCAGUUAUCUCUUAGUACAGAGUUAAAAUGAUGUUCACUUAUUUAUUUUGAAAAUAGAUUCAAUAAGAAAUUUAAUCAUGUAAAUUUCAAAAAAUAAUUAUUUUUUUACAAUUUUUAGUGAUUUUCCAAAGUCAGAAUAGAGGAUUUCGAAAUCAUUCAGACCUUGUCUCACUAAAAUUCCAAUAUCUCAAAAUAUAUAACUCCUUUGGCCAUUCUUUCUAUUUUAUGUGAAAGUAAACUCCUUAAGAUUUAAUUUCAUGUCUUAUUCAACCACUAACUCAAUUUCUAUAAUUUUUGGUGAUUUUUCAAACUAAGAUCACUGUCACUAUUCGAAUCUAUUCUAUUCCAACAUCCCUCAUUCACAUAGCACUAUAACCAUUUAUUUUAUAACACAAUACAAGACUUCAUCACUUCAGUCACUCUUUCGCAACUUAUCACGUUCCAAUCACAUACUCAUAUCUCAUUGAACAAGUCGGUAUAACAACAAAUAUUUGGGGUUUUUCACACAGUACUACCCAUGUUACUUUUAUCAUUCGAUACACGUAGUAACCUUCACAUAGUACUACACACGUGAUCAAGUUUUACGGUUCACGUAGUAGCCUUCACAUAGUACUACACACGUGAUCAAGUUUUACGGUUCACGUAGUAGCCUUCACAUAGUACUAUACACGUGACCAAAGCUUUCCGGUACACAUAGUAGCCUUCACUUAGUACUACACAUGUGACCAUCAUUUAUCGAUUCACGUAGUAGCCUUCACACAGUACUACACACGUGACCAAAGUUUAUCGGUACACAUUGUAGCCUUCACUUAGUACUACACAUGUGACCAUUAUUUAGCGAUACACGUAGUAGCCUUCACACAGUACUACACACGUGUUCAUCGAUACCUUAUUCAAAUCUUUACCAUUCCGACAAUUCCACAAAGAUUCUUACUUUCCAAUAAUUUACAAUUUCUCCAUAGCACAUUAUAAUAUCAAUAUUUCCACUCAACUCCAUAACCAAUUUAAUAAUUCGAUUUAAAUCACUUCAACCAUUUCUUGCAGUUGGUAUAUCCAUAAACCAAGUUGAUUUUAAACAAAUCAACUAUCAAUUUCAAAUUUCUAACUUUAAUAUAACCAUUUCAUAUCCAACCCUUUCGCAUAUAUUGUCACGAAAUAUAACAAAAAUAAUUAUAACAAUGUAUUAAUUACAUACAACUUACCUCGAUACAAAAUGUAAAGAUUUUGGAAUUUAAUCCCCAAUCUUCUCUUUUUCCCGAUUAAGGUUGACUUCUCGUCUUUCUUGAUCUAUAACAGCAAAUUGAGCUUGUUUAACAUUCACAUUUAUUAAAACAAGCUUCGACUCAACUUUUGUCAAAAUUAUGAUUUUGUCCCUAAACUUUUGUAUAAUUACGUUUUUAUCCCAAAGCUCGAAAAUUAAAUUUCACUCCUUAUUCUUUAGUUUUACAACAUGCUGAACACUUUUUCCUUCUAUGGCAAUAUCAAAUUCUUACUCUAACAUGUACUUAUGAAUAGUAAAUAUUUUUACCGAUUAUGUCUAUUUACCCGUUUUCACUUAAAAUCGCUUAGCAAAAGUUGUUUAACAUAAUUCCUAUCUUUUUUUUCUACCAUAAAACAGGAAAAUAAACACAUUUCACCUAUGGGUAUUUUUCCAAAUAUGAACCCUAACAUGAAUUAAUGGUAGAAAUAGCUAAACCGAGCUACGAGGAUCUAAAAAAUGCGAAGAACAUUAAAAAUGGGGCUAGGAUGCACUUACUAUGAGCUUGAAAAAGCAAAUAAACCCUAGCUAUGGUGUCCCUUAAAAUUCUGCAGCAACUAUGGAGAAGAUGACACCAUUUUUCCAUCUUUUUCCCAUUUUAUUUCUUUUUAUUACCAAAUGACUAAAAUGCCCUUACUUAAAAAAAUCUAUUUCACAAAUUCUAUGCCCAUUUUUGUCCAUCAAUUAACUAAUGAUCUAAUUACCACAUAAGUACCUCCAAUUUAAAGUUUCAUAGCAAUUGGACACCUCUAACAUAUAGAACCCAACUUUUGCACUUUUUACAAUUUAGUCCUUUUGACUAAAUUGAGUGCCCAAACGUCGAAAUUUUCGAACAAAAUUUUUCUGUGAAAUUGUAGACCAUAAAAAUAUAAUAAUAAUUAUAUUUUCCCUCGUCGAAUUUGUGGUCUCGAAACCUCUGUUUUGACUAGGCCCAGAAUCGGGCUGUUACAAUUCGAGUUCCAAAGGUCUUUUAGGCUUAUAGUGUUCUGAGGCUUAGGAUGGUUCGGAAUUGAAACAAUGGGCACUCAAAACGGGUUCAAGGAUUAGAAAUGGUUAAGCACAUUACAUUGUUCCCUACUCGUCCCCAAUUUAUUUACGAGCUCAGCUCCUUAUUUCUCCUUCCCUCACCUACCUUAUUUCUCCAAAAUGUUAGAAGGUAUUAUGUAAUAAUAGUAUGUACAAAAUUUUGUAAUUGUGAACUGAAAGAUUUUCAUUUUCGAGCUUAAUUUGGAUUUUUCUCUCUUUUUCUUUAUUUUGCGCUCUUUCAUUCAUUUUUUUAAUACGUACUAACUAAUGUAAUCCAUUCACUUUCUUUUUCGCAUACAAAGCCACCAUAAUGUUUUUACCUAGCCCUUAAUGUCCAUGGCCCGACGUCCAUUACGUAGUGCACGUUAAAGAAUGAGACUGAGAAGGAUUGAGUACCAGACUUGUUUAGGCUCAAGGCUUUGAUAUUAAGGCUUACAAGAAAAGGGUACCUGAGGCUCAAAGAUAUGAGAACUAGGAAUACAUAGUAACAAGUAAGCUUGUAGGUUCUAGGCUAUUUCAAACAAUGUUUAAGGUCUUUCUCGAAUCAAUCACACAACAUUAAUUCUUUCAAGCAUACAUUUAUUUAGACGAACAAUUAACAAUUCAAAUUACUUAUCAACAAUUAUCCAAAUACUUUAUUCAUCCUAUUGUGCACUUUAUACAUUUUCAUUUAGGUUAUUGCCUUUACUUUAUUAUACACAUUAACUAAUUGAACUAAAUAGUCUAUAAUUAAGAAUAGCAAAUUAUCUAGUAUCAUUCAAAAUUUACAAGUUUGGCAAUUCUAUGUACUUAUUCAAUAUUUACAACUAAUAACUUAUUACCUAAUUAUAAUCUAAGCACCAUGCAAUUACACAAAAAAGACAAAAAACGAAAAAUAUUUUUGGUACUUUUGGAAAAGGCAAAAAAUUGAAAUUAAACACACAAAAUAACAUAAAAGAAAGAAAAACUAAAACACAUAAAACUAUGUGCAUCCCCCCACACUUACACUACGCAUUGCCCCCAAUGUGUUCUCGAAAAAGAUAAGAGGUUAUUGAACUUCCCUAGAAUAGAACAUCAGACUAGCUCGGGGGUCCACCUCCUCGUUAAAGCUCACGAAUGUUGUGACAUCUUUCAGGGUAAUUCGCUGCACAUAGAAAAAACACACAAAAACAACCAAAAUAAAAAUCUAAAAACAGAAAAUAAGUUCCAAAAGUAGUGUAGUUUAAGAGUUUACAUGCCAUACAAAGAAAUAAAAAUAAAAUAUGAAAACAUGUAACUCUAGCAAAUCUCCUCAUGGCCCCUCGUUCGGUCUGACUACUCCUUUGUCUUUCCCCUUGACAAUCCACUUUUUAAUUGACACCCCAAGUUGGUUGCUCGGGUUCAGAUGACGAGGCCCCACAUGAAUGGUUGUUUGGACGCAAACAAAUCCUCAAAGACGUCAUGGUACAGUGUAGCGUCAUUAUCUUCUGUCUCCUCGUCAUCAUCAGCUGGUUCCUCCUUGUUAGAUUCCUCUUCCUCUGUAGCUUCAUCAUUGGACCUCAUCGGUAACUAAAUAGGAUCCUUCCCUUAGCUCUCCAUGAAUGCAUCUGUGAAAAUUUGUAUUACGUCCACACUUCAAUUAGUGUAUCGGGCCUCCUUAAAUGAUUUCUCGAGUUGCUUUUCGAGGCCCCUAGAUGUCAUUUUAGUGGACGCUUUCUUCGAACGAGAUGGUGGAAUAUUCAUCUUAGUCUUCUUUUGUUGGUUCCAAUCCUUAAUUUGUUAUCGAUGAAGGGCUUGAAACUAAUGAAGCAUUGUGUCACCAAUUAUGCUACAGACAAGUUGGUAUGAUUGCUCCAUUGGGUCUAUAAUCAACUUUAUCUUAUGGAAUAAAUUUGUAAUCAGGUGAGGAAAAUAGAUUCCGACUUUACCUCUUGCCACAAAUUAUUUCAUUUCAUGGUUCAUCCAAUGGCCUAAGUAAAUACGUUUACACUGCAAAAUGGAGAAAAGAAGUAUAGCUCGAAAAACGUCUACAGUGUUAGUGUUGAGGAAAAGGGCUAAUAGAUGGCAACAACGCCAACAACUUGGCGGCUUCUCUUUCUCUCCAUCCUUGCGAACGAGUAAAGAGAGAUAUGAAGAUCAACACUCUUGAAUUAAAAUACAAUAUAAAAAUCACGACUUUACUACAAGUGCGACUAUUCAAUUGUAAUAUUUGUAUUGUUAUAAUGGAACACUACAGUAUUAUAAGGAUUAAACCCAAGAGACUCGUGGAUUGAAGAAUUUUUAAACAAUGUGCAUGUAAAAUAAAUAUUCUAACCAACUAAUUGCAAAAAAAAUAUAUAUUAUGACAAAUCUUAAAAUCAAGAGAAAUUAAUCUACUUUACUAUCUAGCUUGCAAGGACUAAAUUGUAAAACAUGCAAAGUUAUGAAAUUAACAAUUAAAUAACAAAUGUUGGUUGGUUGAAAUUGAUGUGGUUCACAAAUCCUCGAAAUAAGGAUCAAAAUUUUGGAGUAUAAGUUACAGCCAACUGGUGCUCGAUACUUGGAAUUCUGCAAAACUCAUCUAAUCUUUCAAAUGUAUAUUCAGUACCAUUAUCUAAAUUGAUGACUUUGAUUUUGCAAUCAGCUUGAUUUUAAAUCUAUGCCUUGAAGCUCUAAAACACAUUUACUACCUCAAAUAUUUGUUUUAUGAAGUAUAUCCAACACAUCCUAGUAAAAUCCUUUAUAAAAAUAGUGAAAUAUUUGUUACCAUUCAAGGAUACCAUAUUCAUCGGCCCACAAACAUCAAUGUGAAUCAAUUGAAGCUUUUAAAAGCUCUCUAAGCCUUGUCAAUGUAAAAAAGGAAGUUUGUUUACCUUUCCUAGUUGACAUACUUCACAAACUUUAGAAUGUUCUGUAAUUGUGGGCAUGUUCAACACUGAUUCAUUCUUGUCUAUGUGAUUAAGGUCCUUGUAGUUGAAGUGGCCCAUCCUUUUAUACCACAAUUUAGAUUCAUUAACUAAGCAAAUAUAAGCUGAUGAACUAGAUUGAUCCAAGUGUAAGGAGAAAUAAUUUCCUUUAAUGCAAAUAGCAAAGAGUUCAUGGCUUGAUGGAUCAUAAAUUAUGCAUUCUUUGUCUUUAAACACUAAUUAUUUUCUAAGAGUUAUCAUAAAUUGAGGAGAUUUUGAUCUAUUUUUGGUACAAAUAAAACAUUUGGAAUAAGUUUUGUACCUAAACGUGUCUCAAUUAUCACAACUCCUCUUCCUUUGACUUCUAUAAACUCAGCAUCACCAAUUUUGAUUUUGGAAAAGCAAGUUUUGUCUAUCUCCUUGAAUAAGUUGAUGUUUGAUGCCAUGCGAUGAGUGCAUCAACUAUCAAUGAUCCAAGCACAUAAGUAAGUUUAUGCUGCAUAGCAAGAAGCAACAAAAACUAUUCCAUCCUCUUAUUGCAAGGUAUCUGCUACUCUAGCUUGUUGUUCUCAUUCUUAUGAUUUUUUGUUCUUGCAAACUUUCUCCACAUGGCCAAGUUGUUUGUGAUACCUGCACUGUAUGUCUAAUUUGUACCAGUAAUAUUUCUUUAGAUGUGUCUUUUCUUUUUGUAAUGUGAACAUAGUGGAAAUUUACCUUUCUUUCCAUUAUUUCCAAUAUUCUUUUUUCUUCUAUCUCCCGAUUUUUUGUUCUUACCCUCAAGUUGCAUUUUUCCUUUCCCUUUUUAUUACAAAUUCAUUAUCACACCCUCAUUUGGCGAGCCGAUUUAGUUUGGGAGACUACGCUAGCGAAGAUCGCCUAAGUCAAGAGACUUAGACAAAAUGAGGAUGGUGACUUCAUCACAAAGUACUUCGUAGAACUUCGCCAAUACUGUAGAGUUCCAUUCUGUAGAAUGUCGAGUUCUUGGUUGUGGCGAGAACCUUAUUAGGUGGACUUUCUCACUAAUAAUGUCGCCACCCAUGUUUUUAUGUCGCUUCUAAUAUAAUUGUAGUAGUUACUAGGACAAUUUUAAGUCUUCCAACAACCUAAUGGAGGUAAAGUGUCAGAAAUUAGGACACUCGAGGAGCCUCAUAGGAUGUGAUUAAUUAGUGGAAGCGUGCAAGAAUGAUGAUUGAUUAGAGACAAUCCUGAGUAGGAUUUGGGUGUGAGUUAUGAACACCUCCGGACAUAGUAACAUCUAGAGUGUGAAUACUGCAACUAAAGAUAUGAUAAUGAAGCGAUGUCCGUGUAAACUCUAUUUUAUAUAGGUUUUUUCUAGUAGCUUUUACCACCUUUUACUUUAAAAUAAUAUUAAUCUCAAUUAUUUGUUAAUUAAUUUAGUGAAUUUUGCUUAAACCUCAAUAACAGAGAUGAAUUUAUAAAAUAUGCAAAUUUGUGCUUUAUUACAAGAAUUUUGUACAUAAAUUAAAUUAUUUCAUGUUAUUUAUUAAUAUGUUAUAUUUAUUUGUACAAUGGGACCAUAAAGUUGAUUUAAUAAAGAGAUGAAUAUAAAGUUGCAUAAACAUGAACUAUUUAUUUCCUAUACUGGAUGGCAAAACCAUGCUAAAUGGGUCAACAAGGUGUUAUUUUGACCCAAUUAAAAUGAUACUACAUGGUGGACAAGUCUGAUUAUUUAAUGGGUCAUAGAACCGUCAAACAAAGGGGAGUCAAGCCCAAAUUUGGCACAAGCAUGUUGGCAGCCCAAAAAUCUAGAGGUCCCUUCAUUUGGAGAAUCAUUGGAAAUCAGCACACAAAUAUUUCCCUUGAAUCCAUCCAACCCAUGCCUAAAUUUAGCAAGAUUCUAUGCUCAAAUAAAGGAACCAUCAUCCACCUUCUUCCACAAAAUGUGAUUGACCAAGCAAUAGAGAAAAUGGAGGUAUUUUAAUCUCUAUUUUUAGUAAACUCUACCAUCAACUUCAAGUAUAAAUAUCCCCACUUAUUCCCUAUUUCAAUCAUCCCUCAUCCCUACAUCCCUCAUCCUUUACUCAAUCCCUCAUCCUUUACUCAAUCCCUCAUCUUUCAUUUCAUAUCAUUCUUCCAUUCUUCCAUUCUUCCAUUCUUCCAUUCUCUCAUUUCCUCUCUUCGUUUCAUGCAUAGCAUCUCAUAUUUUCUUUAUUUGCCAACAAAUUUGAUAAGAUUACCUCUUAGCCGGCCACCUUGAGAAGCCAUUAGCAAAGGAGAAACACAAGGUUCGAAGGAAAACAUCUUUAAUUAGAGUUCACAAGACUGCUGGUUCGACAGAGUUUAUUCUUCCUUUACUUUGUUAUUUUGAUUUUAAUCAUGUUUGCAAUGUGCUUUACUAUCUUCUCAUCAACAAUGGUAGCUUAAUUCUAUUUAGCUAGGAUGAUCACAUUUAUUUAAUGAGGUUUGUUUAAACCAUGUUUAUGGUGUUUGUGCCUCAAUCAAUCAUGUUUCAAUUAAACUCAAGUAUGUAUUUCAUUCAUAUGUGAUUGGAUGCAUUAGAAUUAGCUGGGCGAUCCUAACCAGAUGAUGGCUAGUGGACACAAUAAUUAAAAUGUGCAUGCUUAAUUUAGAUCCUAACUUGACUAAAUUAAAGGUUCAUAAUAACUUUAACAAGAUCUAUUAUCUUGCAUAAUUUUUAGGUUUAUGUGAUUAAACUAUUUCAAACCUAACCCGUCCCUGUUACUUCACAUGAAUCCUAAGAAACCCUUAGUUUAAUAUAAUCAGUAAAAUGCAUGUUUUACUAAGUAAAAGAUUCUAAAAGGGCUUAAUUUUUUUCCAAACUCAUGAAAGAUCCGGUUGCCAUAGAAUAAUUUCUGAACACUGUUAAGCAUGAUAAAAAUAAGCUAAGUUGAAUGAUGUAAUUAUCCUAGCUUAUUCAUGUUAUUGAUUGUUGAAGUUUGUGUUUUUGCUAAAUUCAUUCAUACAUUUCAUUUCAUACUUCACAUUUAGUUUAAAUUGCAUUAGGGAUCAAUCUUGCAUCUAGAUAAUUUAAUUUACUUAAUCACCCAUCGCUCAAGAUAUUGUGUUUUUAUCAUAAAAGUGUUAACUUUAAUUUUGCAAUAUAUUGAUUAACAUACACAGUCCCUGUGGAGAUGAUAACUCUUUUACUUACUUAUUACUUGAUAACAACUGUGUACACUUGCACAAACCGAGCGCUACAAGUUUUUGUCAUCGUUGUCGGGGAUUGUUCCCUUAAUCAUUUUUGUGAAAUUAUUCUUUUCAAUUUGGUUUUUAUUUCAUUUUUAUCUAAGUUUUAACCUUACUAAUUUAUUCUUUAUUCUUUACUUUUUGUGAUUUAUUUUUUAAGUGUUUAUGAGCAUAGAUUAAAUUAUUGAUUUAUCAUAUAUAGACCUUGAGAUCGAGCGGACAUUUAGACAGAGAAGACACAAAAGAUCAACUCGAAGACAAGCUGAGAUGGACCUUGGAAAUCAAAAUGAUGGACAAGGAAAUUGAGCCAAUCAUCUGCACAAUCCAAUCCUUAUUGCUGAUGAUAGGGAUCGUGCCAUAAGACAAUACACUAUGCCAUUCUUCAAUGAAUUAAAUUUGAGAAUCAUGAGACCGGAGAUUGAGGCACCGUAAUUUGAAUUAAAACCAGUGAUGUUUCAAAUGCUCCAAAUAGUGGGCAGUGUUUAGUUGAAUGCCCACGGAAGAUCCACACCUUCACCUUCGAUUAUUCAUGGAGGUGAGAGAUUCGUUUAAGAUAGUUGGUGUGAGCGAAGAUGCAUUAAGGUUGAAGUUGUUUCCAUACUUGUUGCGAGAUCGAACACGAGUAUGGCUUAAUUCAUUGCCACCAAGUUCAAUAUCUACAUGGCAAGAAUUAGUAGAAAGAUUUUUGGUUAAGUAUUUCCCACCUAGCAAAAACGCUAAGUUGCAAAAUAAGAUAACCACUUUUCAACAAUUUGAUGACAAAUUUUUGUACGAAGCAUGGGAGAGAUUCAAAGAAUUACUUCAUAAAUGCCCUUAUCAUGGGAUUCGACACUACAUCCAGUUGGAGACAUUUUAUAAUGGUCUCAAUGAACACACAAGGUUGACGGUAGAUGCUUCUACGAAUGGUGUGAUUUUGUCUAAGUCUUAUAAUGAUGCUUACAAGAUCAUUGAGAGGAUUGCUACUAAAAACUAUCAAUGGUCAACAAAUCGAGCAACUUAAGGAAGACGAGUAGCCGGAGUGCACGAAGUGGACGUACUUAGAUCAUUCUUAGCUCAAGUAUCUUCUAUUUUUUCAAUGUUGAAACCAUUUACCGCUAAUGGUUUGACUAAUUUUGCAGCUUAGUCACCAAGUCAAUUUGAUGUUGUUUCCUACGUAUACUGUAGGGAUGGUCAUUAUUCUGAGAAUUGUCCAUAAAAUCUCAAGUUAGUUUAUUACGUAGGGAAUCAACACCAGAAUAGAAGUGGACACGGACCACAGUCCAACUUCUACAAUCCUUCAUGGUGCAACCAUCCAAAAUUUUCUUAGAGUUACCAAGGAAAUGGACCAAACAACACUUACAUGCAGCAUAAACCCACCCAACCCCAAGGGUUCAAUCAAGAAGCUCUAAAACCACAACAAGCUGAGUCAUCCAACAGUUUGGAGAACUUGUUGAAGGCAUACAUGCUGAAGAAUGAAGCUUCAAUCCAAAUCCAAGUAGCAACACUAAAAAAUUUGGAAAACCAAAUGGGCCAGUGAACUACGGAGCUUCGUAACCGACCGCAAGGAGCCUUGCUAAGCGAUAUAGAAAAUCCAAGAAAUUUGGGUAAGGAACAUUACAAAGUAGUUGCCUUACGAAGUGGUGAGACUUUGGAACCCAAGGACGUUGUGAUUGAAUAUGAAACCAUUGAAAAGGAGGGAAGUCAACCAACAGUUGAAAUUCCUACGCCAACUGAGCUAGAACUUACGAAGUCUGAUGAGGUAAAACCUAACUAGUGAAUUCUAGAAAACUAACAUCUUCUUUAGAUACAGAUUCAUCUCCUCAAAAAAGUUGUCCAAUCCAACCCAAAGUUUUAUCACCUCUAUAUCCUCAAAAGUUCCAGCUAAAUAAGCAGAAACAAGAGGUGCAAUUUAAGAAAUUUCUGGACGUUCUAAAGUAACUUCACAUUAACAUCCAAUUGGUGGAGGCUUUGAAGCAAAGGCCCAAUUAUGUGAAUUUCAUCAACAUCCAUUGGGGGAGGAUUUAGAGUAAAUAUGAGACUGUUGGAAGCACAACAAUAUACAGACUUUUUCAUGCCCAUUUUAACUCAAAUUCAUGCAGUUUCGAAGUAAUUCUUGUCGAAAAAUAAUUAUAUUGUACUCAAAUUAUUAACAUAUUGAAUUUUAAUUAAUUUUAUAAUAAAUUUUCAUAAAUUUUGAUUUAUUUUCUUCAGAUUUGCACAAAGAGUGAAAAUUGGCUCAGCAGACACUACUAGAAGCAAAAAAUCGGGAAGAGAGUUUUGAAGCAUUGAGGUGAAUUAAUUUUUCAGCCUAAGACAGUCCAAAAUAUAAAUAUUAGUACAUAAUAUAAUUAAUUUUAAUUUUUAUCCAAUUUAUUUUGGGUUAAAUAAUUAUUAUUAAUUAUAUUAUGGAAAGGAGACCCAGUUGUGCUAAUACGAGAGACUGGUCAAACCGAGCAAUCGGGCUACCCAAAAUCGUCAAACAUGCUGACCCAAUUAGCUCAAAAUAGUUUAUUAAUUGACUUGAAAAUCAUCCCUUGAAGUCUCCUUGAAAUCACAUUCAAACCCCUCCACUUUCUUUGCUUUUAAAGAUUUGCCCCAAGCUAAAUUUAGCCAAGUUUAAAACAUUCAAACUUUGCUACAUGUGUGGCCGGCCUAUCCCACCUAUAAAUAUCCCCUUCACCUAUUCAUUUCAAUAUGCCUUCAUCCCACACAUCUCUCUCUCUUUCACUCACUUUCUCUCCUUUGUUUCCCAUUUUUCACUUCUACUUUCCUUUGCUGAUUUCCCUCUUGAAAAAGCGCCCUUCAACCACCUUGGGUAGCAGCAUUCAAGUGCUUAUAGAAGCCUCGAUUCAACAGAACGAGCGAAGAAGGAAGAGCGGAGCAAACUAAUCAGGCUUCAAAGAAACACCAAAUUUGAUUCUAGUUUCCUAUCAUUUAACUUUUCUUGUUGUUAUGAACAUGUCUAUGAAUAUUUAUUAUGUUGUUAUUCUAAAUUUAAUUAACAUGGCUUAAAUAUAAUUCGUGUUAGGUUGAUUGCAUUUCGUCUACUUAAGUUAUUAAAAUCAUGUUUGUGUUGUUCUAAGUCUUGGUAAAUUAUUUGAUUAAGUAAAACCAUGAUUAUGUUAUACUUGCAUUACAAUUGUAAGGUAACUAAUGAAUUAAUUAUUAAUCAUAUUGAAAUUGUAAUUAAUUGACACAAUACUUAAUCAGUCCAUAUUUAACCUUCUAAGGUAGCUGAGGGUUAAAUUAGCGACGGUAUUAAACGGUACAUUAGCCUUGCAUAACUUGCAAGAUUAUUAUGAUUAAACUGUUUCAAUGUAGGAAUAUAUUGUUGCCUCACUUAAUCUUUUACUUUCUUAUUAAAAUUGAUUAAUUGUUUGAAUUGGCAUAGUAAUAUGUUGAAGAGAUUAGUUAAUUUUGUAAGUCAGUAUGUUAUAUAGUUAACAAAUUACCAAGUUACCGUGAAUUUAUUUGUAACAACAUGAACAUUGUUUUAGUAAUAUUAAAUUAAGAAAUGUAUUUGAUCUAGCACAAUUAUGUCAUAUUGAUUAAACUUAUUUUUCAAAAAUCGUGCUUUAAAAUUUUUACCAUUUAAUUUUCUUAAUUAAUUUAAAUCUAGUUUAUUAAACCCUUUUCAGAACAAAAGAUUUUCCUUCACCAAAGUGUUUUUAAUUACAUUUCAUAAAUAUUUCUUUGCAAAGUCUCUGUGAGUACGAUAACUCGACAUUUACUUGUCACUUUAUUACUUUUCGGGAUUGUGUGCACUUGCACAUUUCCAUCAUUCCAUGUUUUUGGUGUCGUUGCCAAUGUGCAUUCAAACCCCUCCACUUUCUGUGCUUUUAAAGAUUCACCCCAAGCUAAAUUUAGCAAGUUUGAAACAUUCAAACGUGCCACAUGUGUGGCCGGCCAAGGGGGUAUAUGGCUACUGGUCAAAACCUUGGAACGGUGGAAAUGUGCAAGUGUACACAAUCACAAGUAAUAAAGUGACAUGUAAAUGUCAAGUUAUCGUACUCACAGGGACUGUAUAAGAAAGUAUUUAUGAAUUGCAAUUAAAAGCACUUUAGUGAAGGAAAAUCAUUUGUUUUGAAAAAGUGAUGUAAAAACUAAAAAUUAACUAAGUAAUAAAAAUAAAAAGUAAAAAUUCCAAUGCAAGUUAUGCAAGGCUAAAGUACCGUUUAAUAUUGUCACUAAUUUAACCCUCAGCUACCUUAGAAGAUUAAGCAUGCACUGAUUAAGUAUUUUGUCAAUUUACAAUUUCAAUACAUUUAAUAAUUAAUUCAUUAGCUGCCUUACAAUCGUAAUGCAAGAAUAACAUAAUCAUGGUCUUACUUAACCAAACAAUUUACUAAAACCUAUAACAACACAAACAUGAGUUUAAUAAAUUAAGUAGACGAAAUGCAAUCAAUCUAACACGAAUUAAAUUUAACCCAUGUUAAUUAAAUUUAUAAUAACAACAUAAAAAAUAUUUAUAGACAUUUUCAUAACGGCAACAAAAAAAGUUAAAGGAUAGGAAACUAGAAUCAAAUCUUGUGUUUCUCCGAAGCCUGACUAGUUUGCUCCGCUCCUCCUUCUCUGCUCGUUCUUGUUGAACCAAAGUUUCUACAAACACUUGAAUUCUACUACCCAAGGUGGUUGAAGGGAUCUUUUCCAAGAGGGAAAUCGAAAAAGAAAAUGGAAGGGAAAAUGGGAAACAAAGAGAGGUUUCGAAGAGAGAAAGUGAGUGAGAGGGAGAGAGAUGUGUGGAAUGAAAGGUGUGUUGAAAUGAAUAGGUGAAGGGGGUAUUUAUAGAUGGUAUUGGCUGCUAAAAAUAGAAAAAACCAGUAGCCAUAUACCCCCUUGGCUAGCCACACAUGUGGCAAGUUUGAAUGUUUCAAACUUGCUAAAUUUAGCUUGGGUUGAAUCUUUAAAAGCACAAAAAGCGAAAGGGUUUGAAUGCAAUUUCAAGGAGACCUCAAGGGCUGAUUUGCAAGUCAAUAAAUCAGCUAUUUUGAGCUGAUUUGGUCAGCAUGUUGGAUGGUUUUUGGUAGCCCGAUUGCUCGGUUGGAUUAGUCUAUCGUAUUAGCACAACUAGGCAUCAUUUCAUAAUAUAAUUAAUAAUAAUUAUUUAACCCAAAAUAAAUUGGAUGAAAAUUAAAAUUAAUUAUACUAUGUAUUAAUAUUCAUAAUUUGAACCAUCUUAGGCUGAAAAAUUAUUUUGCCUCGAUGCUUCAAAAAUCGUUUCACAGUUUUGUCUUCUAAUGGUGUCUACAAAGCCAAUUUUCACUUUUUGUGCAAACCUGUCGAAAAUAAAUCAAAAUUUAUGAAAAUUUAUUAUAAAAUUAAUUAAAAUUAAAUAUGUUGAUAAUUUGAGUACAAUUUAAUUAUUUUAUAAUUAUAUUAUAUUUUUCAACAAGAAUUACUACGAAACUACAUGAAUUUGAGUUAAAAAGGGUAUGAAAAGUCUAUAUAUUUUUGUGUUUCCAACCGUCGCUUUAAUGGAGUGCAGUGCGUUCUUACAAAACAAGCUUCCUCUGAAAUUGGAGGAACCUAGAAGCUUUACUAUAUCCUGUAAUAUCAGAGAAUCUUACUAUGGUAAAGCUUUAUUCGACUUAGGAUCAAGCACCAACUUGAUGCCCAAGUCUAUUUUCAAACUAUUGGGAAUAGGCGAAGUAAGACCUACUACUAUGACACUUCAACUGGCAAAUCGAUAUUUAGUAUACCCUGAAGGAAAGAUCGAGGAUGUUUUGGCAAGAGUCGAUAAAUUCAUAUUUCCUGAUGAUUUCGUUAUCUUAGAUUUUGAACUAGAUGAGUAAGUGUCGAUCAUCCUAAGGAGACCUUUCCUAGCCACGGGAAGAAUAUUGAUUGACGUGCAAAAAGGAGAACUCACAAUGAGAGUCAAGGAUGAUCAGGUAAAAUUUAAUGUUCUUAAAGCUAAAAAAUUCCCUGAUCCGAUGGAGGAAUGUUCAGUAAUGAAGGAGCCAGAAACCUUAGUUUCAAUAUAAUGGGAGAACAAUUUUGAAGACCCAUUGGAGAACACUUUAGGGUCUGAACCAUUGGAAGAUGAAAAAGGUAAUGAAAAAAUAGCUUUGAUGGAAGCCAAUCUAAGGGUUUAUGUUCAACCAGCAUGGUUUGAACCACUAGAAUUCGAAGUUCGGGAGUUUGUGCAACCCAAGUUGUCAAUCGAGGAACCACCCAAACUCGAACUUAAGGUACUUCAUUCCUAUUUAAAAUACGUUUAUUUAGGUAAUUGUUCUACUUUGCCUGUGAUUGUUUCAGCAAACUUAACAGAACACUAAGAGGAGCAAUUGAUAAAAGUUUUAAAGAAAUUUAGAAAGGCGGUCGAUUGGACCAUAGCUGAUAUUCGAGGUAUAAGCUCUUCUUUUUGUAUGCAUAAAAUUAUCCUGGAGUAAGGCGAAAGAGCUAGGAUUGGUGGGCAAAGGAGACUCAACCCAAUCAUGAAAGAGGUAGUUCGAAAGGAAGUGAUCAAAUGGUUAGAUGCAGGAAUUAUCUACCCUAUCUCAGAUAAUUCAUGGGUAAGUCCAGUACAAUGUGUACGUGGAAUCACAAUUUUCGAGAAUGUACAUAACGAGUUAAUCCCGACAAGAAUUGUCAUGGGUCGGAGAAUCUGUAUAGACUACAUAAAAUUGAACAAGGCCACCCGAAAGGACCAUUUUCCACUGCUUUUUGUGGAUUAGAAGUUAGAUCAACUAGAAGGUAAUGAAUAUUAUUGUUUCUUAGAUAGAUAUUCAGGAUACAACCAAAUAGUUGUAGUCCCGGAAGACCAAUCCUGAUUAUAUUGAUUGAAUUGAAGGCGCGAAGUCCAUAAAGAGUUGGUCAAAUCCACAAAUUAGAUUCUCUGUUGAACAAGAACAAAAUAACUAAAAUAAAUCUAAAGCCUAAGAAUAACCAAAAAUUGAAAACUAAAUUAAAAAGAAAAUUAUGAACUAUGAAAACUGUCCCUAAACAAUUGUCUAAUGAGUCUAUUUAUAGAGUAAGGGUUAGCCAUCAUCCUUAGCCUUAGGUCGGCUAAAGUUUAUAUGUAAAAAUACAUUGUACAAACCAAAAUGCCCUCAGCUCGUUAUUAUUUUUCGUUCAAGGCCUGUGUCGCGACAUCGAAGGUAGUAUGCUUGACUCAAGUUUGGCUUCAGGGAUGUGUCACAACUUCCUCUGGCUGGAGUCGUUGUAGCUUAAUCUAGCUAGCCCAGGGACUAAUUUGUAAAACUAUUAAAAUAUUAGGGUUUUUCCAUGAAUGUGUUCAAAUUGUUUUUUAUGUUUGAUGGAAGAAAAUGAAUCUAUGUUGUUAGAUAAACAAGUUUUGUAAAGUGAUUUUGGUUGAAAAUAUCAAUUAGAGAUUUAUUUGUAAAUUCUAUAAAAUGUGUGGUGGAAAUUAUGGAAUAAUGAAAUGUAUCAGUUACUAUGGAUGCAUCUGAAAUUUGGCUAGCUUGGGUUAAGGAUGAAUUUGCAUGCAUUUCCUUUUCUCUUUUUUUUUUUUUAUAAAAACGACCCAAAGGGUCCAAACUUAAUUAAUAGCAUUUUGAAUUACAAUGUUAUGGAUUUCCAAAGGAUAAUUCAUUUUAAAAAACAAAUUACAUCUCUUUUUAAUAGCCAAAUUACAAAGGAAAUCAGCCACUUGAUUGAUGUUUCGGUUAACCCAUUUCAUUUGGAGCGAAUCAAAAUUAUUAAAUCCCCUGCACUCCCUUUUAAUGCAUCGACCGAAAAUAGUCAAAUCUUCAUUUCACUUGUUGACUUUAUUAACCAAAUUUGAACUGUCAGAUUCAAAAAUAGUGUUUGGCGUGUUCAAAGUAGUGUCAGCUUCAAACUCUCUACAAAAGCUUCCAUUUUUGCCCAGUUUAUGUCCAGCUGUUUGUCUUUAAAGCCAUAGCAUCCCCUAUAACAAAACCAUCUGAAUCUUUGGCAAUGACACCAUACCCCUCACCACUGUUUGAGAUAUUCGUAUCAAAGUUAAUUUUAGAAUAGUCGAUCGGUGGUUUCAUCCAUUUUUUAUUUGCCAAAAUAAGAGGGAUAAUAGGUGGAUAUGUGAUGUUGUAUAUUCUGAAAUCAUCACUGAGGGUUUUCACCUUUUUCCAAACCUUCCCAACAGCAUCCCCCUUUCCAUUGAAAACCAAAUUAUUCCUAUUAUUCCAGAUAUCCCAAAGGAGGGUGAAGAAAUCAGCAACAACUUUGGCAUCCAACACGCAAAGGCCAUUUUCUAGCCAGUCGAUGCAGCGAUCAUAAUUCCCUUCCAAUAAUUUAUUUUUAAGCCGCCAAGAGUAAGGAUCUCACGAGACACAGGGCAAUCUUUCAUUACAUGGAUGAUCGUCUCUUCACUGUUAUUACAUCUGGGACAGGUAUUGGAAAAUUUUUGCCUGAUAUGAGCAAUGUUGUCAUAAGUGGGCAGCAAAUCAAGGCCAAGUCUCCAACUAAAAACUUUGAUCUUGGGGAGCAUGUUCAAUUUCUAGAUUAUUUUCCAAAACUUUCUAUGGGGACCGAACCCAAUUCUCUUAAGUAAAGACCAAGAGUAGGCUGACUUCGACGCAUAAAUCCCAUACUUAUUAUGAAACCAAAUUCUACCAUCUUUAAUGCCAUUAUGAGAAAUGGGGAUAGUGCAUAUUUGAUCCCCCCAACAUACAACCAUAUAACUCAAUAACCCUAUCCUUUUUCCAAGUCUUACGAUUAGGGUCCCAUAAGUACUUAACUUUCCUCAAAUUUAUACACAACUUUUCUCUACAAACAGAAUCCCCAUUGAGGCCUUUAAACCCCCACUAGUCCCUCUUGAUAUCAAUUGUAUUGUCAUCCCCCACGAGCCACACAAAACCCUUUUUUGAGAAACUCAGCCGCCUUAGCUAUACUAGACCACGUGUACGAAGGCUUGUCACAAGAUUUAGAACAUAAAAUAUCCCCCUCUGGAAAGUACUUAGCACUUAAGACUCUGAAGCAUAACGUAUCCUUGAAAUGCAUCAACCUCCAAACUUGCCUACCCAGGAGAACCAAGUUAAACAACUUCAUAUCCCUAAAACCCAUACCUCUAAUCCCCUUUGGGUAACACAUUCUCUCCCACUUCAUCAUGGCCCAACCAUGCAUCUUCUCAUUGCUUGUCCACCAAGCACGACUCAUUUUUGAAUGGAUAUCAUUGAUGAUACCGUUACGCGUAAGGAACACCGAAAAAGUGUAGGUCGAGAUCGGUUAAAUGAUAACCUUAAUGAAGAUCUCUUUUUCGCCAUAGGAUAGAAGUCGUUUCAACCAACUAUUUAUCCUGCAAGAGCAAUGAUUGAUAAUAUUAGUGAAAGCAUCUGACUUUUUCUUGCUAAUAGGUAAUGGAAGCCUUAGAUGACUAUCAAACUUGUCCACCACAGGUAUACCAAGCAUAUUACAAAAAAGAUGCCUUUGCGGCCAAGGAGUUUUAGGACUAAACAUGAUCAUAGAUUUAUCUUUGUUAAUAUUUUGGCCAGAAGCUUUUGAAAUUUUUGUCAUAAUUUUCACAAUUUCCUCAACAUCCUUUUCAUUAUUUUGUAUAAAAAGUAGUGCGUCAUCUGCAAAAAAAAAUAUGAUUUAUUCUAGGACCAUUUCUACUAUCUCGAAUUACCCUAAUCAAAUUAUUAUUUUACACUUGGAUUAAAAAUUUUGAUAAGGCUUCCAUGCAAAGAAACAAAAAUAUAAGGAGAUAGAGGAUCCCCUUGUCUAAGACCCCUUUUCGAAAUAAUAGUCUCGGAGAAAGUGGAGUUGCACUUUACAAUGUAAUGGAAAGAACUAACGCAGCUCAUGAUUUUGUCCACCCAAGUAUCUGCAUAUCCCAUCCUUCUCAUGACUACCUCAAUAAAGCUCCACUCGACGUGGUCGUACGCCUUGCUCAUAUCGAGCUUGAUUACGAAACCCUUAUUAAGACCAUUCUUAGCACUUUUUAAGUAGUGAACCAACUCGUGCGAGAUCAAAAUGUUGUCAUGAAUCAUUCUCCCGGGGAAAAAAGCACUUUGGUUUUGGGUAAUGCACUUCGAAAGAGUAGCCUUUAGUUGAUUUGCUAAUACUUUGGCAAUAAUUUUAUACAAAACCCUACAAAGGCUAAUAGGCCUAAAAUUAGUCAUGUCCAAAGGUUCUUUUAUUUUAGGGAUUAAAAUAAUAAUCGUCUCAUUUAAGCUAUCCAUAGUAUGAUUUCCAUAAAGGACAUCAUGGCAUAAUUUUAUAACAUCCACUCCUACCACCUCCCAGUUAUCUUUAAAAAAACUUCCUAACAGACCGUCAAUUCUUGGGGCUUUUCUAGGGCCUAUUUGGUUGAAAGCUUCCAUUAUUUCCUUGUCAGUGAAAUCCUUAGUCAAAUUCUCAUUCGUUUCCACUGACUCACAAUUAUCAAUAUAUUCAACAGUCAACUGAACAUUAGAAGAUAAUGUAGAAACAAAUAAAUUUUGAAAAUACUCCUAGCUGCUGCACAAAUGUCCUUUGUGUUUUCUUUCCAUCAUCCAUGAGUAUCUCUGAGUCUGUCAAUGCUAUUUUUUGUCCUUCUACUAGUUGCUCUAACAUGGAAAAACCUAGUGUUUCUAUCACUUUCUUUUAGCCAACGGAUCCUUUCUAGUAUUUCUCAUCUUUGUCCAAAAGAUGCCCGAGCUUUAAUCUCAUGGCUUUUAACCUGUUUCCAUCGUACCAACUACCCGGACCAUCAAUGAUGUUAUUUAUUUUAGACUUCAAAACCCUAAUUUGGUUUCUCAUCUUAUAGUACUAUUCAUACUGCCAUUGACUGAGGGUAUGGCCCACCAUCUUCAUCUUAUCCAUAAUGUCCAUAGUGUUAUCAUUCCACGCCUUCUUAAUAAUUUUAUUAGCACCUUCCUCCUUUGACCAGCAGAUAUCAUAUCUAAAUCUAAGUCUUGGAUCCUUGGCUCCCUCUUUCAGUUUACGACUAAUGGUGUCAAGACAAAUUGCGUCAUAAUCUUAGCUUGACUGACGAAUAACCUUUUUCUCGAUGAAAGGAAAAUUUGCGACCUCAUUAGCUGAUAUCAUAAAACGAUCUAGCCUCUCUUUAACCAUAGCAUUCCUUUCAUGGUUGUUGACCAAGUAUACCAACCCUUAUCCGUUUUUAAGUCAACUGAAGAGAGCUCAUCAACUACCUCACGAAACUCAUCCUUCAAAGCUUUUGGUUUCCUUCAACCGCCCUCUUUUUCUGAGUCAUCAAGAAUUGCAUUAACAUCCCCUCUAAUAAUCCAUCUUUCCUUAACAAUGCUUCCCACCCUCUUUAACAUGUCCCAAGAGUUUCUUCUAUUGUUAGGGUCGGCAUUUCCGUAGAACCCCGUGAAUCUAAUAGGAUUUUCAUUAUCCAUAUGAAUCAAGGAAUCAAUAUGAUUAUUAGAGUAAUUUUUUAUUUCAACCUUUGUGCCCUACUUCAAUAUCAUUGUAAGACCACCACUCUUUCCUAUAGCUUUGGCAACCAUACAACCAUCCAUCUUGCAUAUAUUUCGAAUACGAGGAAACUUGUUAUUUUGCACUUUUGUUUCGCAUAAAAAAUAACAUCGGGUUCAUUUGCAACGAGAAGUUACUUCAACUCUCGAACUAUCGUACCACGACAGUUCCAACAUAAAAGCUUCAUUGCUCUUGGCGGGGCUGGUCGCCAGCCGCUACCUUGCAAGGUGAUGUACCAUCCAAUAGUUUUCUACACACGAGUCGAAUUGGACUGUUGUCAAAGUUCUCCCUAUUUUCACCUCUUGUUUUUUUUCUUUUUGCUCGGUUAUCCCACGAGCUUAGGGACUAAAUUGUAAUGAAAUCAAAAUAAUAGGGGGAAAUUUUAAUUUUGUAAAAAUAUGAAAUUGGAUUGAAUUGAAUUGAAUGGUUAUUAAAUAGAUUGAAUUUAUUCAUUUAGAUCAAGAUAGACCUUGCAUGGCUUUAGAUCGGGACAAAGAUAAAACUUCGGAUUAAUCGACUCCGUUUAUACAUUUUAUCAUCGAGGUAAGUUCGUACGUUUAAAUAGCAUCUUAAUGUGUUGUUUUAAAUGCUAUCAUGUCAUAUUAUCAUAUCAUGUCUCUACAAAAAAUCCAACAACAUAUCGACAACUAUCGAGCCCAUCGAAUAUGAAAAGGGAUGGUUUCGACCAUCGAAUAUGAAAAAGGAUGGUUUCGACCAUCGAAUAUGAAAAGGGAUGGUUUUGACCAUAGAAUAAGAAAAGGGAUGGUUUCGACCAUCAUUUAGCACACUUUAUGUAAGCUUUCUCGCGUAUCUGAUAGUAUUCUAAAUGGUUUAUCGGGCAUGAAAAGGGGAUGAAUCAGUAAGGGCUUCAAUGAAAUUAACUAUGAAAUUGUGGAAAAGUAUGAAGUAUGUAUAUUCAUGUGAUGAAAAAUAUGAAAUCAUAUGCAUUAUGAUAUUGAAGUUUACAUUACCAUGUGAUGCAGUUUCUUAAGUUAUGUGGUUAAGCCUUAAUUUAUAUUGUUAGUGAUGCUUAGGCUUGUGUCAAGCUUGUAAUAGAUUGAUUCAUAUUAUUUCUUUAAGCUUAUGCAUUGAAAUGGUAAGCAUUAUUCAUGAUUUAUGAACUUACUAAGCAUUAUAUGCUUACUUUGUGUUCUUUUCUUCAUUUUCUAGUUAAUCGGAAGCUUGUUCGAGUUGAAAUAUCGUCAAAGACUUAUCACACUAUCCAUCGAAUAUAUCAAUAUAUUUUGAUGUUUUAAAGUCAUGAUUAUAAUGGCAUGUAUAGGUGUUUUGUACUUGAUUAAAUAGCCAAUAUGUUUGGUUGGUAAAUAAGGUACUUUGGUUGAUGACAUUUUGGCAUUUUGGUGCUUGUUGGUUAAUGUUAAAAUGGUUAGUGAUGAUAUAUUUUGAAUGGCUCUUUUGGUAUGCUUGAAUGUGAUCUUAGUAUGUGGCCAUUGUGGUAUGAAUUGGUAUGGAAUUAUGUUGCAAAUGUUGAGUUGAUAAAUGGCUAAGUUAUGCUUAUGUUUAAGUAUCUUUGAUGCUAUGUGAAUUGAGAUACCUAUUGGCAUAUUGGUUGUAUGCAAAAUACCAUAUUGAUAUAGCUUUAUUAUGCAUAUUUUAGGUACAUUUUUAAAUGCUUGAAAUAGGUGCAAAGGGCUUGUAUGUGUGAGCAUGAUUUGGGUGAAGGAAAUGGCUUAAAAGUGGCAUAUUUCUUGUCUGCAUGGCCCAAGACACAGGCGUGUAUCUCAGCUAUCUGUGACACACAGCCAUGAGACAUGGUUGUGUGUCCCUUGUAAGUUUCAAAGGGUUGCAAGUCAGGCAGUUACAUGGCCUAGCACACGACCUGGCAAACGGGCGUGUGAGGCCAUUUCGAGAGUUACACGGCGUGGCACAUGGGAGUGUGGCUUGGCCGUGUGACCCAAGCCAGUGAGUUAUACGGGCACGGACACGGGCUAGGACACGGUGGUAUGUCCCUAAUUCAAAUGCCCACAUGGCAUGAGACACAGGCGUAUGUAUCAACCGUGUGAUCCCUGUAGUGUGAAAAAUUUCAACUUUUUCCAUGAAAUUCUAUAUGAUUCUGAUUUAGUCCUGAAUCGUUUCUAAUGUGUUUCAAAGGCCUCGAGGACUCGAAUAAGGGACGUUAUGAAUGUGAUUGAUUGAUAAUUGCAAUGAUUUAUGAAAUUUUUUAAAUCAAAUGUUUUAAGUUAUGAAUUUCUGGUAAUGCUCCAUAACCCUAACCCAACGACGGAUACGAGUUAGGAGUGCUACAGACUCAAUGUGAACUAUGAGUGCUUAUCUCUCUCUCUCAAGCCAUCUUCAAGCAUCAUACUCUCAUCCUUCCUUCCUUCCUUCAUUUUCUCUCUUUUAUUUCUACACAAUUAUAUUAUUUUCACCUCGCAGCUCUCAAGCUAUCGGGUGAACCAUCAUAUUUACCUCGACCCACUUUUUCCCUCAACAACUACGUUAUUAGGAAAAUAUAAAAAAAAACCAACAAAGUUAGAAAUUUAUUAAUAUUUAACUUGAUAUUGAAAAUAAACAUAUGAUGUAUAAUGAUAUUUUUUUUAUUUUCUUUUUCAUAAUCAAAAUUUUGUUUUACUAAUUGAAACAUUAGUUCUAUGGUAAUGUUGAGAUUUUGAAAUUUUUGUUAUCUCAUGUUCAAGUCUAACCUUAUAUAAAUGUGUGGAUUCUCUCCACAUUUAUUUAAUUUUAAUUAGUUGGUUAGUUUGAAUUUAUUUAGUUUUUGAGUUAAUUGUAACCUCGCUAACCUGGCCUAGACGUUAUGGCUAGAUUAAGAAGGCUACAUUAGCCACCGAAAUGGCUAAGCCAACUUACGUUACUUUUGAAGACCUUAAAUAAACUCAUUUUAGAGAAAAUAGUAGUUGUACUUUGAGUUAGCUUAAAAACAUUCAUUCAUUAGGUCGUGUAUACUUAGGAUUCAAUUUAUUGUUGAUUGUGUUGUUUCAAAAAAACCGUUUGCUUGUUGAUCUUCUUAAAAAAAAACUAAAAGUUAAACUAAUGCUGUGGAAAAACCAUUUUUUCAAGUCAUUUUGGAAACUUAGUUGCCUUAUCGAUUUGCUUUUCAAAAAAGGUUCCUUUGCAAUGCAGCGAAAACUAGGGAACAAUAUCAAAUUUUACUUAAGCCAAAUAUCAUGCAUUAUCCGGUUAUUAUGCUUGAGUAAUCCAUGCAUGCAAAAAUCCCCAAAUAAAAAGUUACCAAGCCACAAACCAAAAAUAAUUAAAAAUUAUAAACCAAAACCAAUAAAGACUUAAUAAUACUUAUUAAGAAAAAUAAUCUGAGAUCCAAGGUGGUUCUCCGAAUGCCAAGUCUAGUUCUAAUUUCGAGGUUUACCUGAAAAGUUAAACACUAUUGGGGGUGAGUUUAUGAAAAGCUCAGUGUAAGUCAAACAAUUAUUCAAACAAACAUAAAUAUUGAAUACAGUGAAACAAAUUAGCUUUUACUGAAGAAAAUAGAACCAUCAUAGGAAUUUCAUGUCAUUUCAUAGCCAUCAACUUGAUGUCAAACGGUGCAUGAGCAUGGGACAUCAUUCAUUCGAGUAACAAUCAGUAAUUUUGAUAUCAUUCAAUAGAACACAAUACAACACAUAUCAUAAAUCAAAAAAAUUUCGAGUAUGUCAUGAACAUGAUGCAAUGGAAAAAGGUUCCUACCCAUACUAUCCGCUACACACUAGGAGUUCCCUAGAACUCGUCAUCCAAACUCCAAAACAUUAUGGGCUUAAGCCCAUUGUGGCUAAAACCACCAAUAACAAUAUGCAGAAAAUUCUGCCAGUAAAAAUGCAGACAAGCUGCUAGUAAAAAUGUAAUAAAUCACCAUUCCCCUUGGUACUCCAAGUGUAGUGCACUAACUACGAAUAAUAGGGACUUAAUAUGCACCGGUACUCCACGGAACUCCUCCGUCAACCACAAAAUCUCAACCCAAUGCAUAGGCAAUAUGUCACAUAAUCUCAUACAUAAUCAUAUCUCAAUAUCACAUUGAUUGUACAUGCUCAGCAUGCCCUCAAUAAUAACAUAUUUUCAGCAAAUGGAAACAGUGUUCCAAUCUUUCAAAUUAUCAUUGUGUUUGUAUCAAUCAAUAUCGUUUAAUUUCACAUACUUUAUAGAUUUCCAUUGUGCAUAAAUAGCUCCCUUUUCAAUACACAAUAUAACAAAUAUCUCAUACGUUUAAAUCAUAUAUAAGCUUAAUAUCUCAACACAUUAUAUCAUUCAAUCAAACAUUUUCAUAUCUCGUAAUUCAAAUAUGCAAUUACAAACUCAAUUAAACAUUCAUACUAUCAAACUAGCAAUUUUGCCAAAAUGUCAGUAUUUUAAGGCUAGAAACAUACUUGGUUCGGCCACUCACAAAAUCAAUAAUUUGGCUACUAAGUCAAUCCAAUCAACAAGCUAAUUUAUCAAAUGUAACAUGAUAUUUAAUAUUUUCAAAUAAUUUUAUUAGUUUAGGGCCCACACCUUAUUUUUCUCUUCCUCGCAGCACACUAGCAAAUCUUCCAAUUUUCCUUAAUAAUUCUUUAAACGAACCUAAACAUAUAAAUUCAAAAAAUUUAACAUUAAACCAGCCCCAAAAUUCUCACUUAUGAUUUCAAACCAAUCAUUGAAAUUAUAACCAUUUUAUGAAUCCAAACAAGUUAGAUUCCUUACACUGUACCGAUGCGAACUGUACGUAUAAUCGUUCUUCGCCUUUAUGGUUGAUUUGAGGCAUUUGGGUCAGCACCUAAUUCAGUAAUGUACUGGAAAAUCAGUAGCUAAUUAAUGAUUAAAUUCCUUCAUUUAAUUAAUUCAUAACAUUUACCCAACAACUACGUCGAAUAACAAACUAGUUAUCAUUAAUUGCACUUACGCUUCACGAUUUGCGAGUUUCGAAUAACCAAUCGAUCAAAAACAUUUUUUCCCUAAUUUACAUGGGUUUAAAAGCUAAUUAAUAGGGUUCAAGAACACAAAUUAAGGCUAGAAUUAAUUGGCAAGAUUCAAGAAACAAAACAGACCCCUUUCUUACACAUAGGCACACGCACCACCACCCAUGAUGCCCAAAAUUGGGGGUUAAUUUUAAAAUGGUUUGAGAUCUUAUUAAAUCUUGAAAAAUAACUUUGAAAUCAUUUAAAAUCCACCAAAUUCCAGAUCUAGAUAUUUUGUUUUUUAAUUGACAAGAUUAACCAAGAAAUGAAAAGAAAAUAGAUCUUACCCAAGCUAGUUGAGAGAAACGGCAAUGACACUUUCUUGGCAAUGUUCGGGAUCGAUCUUGGGGUUUAAGAUUUUAGAUUUAGGGCUUAUUUAGAUGAGGAUAAAUGGAAUCAAUAUAAUAAAGAAGAUGGUGCACAAUCUUGACGCAAAAAGAAAAAGAAAGAGAUUGUAAAAUGGGAGGUGUAGGGGACGGCAUUAAUGGAGGAAAGGAAAAAUAAAUAAAAUCAAAGAGAGGGAGAGGAGGAGAUGAACGGGGAUGGAAAUGAGGAGGAGUAUGAAAGGCUGAUUAUUUGUGAAAAAUUAACAUUUAUACCUAGGGUUACAAGACUUGAGUGGCACACACAUUAAAAAUAAUGGAUUUUUGCCAAAAGUUAAAUUAUUUCGCAAGAGAAAUGAUUUAAACUUGGGACCUCAUUUAAUUUUCAUGUUUUCUUAUAUUUCUUUUAACCAUUAGGAUUUUUCCUCAUUCUUGAAAUAAUUUUGCAAUAUUUAUUUUAAAAGUAAGGCAUGUCACAUACUAGGGUUUAAGGCAAAAUUUGCAAAAUAAUAAAAAUGGUAAGAGAGAAAGGAUUUGAACUUGGGUUUCAAGGAACAUUACACUAACACUUAACCAACAAACCAAUAUCUCAUUUAUUUCCUAAAAAUGCAUAGAUAAUCUUAAAAAUUAAGGCAUUACCUCUCUCUCUCUAUUUACAAACCAAAUUCUAAUAACCCCGAUUUUUGGGACGUUACAUUAAUUAUCUAAUUCAGUGCAUGUAAUGAUUGAUUUUAAUUGAAACAGAUAAUAUAGUUGUAAUUUCAAAAAAGAGAGUUUUUUUUCAUACCAAUAAAACUUUGGUUAUGUUAGCAAAUGUUGACAACCUUUGAUUUUGAGUGUUCAAUUGGGUCUUAUCAUAUGUAAAUCAUAUUGAUUUAGUUAGCUCAUUGUUAAAUUAGCUAUUUAGUUUCAUACUUCUAAUGAUUAUUUAUUGUAAUUAAAAAAUUUAUUGAAUCUUUCGAAUUGUGAAUAUAAUUGUAAUUGAAGUAUUGUAUAUACAAAGUAUAACAAGGGAGGAAGAUAAGUUGGAACGAAGACGACAUCAAUGUGAUGUAGUAGAUGUUGGUUCACCUAUAAAGGUCGAGAGCCGAAACAAGGAUAAGAGGACAAGCUAAUUGAAAAGAUAAAUGCAAGUAACUUUAAGGUAUAGAAAGGAUUGAUCCCUUGCCCAUAGUUUUUCAAGGUAUUUAUAGGGAGAAGUCUCAUUUUCCACUGGUAUGAUAUUGGCUAGAUAAGCAUUUAAUCAUGUUAAACAUGUAAGAAUAAUCAUGGGUGAGUAUUAUGGGAUUCUAUCAGUUUGAAGUAAUUAAGCUUAAAUGGACUCCUUAUUGUCUUCGAAGUGUGUUCACAUUAAGAUAACAAUCUCUUAUGACCACGGGUGAUAGGUUCUGUUUGAAGCGGGUUGGAUGGUUGUGCUUAAAGGGUCAAUGCAAAGUCAACAAUGUCGUUUGUGCUUGACACAUGCCUUUCUGGUAGAGGGGUAUAACAAGUAUAUAUUAGAUUAUGACAAACAUGUGAGUAAAAUAAAAUUAUAAAAAAAUACAUUUAUUAAAAUUUUAUAUAAAAAUCAAGUCUUAAUUGAAAGGAUAAAAAUUUAAAAUUAUAAUGUUUAGUAAUUUUAAUACAAAUGUUUUUUAUUAAAAAAAUAAAAAUAUUUUAAUAAUAGUGUAACUUAUUUUAUAGAAAAAUAUGAUUUUUAAAUUUUUUUAUCUAACAUUUAUCUAUACCGUUAAUAAAAUUCCUGACUGUGUUGGUGUAACGAGUCAACCAAGCACCAACUCGGUUAGGAAAAUUACAAAAAUGUUUAAUCAUAUUUAAAAUAAGUUAUAUUAUUCUAGGGUAUUUUAACCUUUUUUAAGUUAAAAAAUAAAAAUAUAUAUAUGCAUAUGUUGGGGUUUGAACCCAUGUCAAUUACAUUGAAAAAAUUUUAAAUUUACCACUCAACUGAAACUUUAUUUUAAUAUUUUUGUAUAUGUUUUUAUUUUAAUAUGCACAUUUUAUUACUUUCAUUAGGGUAGUGUUUAGAAAGCCAGAUAGGAAUUAGAUUUGAGUGUAAUUGCUUAUAAUUACACAAUGAUGGCAUGUUUGGAUAACCAUUGUAAUUAGUAGGUCUCACUGAAUUGGGUGCAAUUGGAGCACCCCAAUUACACUUUUCAAUUCUUAGGAAAAGGGUGAGAAUUGGAGUAAUCACGUAGGUAGUUACACUCAAAUCUAAUUUAAAAAAUUAUUGUUAUACGAGUUAUAAAAAUUAUAUUAUAAACAUGAACUUGUAUGAGUGUUUGGGAUGGUUAUGGUCGAAUUUUUCUUAUAUUAUAAAUUCUAAAAAAUAUAUAUUAUAAAAUUAAUAUGUAUUUGAUAAAUUUAUAACAAAAAAUAUUAUUUAAAUCCUAAAAAAUUUCUAAAAUUUAUGAUAAAAAAGUUUAUUAUAAAAAAUUUUACAUGUUAUAAAAGUGUAAUAAUAUAUUGAUUUAUGAAAAUUUAUAGCCAAGAAGUAUGAACAUAACUUAUUUAUGUGUCCAUACUAUAUAUUAUAAAAAUAAUAUACUUAUUCACAAAAAAAAAUGUUAUAGUUUUUUUUUUAUCAUAACUUAUUUAUAAAAAAUAACUUUAUCAAGUUAUGGCAAAAACUUAUAUUAUUUAUAAGAAAUGUUAUGAAAGUUUAGGACAAUUUAUAAAACAUUUUUAUAAAGGUUAUAUAUUAUAAUUUUUAUAUUAUUUUUACUUAAUAUACGUAUUAUAAAAAUAGAUAUAACCUAGUAUAAGUCUUUCUUCGAAUUAAGUUUAUAUAAGUUUUUAAAAUUAAAGUUACAGACUAUUUGGAUUGUGAAUUCAGAUAUUAUAAUGCUGAUACUAAUUAUGAAAAUAGAAAAUGUUUUCUUACAUCCUAUCGUAAGGCAUGAUAUCAUUUGAGAGAAUGGUACUAGACAUAAGCAUAAUAGACAGUUGGCGAACUCUUUGAUUUGAAGCAUCCAAGGCUUCAGAAUAUGGUUGAGAAGACAUUUGUUCUAAAAAAAUAUUUCUCAUAUUAACAUCACCUUAGUAUAACACAAAAAAAAGUUGGACCAUACUAGCAUGGUGCAUAUUUCAUAACUUCAAUCAUAGGUGGAAAUGAGAUGAUCCAUACUUCAAAGAGUACAUGAAGAAGAAGAUCUUGAUAAUCGUAAUUAUGCAGAUUCAAAUUUAGAUGAUGAUGAACUCAGUCAAAGACCAACAGAUGAUGAUAAGGAGAAUAUGCUAAAUAUUAAAGAGGAAAUAACUCUAUAAGAUGAACUAGAACACUUAAAUAAAAUUGCAUAUGGUUUAUUUUCUUCUUCUUUUUUUGUUAAUAAUCAUAUUAUCAACUACUUUUUUGGACUAACACAAUACAUAUGAUUAUUUGAUUUUAAUUUUUGUUACUUUUUUAUAAAUUAAUUUUAUCAUACUAAUAAUUUUUAUAGUAGUUAAUAUUUUUUAAAAAUGAAAUUUAUGUAACUCUAUAGUUAAAAAUUGUACUACCAAACAUUACAUAAAGAAUUACGAUGUAAUUACUCUCUGACACCCAAACACAUCUAGGAAAUUACAAUUCAUUGUAAUUACAAGAGAGUGAAAUUAUUAUCUUAGUAAUUACAUUUUCAUUCAAUUAUUUUGUGAUGUCCAAACAAACCCUAAUUGUAUAUAUAUUAAUAUUUAUUAAUAAUGUUGUUGAUUGAGUUAGUGUCACAAAUUAACUCGACAUCAACUUAAUAUUGACGAGAACACCAUGUUAAAAAAUUGUAAUCAUUUAGUAUUCUUAAUAUGAUGUAUUUAUAUGUUUAAAUUUCAUUUUACUUACAUUUUGAUAUAAUUUUUUGUUAAUCUGAUGUUUUUGUGUUUAACUUUUUUUACUCGCGAUUUAAUCUAAUUUUUUAUUUUAAUAUCGUACAUAUUUCAUGUGUUAUUAUAAUUACUUAGUUUCAAACCAUAUGUUUCAUUGUUUAUUGUAUGUUAUUUUUAAACAAAUAUUUGUGUUCUAAUUCGUAGUGUCCAUACGCAUACACAUGUGAUAAAAUUUCUAGUAGGAACCUAUGAGGUUUGAGCAGAUUUUUUUUUUUUAAGAAUUGAGCGGAUUGUUGAAUUUAUAUCAUUUUGUAAUAUUCUUUUGAACCAAAAAAGAAAUGGUAGACAACACUCAAGAUCACUAAACUACUAGUGAAUUUACGUUUUCAUGACUCAACUUCAAAAAGUUACAAAAUAGUUAUUAAAAUAUUGAAAAAAUUUCAUGUCAUUGAAUUAUUUGGACGUUUUUAUUUAAACCAUUAAGUUGUUAAGUUUUUUUUCUAAAGUCCUGCUAAUGAUAGGUAGGGUAGAUCAGUACCCUUACUUAGAUCCAAGUCGAUCUGAUGGUCAAUAUCAAAGAUCAAAAAAAAAAUGAUUGGAUUAUGGUUCACAGAUUCGUGAUGUUUAAAGUUUUUUCAUGAAAAAAAAACUGAAUUGUAAAAAGGGAGGGGAAUGAAAGCUUUUGAUUAGUGCAAGCAGUGCAAAUAGAGAAGGCUAUACAACAACAAUAUUAAUAGUCCAUUAACUUGAAUGAAAAUUUUUGUAUAAUUCAAUUAUCAUCUUAUAACUUUCUAAAGUUGAGUGACCAAAAUAUAAAUCUAUUAAUAGUUUAGUGAUUUUAGUGUAGUUUACCUAGAAAAGGAAAAGAAAUGGUGGCAUAGCUUUUCUUUCUUGACUUGUCUGCCGCUGCUAGAUGCCUACUCUUGAUAGGGCUAUUAGGAAUGAGGCGUGGCUCAAUUCUUUUCCUAAUUAUUUCGUGACCCACUUACCUAGACUCAAGUCUGAUCACAAGCCUAUCUUUCUUUCGCUUCAAUUUGAGCUUUAUCCAUCUAGGGGUCGUCCUUUCCAUUUCUUGGCAGGAUGGAUUGAGCAUACAGAUUUUUCCAACUUCGUGAAGAAUAAUUGGAAUUUUGCUAGUUCUAUGUCUACCUCACUUUCUAAUUUCACAAGCCAACUUAAAGAGUAGAAUAAUGAGGUAUAUGGCAAUAUUAGGAUACGCAAAAAGAAACUGAUUCAGAAACUUGAUUCGAUUCAAAGUAGGUUGAAUUAUUCUCAGUCUGACCAUUUAUUUCAGUUGGAAUUGUAGACUAAAGAGGAAUUGGAAAAUCUACUGUAUCAUGAGGAGCUUUUUUGGAAACAAAUGGUGAGGUGCGAUUGGCUUUCUCUGGGAGAUCGUAAUACUAAAUUCCUCCAUAGGUGCACCCUUAAAAGGAGAAAGCAAAAUUAGAUUACGGCUUUAAAAAUGAGGAAAGAGAGUCAAUUUUUUAUGAUGGGGAUCUACGUCAGGAGGCGUCAUGUUUUUUCAAAAAUUUAUAUAGAGAAGACUCGGGGCCGAUGAGAGGUCUUCCUACUAGUUCUUUUCUGAAGCUUAAAGAUGAUGAGAUCCAAAUGUUAAGCAAACCAGUUUCAAAUGAGGAAAUAAAAUCCGCCUUGUUUGAUAUAGUCCUCUGAAGGUGCUGGGGAGUGAUGGAUUCGAUGCCCUCUUCUUUUAGAGUCAACCGAAGCAGAUUGGGGAUUCGGUUUGUACUUGGAUCAAGAAUAUUUUUUAUGGUGAAACAAUCGAUCCAGAGCUGAAUAAUACCCUUUUAGUCCCCAUUCCUAAAAUCCCAAAUCCAGAUUGUUUUCCCCAUUUCGACCAAUCAACCUUUGCUCAGUUCUUUACAAGUUGGUAAUGGAAAUUAUUGCCAAUCAUUUCAAACUGGUAUUUCCAAGAAUUAUUGGUCAAGAACAGACUGGGUUUAUUACGAGAAGGAGUAUUAUGGAUAAUAUUAUUAUUGCUUGGGAAGUAUUUCAUUCCAUGAAAAUUAAGAAAAAGACUUAGAAUUGGAUGGCCAUAAAGAUUGACCUAGAGAAAGCAUGCGAUCAAAUGCGUUGGGAGUUUAUCGAUGCAUCUCUUCAAGCUAAAAGUAUUCCGAAUUACCUUUGUAAUGUGAUUAUGUCUACUAUCACUAACUCUACUUUGCAUAUUUUGUGGAAUGGCAAUCCAACUCAAAAAUUCAAGCCGUCUAGGGGGUCUGUCAAGGGUGCCCACUUUUCCCCUACUUAUUUGUUCUAUGUAUGGAAUGGCUUGGCCAUAGUAUAUAGGCUAAUAUUAAUUUUGGUUGCUGGAGACCUAUCCGUUUAUCUCGUCUAGGCCCUUUCUUGUCUCACCUAUUUUUUACAGAUGAUCUGAUUCUAUUUGGUCAAGCUGAAGAGAGUCAAGCUAUAAUCUUGAAGAAAGUGUUGAAUAGCUUCUGUGAUUAUUCAUGACACAAGAUUAAUGUGAACAAAUCAAGUGUUUUCUUUUCUAAAGGCAUGAGUAAGGUGUUAGGAAGUAACUUGUGCCAUAUUCUUGGCUUUCGAAGAGUGCCCAAUCUCGGGUGCUAUCUAGGAAUUCCCCUUUUUCAUGAUAAAGUUGCCAAUAGUUCUUUGUGCUUUGUGGUGGACAAGGUUUAAAGUAAGCUACAGGGGUGGGAUGCGAGAUAUUUGUCUCUUGCUGGUAGGACUACCCUAGCUCAAUCCGUUCUUAUGGCAAUUCCUAGUUACUUUAUGCAGGUUAUGCUGAUUCCCAAGGGACUUUGUGAGGAAAUUGAAUGUAUAGUGCGUCAAUUUGUUUGGGGAUCUUCAAAGAAUGGUAAGAAAUUGGGUUUGGUGGGAUGAGAGGAUGUCUAUCAGCCUCAAAAGCAUGGUGGUCUUGGCUUUUGAAAGCUGCAAGAUCACAACACUUCCUUCAUGAUGAAGCUGGGUUUUAAAAUUUUGACUGAUUCUAGAGCUCUCUGGGUACGGGUUUUACAAGCAAAGUAUGGGGUAACUGAUGAAAUACCAAAAAAUUUAUCCUGUAGUAGAAGUUCCUCCUUGUGGAGAUCCCUUACUAAGGUUUGGCGUCUCAUACGGGAGAAUUUGUUUUGGCCAGUGGGGGAUGGGUGAAAAGUUAAGUGUUGGCGAGAUCCAUGGAUUCCUAAUGUAGAGCCUCUCGUUAAUUUGAUUCCCGAUCACUCUAGUCUUGAUUUGGAUUAUUUGCUUAGUGAUAUGGUUUUAGUGGAUGGUAAUUGGAACCUUGAAUUAUUUCAUCUUUGGGUACCUAGGACAUUCAUACGAAAGAUUAUUGGAAUACCCCAACCUCAUCCAGAGGCAAGCGUAGACAAGAUAAUUUGGGGAGGCUCAACGACGGGUUCUUUUUCUAUUAAAAAUGCCUAUGGAAGAAUUAAGGCAGGUUCUUGGAAAUUGAAGGAAGAUACUUGGAAGAUCCAUCCAUUGGAAUUUCAAAGGUCUACAAAAAGUACGAUUUUUUAUUUGGCUAAUUCUUAAGCAGAGACUUCUCACUAGUGAAGAAAGAGUUCGUCGGGGUUUGGGGUAGAGUUCAGUUUGUGGAGUUUGUAGCCAUAUCUCCGAAGAUGUGUUACAUGUUUUAAGAGAUUGUCCGGCAGCGGAAGAUAUUUGGAAUAUUCUAAUCCCUACUAAUCGCCUUAUCAGGUUCUAUUCUAGUAACACCCAGGAAUGGAUUGCUUCCAAUUUGCUUAAUCAGUAUGAUAUUUGCUUCGUGGAGGUUAGCUGGGAAUGUCUUUUUGGGAUUAUCAUCUGGCGUAUCUAGAAGAAUCGUAACCUUGUUAUUUUUCAGGGUGUACCAUAGAGCAGUUUUGAUAUUAUCAGAGCCUCAUAUAGUUAGGCCAAGCAUGAUUUGAAGAUCAAUCAAAGUCAGUUGAAUACAGGGAGGAUUAUGAAAUCCUGCUCCAAUUUGCCUGAAGGCUAGGUUUCUUUAAAUAUAGAUGGUUAUGUUAGGUUUGAGGGCGACUCUGCAGUAGCAGAAGGGGUUAUGAGAAAUCAAAAGGGGAAGUGGAUCAUUGGUUAUAAUAGGUUUUUGGGAAGUUUCUCAGUGUUUGAGGUUGAACUAUGGAGCAUAUUGGAUGGUCUUAAUCUAUUAAUUGAUUAUGGUUUGGAUAAUGUCAUGAUUCAUUCUAAUAGUAUUGAAGUGGUGAUGGCCAUUCAAGAGAGUUCUACAGGAAGUUCCAAUACAGAUCUAAUUAGGAGGAUUCUUCAGUUAUUGUCUCAGACUUCACACUGGAAUAUUUAUUACAUACCUAGAGAAGAGAAUCAGGAAGCCGAUAACCUUUCCAGGUUGGCUCACUCGAGAAGGCAAGGGCUGCGAAUGUUUGGAAAACCCCCGUGUGGGGAGUUAGGCUAGUUGACUUUUUUAUUUCUUGUAAUUUUCUGUUUUCCACCAAAAAAAAUAAAUAUAUUUUAAUAACCUCAUUUUCCAUGAAUAUAUGUUUGGACUUUUGAGUUUGGCAAAGUGGGUAAUCACCUCUCCGUCUUUUGAACAUAUUUGUUUGAACACCCCUAUAAAUAUUGAGGGCUAAAAAAGUUAUUCUACCUUUGACAUUGUUAACUUUAAAGGUAAAAUUCAAAAAAAAAUAUAAACAAAAAUUUCAGAAUUCAAUGUUAUCUAAAUCGGGUCAGAUAGACCAAUCGAAUUGAGAACCGAUUGGGGUAUGACCCAAUGAAAGGUAAAAAUUGGUUGGGGUAUCUAUACUUUUUUCACUCAAUUAAUCCCUUGAACUUUAAAAUUACAAUCAAUUAAGCCUUUUGACCAUUAAAAUUAACGGUCAACUCUUAUAGAAUAAUUAUAGUCAUUUUUAUGUGUUCUCGCCACGUGGUACGCCAAAAUUGUGUCAUGUGGCAAAAACAUGUAUUUUAUAUUCAAAAACAUUAAAAAUUAUUAAAUAAUUAUAAAAAUAUAUUAAAUGAUUAUAGAAAAUCAUAAAAAUAUAUGUCUUUUUUAAAAAUAUAUAAAAAUAUUAAAGUGAAAAAAUUAUAAAAAUAUAAAUUUUAAAAAAAUUUAUUAAAAAUGAAUUUUUUAUAUAAAUUAUAGAAAAAUUUUAAAAAAAUUAAUAAAUUUUAAAUAUAUAUAAAUUAUGAAAAAUAAAAAAAUGUAAAAAUAUAGAAAAAUGUUUAAAAUAUAGAAAAUUAUUAAAAUAGAAAAUUACAAAAAAGAGUGCAAAAAAUUAUAGAAAAUUAAAAAUAUAUUAUUAAAAGUUAUUCAAAAAUUAAUAUAAAAAUUACAAAAAUAUAAAAUAUAAAAUAUACAAAAAAAUAUUUACAUUUUAUAUACAAAUAGUCUCUAUUGUCAUUUGCUUUCUCAACCCAUUUCCCCACCUUAGUUUACAUCUCAAAUCACUUUCUUGUCAUCAUCCAUGGACAAAAGGGGCAUAAGGUUUGGAGAGGUUUGUGGUGGACGAACAUAGCAUAUAGUUUUAGGGAUCAAAAAAUAUUUCAUAAUUUUUAAUAGGUAUUGUAUUGUUAACAAUGGUUAGUGUGUAAAUGGAGAACGUUAGUUUUUUUUUUUAUAUUUUUAAUAUAUUUAAUAAUUUUAUGUUUCUUAUAAUAUUUUUUCUAAUAAAUUUCUAUAUUUAAAAAAAUCAUAAUUUUUACAAUUUUUCUAUAUUUUCAUGAUUUAUAUUUUUUAUAAUAUAUUUUUUAAUAUAUUUAAUUUUAUAUUUUUUCAUUUAUAAUAAUUUUUAUAGUUUUCUAUAUUUUUUAAUUUUUGCACUUUUAUUUUUAUAAUUUUUCAAAAUAUUUAUAUUAUAAUUUUUAAAUUUUUAUGAUUUUCUAUAGUUUCUAUGAUUUUUUUAUAAUUUUUUUUAUAAUUUGUAACGAUUUUAAAUAUAAAACACCAAUUUUUGUCACUUGGCAUAAUUAUGGUGUGUCAAGUGGUAAAAUAUCUAGAAAAAAGACUAUCGUUAUUCUGUAACGGUUAAGAGUCAAAAAUUUUAAUUAAUUAUAAUCCUAUUGUUCAAGUAUUUAAUUGAAUGAAGAAAAAUAUAGAAACUUAAUUGAAAUUUUUCUAAAAAGUUUAAAAGAAUUUUAACAACCUUUGACCAAAUAAAAAGUAUAUUUUUUAAGUCUCCCUUCUCACAUCCCCUCCUCCACCUUUUAUCCAACAAAAAAAAAAACCCCAAGAAUUUUUGUUUUUAGAAAACUAUGGAAAAAUCCAUAGAUGAUUUAGGAGCCCUUUUAGUGAGUUCUCUUAUAAAAAUUAUAUAUAAACUUUUAAAUAUAUAAAUGAAAUAAUUAAAUAUUUUUAAUAAAAAUCAAAAUUUUCAUCUUCAUCAAAUUCAGAGUAAUUAUUCAUCUUCGUCUAUAUAUAAUAAUUAAAUAUUUUAUUUUAAAAAAAAUAAAUAUAUAGAUAAAUUGUGGGUUUCAAGAUUCUUAUCAUAAUGAUUGUUUUUGUCUCCAAAUCCUUUUAUUCCGACGAUCAUAAAUCCUUUGAAGUCCAACGGCUUAAUAAAAGAACUCAACGAUUUUGGUAUGCUCGUCAAUGUCGUCAUCCGUGGGCAUCAUCGAGCAUACCAUUUGGAGUUCAAAUGGGUUUUCGGGAGAAAGAUGAAUAUUGAGAAGCGAUAAUAGAAUAACAACUUUAAUAAUAAUAAUAAUAAUAAUAAUAAUAAUAAUAAUAAUAUACUAGGAAAACAAUUUUAACAAUAAUAUUUAUGAAAUUAUAAAACAAAAACACAUGGCAUAAUUUAAUUCGUUGAGUUCUUUUUAAUAGCACAAUUUUAGACUAAAAUCUUUAACGUUUGGAUUAGGGGUCAGCAAAAUUCGAUUCGACUCGAAAAAAUCGAAAAAAAAUUCGAAUUUCGAGUUAAACGAGUCGAGUUAUUCGAGUUAAUCGAGUUAUUCGAAUCAACUCGAAUUUUUUUUUCGAAUUUCGAGUUCGAAUCGAGUUGAGUUUUCGAAUUCGAAUAACUCGAAUAAUUCGAAUAAUUCGAAUAUCAAACUAUAAUAUUUUACAGUUUUACCCUAAACUCCCAAACUUUUUUACUUUUCCCUCAACUCCUUCCCACUUUUCCCCCCCAAAACUUUUACUCUCCUCCCCUCCCAACCCCCAAUCUACCCAAAAUCCAUUUCCCACUAAAAUUUUACUCUUCCAUUCAUUUUUUUUCAAAAUUUUACUCUCAAAAACCCUCAAAACUUUUUAUUUUCCCCCAAAAUUUUUACUCCCUCCCACUUUUCCCCUAAAACUUUUAUUCUCUUCCCAUCUCACCUCCCAUCUACCCCAAACCCUCCCCCCUCCAAUUUUUUUUUUAAUAUUUUCCCUCCAAAAUUUUACUCCCCCUAUUUACUUUCCCUCAAACUUUUAUUCCCCAAAACUUUUUAUUUUCCCCCUAAACUUUUACUUCUCACCCUUUACUCUCAAAUAAAAAAUCAAAAUUAUCCAAAAAAAAUCACUAAACAUAAAUAGUAAUAAUUUUAUUUAUAUAUACUAUUUAUAUUAUUAAAUUAAAUUUCACAUUUUAUAUUAUUUAUAUUAUUGAAUUGUUUAGUCAUAUUGAAUAUUUAUAUUAAAAUUGAAUUCUUAAUUAUGCCAUAAAAUAUUCGUGUUAAAAUUUUAUAUUGGUAUCAAUUUCAAAUUUUAUUUUUAAAAUAAAUUUUAUUAAAAAAUCAUAUUUUUAUAUUUAAUAUAUUUUUAAUUCCAAAAUACAUAGUGACAAGAAUCCGAAGAUAAUUGAAACAACUAAGCAAACAAAUAAGCUAACCAGUAUAUAAAAAAUUAAUAAAUAAAUUAUGAGGUGAUGAAAGUUAAUAAAAAAUUUGAUUAAGGUGGACAAAUUUUAUUACGAUGGGUGACAAUGGUUACAAGGACCCAAAAUUAUUUUUUAAAAUUUAACUCGAACAAAUAUAUUCAAUUCGAUUCGAUUCGAAUUCCAUCUCACUCGACUCGAUUCGAGAAAACUUCAAAUAAAGUUAGGAUGAUAAAAUGAGAUUCGAAAACUCGAUUAACUCGAAAAUUUUUGAUUCGAUUUGAUUCGAUUCGAUCGAAUGCUCACCUCUAGUUUGGAUACUUUAGAUAUCUAUAAAAAAAUUUUAAAUACUAAAUAUAUUUUAAAAGUCAAAUCAUUUAGACUUCAAUCAAUUGCUAUUUAUGACAAUAUAUUAUUUAAAAAUUUAAAAAAAAAACUUCAUUACUUAAAAAAAUUAUUUAAAAGUAUAAUGUUAAUUUGUAAUUAAUAAACUUUAAUAGUAAAAUUUUAAAAUGAGCAUUAACAGUUGUUCAUUUAUGGAAUAAUUUUUUUAUAAUAAUACUUAAAUAUUUUUUGUGAUUAUAAAUAUAUAAUUUUGUCUUCACUUGUAUGAAGCGAUGGUUAAAGCUUUGUCUGAUAUCCAUUUGAUAUACUUUUUGUUGAAAAAGUUAAAGUCGAAUCUACCCAUAAUAGGUGAAACCCGAUUCAUUUGGGAUUAAAAUAAAACUACAUAUUGGUAUAUAAAAUAUUUCAAAAAUGGAAGUUAAAAAAAAGGAUAAUGGCAUAUUCGCCCCUGUAUUUAGUAAAUUUUUUAAUAUGGUACCUAAAGUUUCUAAAUGUCCAAUGUACCUCUUGUACUUUACUUUCAUUUUCUAAAAAGGUACUUGAGUCUAUUGGCGUUAAAGUGUGAUGUGGCAUUACACGUGAACCACUAAAAUAUCGACACGUGGCAAUUUUUGCAAGAAAAAUGUUAGCCAAUUCAAAUCUAGGGGCGUGAUAACAAUUUUACCAUUUUAUUUCCGAAGGCAAAAGAAAAUGGUUGACAUUUUUUGGAAAAUAACAUGUGGCUCAAUUUGCCACAUCACUCUUUUAUGCAGUCAUUUGAAGGACUAAAACACAAUUAUACCAAACCUUUAUUUUAACUAAAAUCAAAUAAAAAUCCCAAAUUUCAUCUUCUUCAUCAAUGACAAUGUCAAUAUCUCUUCCCCAAAAUUUUCUCUUUAAAAAAAUUGAUUUGGCAAUAACCAUCCCCAAUUUGUAAUCGUUAAGGUUUAGCUUUUGGUUUCAUUUUUGUCACUUCUCAUCCAAUGAAAGAAAAAUAAAAAUAAAAAAACCAAGCAAUCUUCUUCCCUAUUUGAAAACCCAUCUUUCAAAAUCUCAACUUUUCAUGGAGAUAUAUUUUGGCCAUAAUCUUUUUUGGUUUCAUCCGAAAAGUGAAGAAGACUGUAACGACCCAAUUUCCAAUGGUGUCAAAAAAUAUGGUUUUGGGACUCCAUUUCUGUAAACCGAGUCUGUAAAUAUUAAAUAAAAAAAGUUAUGAAGUUACUAUAUAGGUGAACUGAAUUCUGGAUAAGUAAUUUAGUCAAAAUUGUGUUUAAUUAGGGCCUAGGGGUAAAUUUUAAAAGUCUUAUCGCUAUAAUUUUUUAAUUGGCCAAAGAUUUAGGGACUUAAAUUGCAAUUAACCAAGGGUAUAAAAUAUCAAUUAUACCAUGUCAAAUUAAGAGCUACUGGAUGGUAAGGUUAAUUAAGCAUUAAACUUAAUUAAAAUAAAUUAUGUUUAAUUAAACUAAGAUUGAUUAAAACUUAAUCAUGUAUAUAUAUAUAUAUAUAUAUCCAAAUUCAGUGGAAUGAAACAGAAACUUUCUUUCAUCUUCCACCUAAAAGCCGUCCACCUCCAUUGAAGAGGAAAACAAAAGCCUCCAAGGGUUUUCAAAGUUUUGGUCACUAAUUAGGUACUACAAUGUUUUUGAGGUCCUGGGAGCUUGAUUUAGCUAGCCCAUAUACUAAUGUUAAAGUUUUUAAAGAUGUCAUUAUUGAGAAUUUAAAGUUUUAGGUGUUAAAUUGAUAGGUUUUAAGCUUAGAUGUGAAAAAGAACUAAAUUGUGAAGCUAAAUUAAUAGUUUUUACAUUAGAGACUAAAGUGAAUAAAAUGUAAAAUUGAUAGUAUCAAUAAGAAAUAGGAGGUCUCUAAUGGGUAAUGGUGAAAUCGUAUUUCAGUUUAGAGUUUUAAAUUGAUAGUUAGGUUAGCCUCGAUUUUAGGGACUGAAUUAAAUAAAUUGGAAAAUAUGUGUGACCUUGUAAUUAAUUUUGAUUUGAGCUUUUAAUAUUAUGUAUUGUCGGAUUAUUAUUUGUAGUUAAAGAUAACACGGGAACGUCAAGAGGGAGAGGAAAGGUGAAAGCCAACGACUAAUAACUCAAGUGUUCGUUUGUAUUUCUAUGAUUUGAAUUACUUGUAUUGUUGCAUAUUUAUGUUAUUUUGCUUGGUACGAUAUUGAGGUAAGUGAAAUAUGAUUGAUCAAAUUGCAUUGGUAUGAAUUUGAUUGAUUAUGGAGAUAUAGGACUAAAUUAAAUAAAAUUGAAAAUAGUAUAACUUAAUGAUAAUGUAAAAUUAGCUUUGAAUUGUGAUGACUCAACAAUGUUUGUAUAAAUCUCUUUUGUCGGUUAUAAGGCAUGUACCUAGGUUGAGUCAAGUUUAAUACAUAUUGUAACACCCCAAACCCGGUCUAAACGUUAUGUCUGAAUCUGGCGAUGUCACAUUAUAACAUCCCUUACCCGUAUUCGACACCGGAAUAGGGUACGAGAUAUUACUAGAAGACAUACAUUUGCAUACGUAUUAAACCAAGUUACAAAAUUUCAUCCGAACUAAAACUUUUAAAUUAUUAACGUGCUUUUAUAAUUCUUUACAGCAUAUCCUCGAAAUAUUAUAUUCAUAACAAAUAGGGCCUACGAGACCCGAUAUUUACUCAUGUAAUUCAAAGCUUCAUUUCCAUUUCAUUCAAUUCACAAUUUCUCAUGUUCACAAUUCAAAUCAAUUUCUCAAUCCAAUAAUAUAUUUCAAUCAUCUAAGAACAUAAUUCAAGUUACACGAACUUACUAGGCUAAAUUGCAGAAAUACCAAAAAUCAGGGAUAUUUUGGUAAUUUUCUAUUUUCCUUCGAAUUUCCACUCAAUCUUGAUAUAAAUUAAUAUUUCAUUCAAUUUAUUAAUUUAAAUAAUAAAAAAAUUCAUUUCAUGCAAUUUGGUCUUUUUUUUGACAUUUUUACAAAUUUACCCUUAAAAUAUUACUUUUAUUCAAUUUAGUCUCUGAACCUAAAACAUGCAAAUUAGCCAUUUUUAAUGAAAACUCAUGCUAGUUGAAUAAUCAUAUAUUUUCCUCCUCCUCCUCUCCAUUCCACACCCUUAAUGUAUAUAACAUGCUUAUAUGUAACAUUAUCUAUAAUUUCACUAUUUUUUUAUUUGUUCAUUCAAAGCUGUCAACUUCAGUCAUUAUCAUAAAAUCAUUUAUAUCUUGAGCUAUGUAACUUUGAAUUGAGAUCUAUUAAUUUUCUCUGAAACUAGACUCACAUAUAUUCUUACUAUAAAAUUUUCAAAAUUUUUAGUUUAGCCAAUAAGUACAUUUUAUUCUUUAAAGUCAUCCCUAUUCUGCUGCCUAACAGUUCUGACCCUUCUUCACUAAAAAUUAAUUAUCUCCUUGUACAGGAUUUGGAUGGUUUUUCUGUUUGUUUCUCUUGAAAAUAGACUCAUUCAGGAUUUUAAACAUAUAAAUUUAAGCCCAUAAUUAUUUUUCUCUAAUUUUUUAUGAUUUUCUAAAUUCAGAAUAGGGGAACCCGAAUUCAUUCUGACCUUGUCUCACAUAAUUUAUUAUAUCUCAUGAUUUACAAUUCCAUUACUUACACCGUUUCUUCUAUGAGAAACUAGAAUUAAUAAUAUUUAAUUAAAUAUUUUUUUAUCCUAUAAUUAAAUUUUCAUAAUUUAUGGUGAUUUUUCGAAGUUAGCCUACUGCUGCUGUCCAAAACUGUUUUAGUGCAAAAUGUUGAUUACUAAGUUUAUAACUUCCUUAUUCGUUUUCUCUAUAAUAUUUUCCAUCACUUUCUCUUAUUUCCCUUCACUAAUAUAUCAAGAACAUAAGACUUCAUUUAAGAAAACUCUACUAUAACAUCAUUUCCAUGCUUUUUCAAUAAUAACAAACUUAAAAAUAUAUUGAAAUCUUGAUGUUCUUACCUUGUCCUAUUGAUUUCAAUCUUUAACUUGAUUUUCUCUCUCCUCCAACUUCUAUUUCUUGAAUUUAACUUGAUAUUCUAGCUCCCCAUUGUCUCCUUGUUAUCUUUCUCUCUUGAUGGAUAUGAAAAUUCUUUUGAUUUCUAAGUGAAAAUGGUGAUUUUUUUGGUGAAAUGACCAAAUUAUAAAGAAAAAAGUUUCUUUCUUUCUCUUUCUUUCUUUUCUCUUCAUACGUUGGAUGCAUGGGAAGAAGAUGAAGAUUCUUCAUCUUUCCUUCCAUAUAUAUACUAAAUAGAAUAAUAAUAAAAUAAUAAAAUAUCAUUUAAAAAUCAAAUUAAAAUAUUAAUAAACUAAUAUUUAUUUAAUUAAUCUAAAAUAUCACCAACAUCAUCAUUGCCUUCUAGAUUUCUCUCUCUUCUAUUUGACCAUUUUACCUUUAUAAUCUUUAAAAAUUCCAUCCUUGAGUCAUCACUUAAUUUGGUAAAAUUGUGAUUUAGUCCCUCAAAAUUCUUCACCUUUUCAAUUUGGUCCUAAUUCAUUCAUUUUCCUUAGUUUCUAGAUUAUUUCACCCUUAAAAUAUUUACACUAUUGGUCCUUCAAAUUUUUCAUAUUUACACUUUAACCCCUCAAAUUUUGAGUACUUACUCUUGGGCAACAAAACUUUUCUCACUUUUGCGAUUUAAUCCUUUCUUGAAUUAAUAUGUCAUAAUAUAAUUCCCAAUGUUGCCAUAACUCAAAAUUUCCCUUUUUGUCACUUUAUUUCCUUAUUUUACUAUCAAGGAUACCUACUUUCUUACUGUAGUAAUUUUCGGGGUAUUACAGCAGUAAUUUUCGGGAUAUUACACAUAUUAUGCUUCUAAACAAUUUUGGUUCAAAAGACUAAUGUAUAAGCUUGGUUGAUUAGAUAUGGUUUGUAAAUUGACUUAAAUUUAGUAUGAAUAUGUAUAUGUGCUGCAAUAUUAAAGUUCUUGAUGGUUUUGAUAUGAACGUGUAUGUUUUAAAAGUAAUGCCUUAGAUUGUUAGUUUAUAGGGUAUAAAGCAUUUGCUUAUUGUUGAACUAGAUUGUUAAGUACGUGAGUUUCUGCUAGAUGAAUGUAUUUGUUAGUUGGUAUAAAAUUUGAAUGUGUUAGAACUUGGCUGGAAGAAUUGCAGGUUAUUGUUCUGUAUAAAUUGUCAAAACAAUGCGGGACGUCGCGACGAGAAAUGAUCUAUAAUGUCACUAAGAGACGAGGAACCCCGUUGUCUCAACGAGGCCAGCACAGUAACUGGCGCUGCGACGUCGAGUGGCCUGAUGCCGUCACGUGACAAACUGUUUGGUGACAUCAUGAUGUCAACCUUGUAUUUUGAAACUUUUACAAUUUGGUCAUUAUUUGACUUUGGGUUUCUAUUUGAGCUUUCGUAAGCUCGUGUAUGACCUGGAAAUGUUUGUAUAUUGUAUUAAAUCUACAUUUUGGUUGAAUUUAAACAUUAAAUGGUAUAAAUUGACUGUGACUGAUCAUAGUUGCUUCGGCAACAAAUGUGACAUCUUAUAUCUCGAGUCUGGCGAUCGGGUCAGGUAUUGAGGUGUUAGAAGAAUCCCCACAAAAUCAAUUUUUCCAAAUCGAAACCCAUCAAAAUCUUAAUUUUUAAAUUUUAUUUCCCCAAAUAGUAAUUGAAACUAAAAUCCUAAAAGUUGGAUGUUCUCUUAAUAAAUAAAAAUGGGUGUUUGAAAUCGAAACCCCUAAAGAUUCUGAAAUGAAAACAUUACCAGGGCCAUCAAUGGCAAUGCCAAGGAAGUCAAAACUUGGAACAAGAUUUGCCACCACGGCUGGGGUGAAGGACUUGACAAUGGUGAAAAUAGGCUCAAGCUCUGUGAUAGUGGUGGUGGAAAAUGAAGGUUUGCAUUUGAAAAUGAGGACUCUUUUUAGUUAUGGAAAAAGGGAAAUCAAUGGGUUUUGGGAUUAAAAUUAGAAGCAGAUUACAAAAAGAUUUUAAUGAAGUUUUAUUUAUUUUCUUUCUUUUUUUCUUUCUUUUUUUUUUUUUGCCUUGAAAAAGGGUAAAAUUGUUUCAAAGACCCUUGACUUGACUUGGCUUUUUUUUUUUUGCAAAAAUGUGAAAUGUGGCGUGAUAAGAGUUGCCCAUGUGUCCUAACAUGUCAAGCAUUAACGUAGUUAGACCCCGUUAUCUUUUUAGAAGACAGAAGUAAAAUACAAGGGACACAUUGGACAUUUUGAAACUUUAGAUAUCACAUUUGAAAAUAUUACUAAAGUAAAGGGGGCAAAUAUCGCAUUAUCCCAGAAAAGAAAAUGAAAACUUACCCAUUUUGGAAAAUGAUGCUUGACCAUAUAGGCGGGAUGACAUUUACAAAAGUAAAGAAGUUAUGGCGAUGAAAAUUUAAUGACAUCCCACCAUUAAUAAUAAAUAAAAAAUGGAUUCGGUCAUUUUUGUUUCAUUCUAUGACUAGUUUAUUGUGCAUAUAUACACUAGUUUUUGUUGUUUUUACUUGGACGAUGUGAGGUGAGUUGUAUUUAGGGGUGAGUAUUUGAUUGAGUUGAGUUGAGUUGAGUUGAGUUGAAUUGAGUUAGUCGAGUUGAUGAAUUAUAUUUUAGUAACUGAAUUUAAUUUGAAUUUUUUAUUGUAAUCUAAUCUAAUUGAGUUGAGUCGAGUUAACGAAUCAUAUUAUUUAUACUCAAUGUUAUGUUUACAUGGACCGAUUAUUUAACUAGUAGAUGAAAUACAAAAUUAUUUAACUACAUAAACAAUAUAAUUGUUUUGCCUUUUAACUUGAUGAGUAAACAUUUAUCAAAACGACGUAAUUUUUCCUUUUAACUUAAUGAUUUUGACUUUUAAUUUUAGAAAAGGUAAACAUUUAUCAAAACGACGUAAUUUUGCCCUUUCUUAUUCGGAUCUUUGGAUAACUCGAAUUGUAUAAUUCAUAUUUAAAUUAAACCGAAAAACUUAAUUUUUUUAUUCGAGUUUAUCCGAAUAACUUGAUUAACUCAAAUAACUCGAACUAUUUAAUUUAACUUUUUAAUUUUUUAUCGAAUUUUUCGAAUCGAAUCGGAUUUUGCUCAGCUCUAAUUGUAUAUAUUAUUUAAAUUACUUUUAAUUACAUUUCAUGAUUAAAAAAUUAAAACAUAAUACUAUAAAUGUUUAAUUUUAAAUUUUGAGAUUAAAAUGAUUUCCAUUCUAUGAGAAUUUUUAUUUUUACAAAAGCAACAAAAAAAAACAAAGGAAAAAUUAAAUGGUACAUCGAAUAUUAAAAAUUUACAAAAAAGUUAAUUUUUUAAUAAAAAUAUCAACUAAAAUAUUAAUUUUUUAAUAAUGUCAGCGUGGUAACUCGUGUAACAGUCCAUAUGUACUUCAUGCUAACAUUGCACUAUUUAAAUAAUUUAAAAAUUACAAUAAUAUUAAAAAAUUCAAAAUCCAACAAAAUUUCAUAAAAAUUAAAAAAUAUAUGAAGUACAUGUGAAUUGUCAUACAAGUUAUCAUAUUUAAAAUUUUAACAUUUUAGUCAGUAUUUUCAUUUUAAAUAAUAAUUUGACUUUUUUGAAAAGUUAAUAGUCAAAUUCGACUCUUUUUAAAAAGUUGAAAACCAAAUUUAAUUUAAAAAAAGAAAAGGACUAAAUUGAAAGAAAAUGUAAUUGUUAACAAAAUUUUGGCAUUAUACCUAAAAGUAAUGGCUAAAUAAAAAUAAUAAAAUUAAAUUAAUUGUAAAAUUGGAUGAAAUUAUUAUUUAUUGUGAUUAAUAGUAUAAUAUACUAGCGAAUCGAGACCUAAAAUUAUUUCCUUUUUUGCAUAAAACUUUAUUUUAGAUUCUAUAUACACACGAUAGCAUAGUUUAAUUUCGUUUAUCUAGAUUUUUUGUUCUUUAAAUAAAACACUCGAGCCCAACAAAUAUAUGGACAUAUUAAAUAUGGUUAUACACAUUAAAAUCUUUAAAAAUAAAAAUCAAUAUACUCGUUGGAUUCAUCCUCGAUGGUUCAGUCAUGUAAAUUUCCUUCUCUCCCACCCUUUCGCAUUUAAAACACUGAAUCAAUGACCUCAAGAAGAAGCCUAAAAUAAGAUGGCCUAAUCCCAUUCUACGGCAAGUUCGUCUUUACUAAACCAAAGGGCAUCAGUUUUGAGCGUCUAAUUCAAUUCUAGCUUCUGUAUUUCAACAAAACUAGAAUGUUGGUCUAACUUUUUUAUUGAUCACCAGUAGUCCCCGCAAGAACAUGAACCAUUCACAAAAUGGUGGAACCUAUUCCGAUCCCUCAUUACAAUUUUACGGCCGGUGAUCUUAGAAAUCAACUUGGUCACGGCAUGGCAAUCUGAACACACCCGGAGGUUUUUUACGAUCUUGAUAGGGGUCCCCGGUUGAGUGCUGAUUAGACCAUAUGCAAGCGCCAGCUUCUCACUGUGAACUUCAAGUGACUGCUCUUUUUGUUCAUCCCCUAUGUCAUGUAGUACAAUCUCUGUUUGUGGGGUGUAACCAUGAGCUUUGAGCCAACCAUUCAUUGCCUCUAACAUCUCAUAUAUUUCUUUGGUUUUUGGAUGUUUCAAAUUCCCAGCAAGGAACUCAUGAACCCUAUUGUGCACUUCAAUUGAGCUACAACCAGGCUCCUUCUGCACCCCACUGUCUUUCAUCAAGGUCCUUAUCCUCGCCACCUCUUCCCAAUCGCCUUUUGCAGCAUACAUGUUGGAAAGAAGAAUAUAAGUCCCUGAAUUAGCAAGAUUGUGGCUGACAAGAUACUCUGCUAUUUUCUCUCCUAAUUCAAGAUUACCAUGUAACCUACAUGCCCCAAGCAAAGCUCCCCACAAGAUGGGAUCGGGCUCUACCUUCAUGUUCUUCACAAGCUCAUAUGCCUCUUCUAAUUGACCAGCACGACCAAGAAGGUUUACCAUACAUCCAUAAUGUUCGAUCUUGGGUUCGAUCUCAUACUCCUCUCUCAUUGCAUUGAAAAAACUCCAUCCCUCUUUGACCAAACCAGCGUGACCACAUGCACCCAAAACACCAAUGAAAGUAAUAUCAGUAGGGCGCAAACCAAUCCUGCACAUUUCAUGAAACAACUCCAAUGCAUCUUGGCUGAAACCGUGCAAGGCAUACCCUAUAAUCAUCGAAUUCCAUGCAACAACAUCCUUAUAAUAAAUCCUAUCGAACACUAAUCUUGCAUCCUCCAGGCUCCCACAUUUGCUAUACAUAUCAAUCAAAGCAGUAGCAACACGAACACUCACUUGAAUAUCAUUAUUUUGCAUAUAGGAAUGAAGCCAUCUGCCUGACUCUAAAGCUCCAAGCUGACCACAAGCUGAUAAAACAGUUAGUAUAGUGAUUUCAUUAGGCCUAGCUUUCGCUGCCAACAUUCGCCUGAAAAGCACCAAAGCUUCCUUGGGCAUUCCAUGUUGAGUAUACCCAUCGAUCAUCACAUUCCAACAUACCACAUCCUUCUUCACCAUUCCAUCAAACAGCAACCUUGCCUCCUUAAGCUCCCCGUGUUUCGCGUAACAAGUUAGCAUCGUGGUCAAAGAAACUAAACUCUUCUCUGGCAUUCUCUCGAACACGAGACGGGCGGACCCAACGUCACCCCCUCUCGCGUAAACAUCGACUAGACCUGUCUUUACAUACAAAUCUGAAUCAAACCCAAGUUUGAUAACUUGAGAAUGAAGCAUUUUUCCAUGUUCAAGAGAACAAGAUUUCAAUAUGGAAGAGAAAGUGAACUCAUUAGGCUGCACACCUUCAAAUAACAUUUGCGUAUAGAUAAAUAAAGCUUCUUGGGAGAGACCAUGGAGGGCGUGGGCGUUAAUGAUAGAAGUGUAGAAAAAGAUGUUGGGGUUGAGAGUUCGAUUGAAGAGAGCGAGUGAAUAGUCAAGACGGCCUCGAGAAGAGUAAGAGCGUUGAAGCUUGAAAUUUAGGAUGGGGUGUUGAUGAAGGCCGUGGCGGAGAAGAGCUGCGUGGAUUUGGAGCAAGUGACGGAUGGAGCUGGAUUUAUCUAAAAGAAGACCUAGCUUGUCUGGUGAUGGUGGAAAGUUGGUGACGGCGGCGAAUGAGAGAGUGCUACGGUUUAUGGAGGGUGUUGGCGGUGGAGGAGAAGUGAAAAGCAGGGCUGAGGACAUGCUUGAAUGAAGCAAAGUCUCAACAAUUCAGGCACUCACAAGCUUUUGAUAAGCAUUUUGAUUUACAGAGUAUACUCAUAGAUCUGCUUGCUUUGUACUUUUACCUUAUCCAACAUAGAUUUCAAACAAACUUGAGUCGAGUGGAACAGAAGUACCUAACAAGUUCAGAUUAUGCUUGCAUCUAAUUUUAUAUUUUUGCUUGAAAUUUUAAUCUUACGAUUUCAAAUUAUCGAAUACAUAACAUUUGAUUAUUUGAAGACUGAACGGAUAACAAGCAAAAGAUACUUAUUUGGGUACAACUCAGACUCUAGAUCUUUGAGUCCCCAUAUUUGAGUCCAUUAGAGACUACAUUACCAAUAUCACAUAAGGCGGCCCAAAGAAGAAGACCACAAAGUUAAGAAGGCCCACGCUGGAAUGUUGCAGAGAAAUCCCCUAUUUCAAUGCUCGUGCACCCUAAGCUUCCAACACGAAAUUGACACCUACCACCUAUUAAGCUCUUAAUAAGAGCGUAACGUUUGAAUCUCUAGUUGUCUCCAAUCAUCUUAUAAAUGGCAACCACCUUCACCAUUUAUAACCAUCUCAUAAGUCCCCAAAUCACAUGGUUUAUCUCUUUUCUCUCUUCAAUAUGUUUGACUUGAGCAUCAGGGUGUGGAAUGAGAGUUUUACAAUUCCCUUCUUGCAAGUUCAAGAAAGCAAUCGGGAGAGUUGGUAAGUGAAGAAAACUAGGUAAUCUUUGAGAAUUUCUUUCCAAUCUCAGAGAACUUUGUUUACUAAAUGAAUUUAGAGUAUUUGCUUGCUCAAUACAGGCCAGACCAUUGUUUUUUGUUUUUACAGGUUGCGAAAUUUUCUUGUGAAAAUUGGAUUUGUUGCUCUAAGUCGGAUGCUUCUCUGUUUGUUAGAGUUCGCUCGGGUUCCACUCUAUAUAUGGUGUGAUAGUUCUAGUGCAAUUGCAGUUGCUGCUAACCCAGUAUUACACUCCAAGUUUAAACAUGUGGAGUUAGAUUUGUUUUUUUUGUUCGUGAGAAGGUUGCCGAUGGUUCGAUUCGUGUAGGAGAAGUUCCUACGUCAGAUCAAGUUGCUGAUGUGUUAACCAAACCAUUAUCGGUUUCUCUUUUUGCUCGAUUCAGAAAUUUUCUUCGGGUCUUGACAAUAGAGAAGAUGGAUGCAUGUUAAGAAUAAUAAAACAGUUAGCAGAUUAGUUAGUGAAGGUUGGAAAGGUUAGUUAGUUUGUUAAAGUGAAGCAAGUUGUUAUCUGUAAGUAUAAAAACAAUGGUCUGGCCUUGUAUUGAGCAAGCAAAUAGUCUAAAUUCAUUUAGUAAACAAAGUUCUCUAGAUUGGAAAGAAAUUCUCAAAGAUUACCUAGUUUUCUUCAGUAAGCCCUUAUAAUUGCUAGCAAAUUAUGGGAAAAGCCUUCAAUUGCACCAAUAUCUCACAGGGAACAUUAGCCAUGAGUCCUUCGCAUCGUAGAAGGAGUCUCAGAUGUCUACAAGCUAUUCGGAAUUUCAAGGAUUGUUGGAAGAAUCUGGUUUAAAAAACAAUUUAUAUUUAUAGUGAAAGUUUAAAAAUUUUUAAAACCGACUUAAUUUGUGAUAUUUAUAAUAAUAAACUUUUAUCAAUAAGUACUCAUGUUUGUUGCGAGUUGAAUUCAAGUAGAUCCUGAUUUUCAACCGAAUGACAUUCUCUACUAUCCUCAUACCACGAAAUAUGUCGAGUGUGGGCUCAAGCAAUACCAACCAAACACAGAAUACGAAACUUACUUUCAGUAUGAAAGUAAUUCUCUCAAUAAAAAACCAAUAAAUAUCGUAAUUUCCAAAAAUUAAAAUUUAUUCUAAAUAAAUAAAUUACCACUAUUAUAACACCUUAUACCCGACCCGAUCGAAGGAUCCAGAUACAAAGUAUCAUAUCUACUAAUUGGACUAAGACAACAACUAAGCAUUUAAAAUCAUACUUAUUUUCAAAAAUUGCCAAAAACAUUUUUGCCAAAUUUUUAAGUAAUUGGUCUUUUUUAAAUACUUUUUUUAUUUUUAAAAAUUUUUAAUGAUUUUAUUUAAUUGAACUAAACGGAACAAUUGAACUGGUAGAAUCAAUGGCCUGGUUCUAUUGGUCCAGUUUUAAAAACCUUGGUUAGAAUAUUUUAUAUUGAUAUGCUAAUAUUUGUAAUUGUUGGAUAAUGAAAUUUUAGUUGAUAGUUUCUAAUCGUACCAAAAAUACUUUAUAUCAUAACAUAGUUAGCAUACACUUUUCAACUUUUUAAGUCCAUGUACUAUACUUAGAAAAUUAGAGAUAAAAAUUUUACAAAAAUAAUUUAUUGAUAAAAAUAAAAGGGUCCCGCAACUAUUGUUUUAUUUGCAGAGGAUCAAGAACAUUUUAUUCAACAUGAAAUUGAUCCUAACAAUUUGAUGACUAUUCUCAUUAUCCAAAUAUUGGUCUAAUGUCAUGUGUUCAUUAUGCUUUUAAGUGUUUAAAUAAUUUUUUUAUAAUUUUUAUUUUUCUAAUUUUUAAUAAUUUUAUAAUUUAUUAGAUUUUUAUUAUUUAUAAGUUUUUAUAAGAUUUAAAUAUUUUAAAUAUGCUUUAUUAAUUUUUUUAUAAUUUAUUAGAAUUUUAUAAAUUUUAUAAUUUUUUAAGUAAACUAUCAAAAUAGUCACUUUUGUUUAUCUUAGGUUAUAUUUUAGUCACUUAUGUUUGAAAUGUUACGUUUUAGUCACUUAUGUUAUCGAUUUGUAACAUUUUAGUCACUGAGCCGUUAAUUGUCUUUAACGAUGUAACGAUAAGCUGACGUGACACGUUAAAUCAUCAUUUCAAACAAAAAUUUUAGGUUAAUUUAUGCAAUCGGUUCCCAUAUUUUUUUGUUUUGAGCAAUUUAAUUUUUUUCUUUUAUUUUUUAACUUUAUUUUUUUCCUUUAUUUUCCAUUCCCUUCUACUUCUCCAUCUGUUUUCCUCCUUUUCCCAUUUCUUUUAACGUAGUUUUUCUAUGUUUUCCAUUUGUUAAAACUAGUCCCUAUACUUUUUUUUUAACAAUUUAAUUUUUUCGAGUAAGGCAAGCUUGUGGACUAGUUUUAACAAAUGAAAAAUAUGGAAAAACUACGUUAAAAGAAAUGAAAAAAAGGAGGAAAACAGAGGGAGAAGCAGAAGAGAAUGGAAAAUAAAAAAAAAGAAAGUUAAAAGAACAUAAAAGAAAAAAAUUAAAUUGCUCAAAAUGGAAAAAAUAUAAGGAUCAAUUGUAGAAUUUCUCCUAAAAUUUUUAUUUAAAAUGAUGAUUUAACGUGCCACCUUAGCUUACCAUUAUACUGUUAAUGUCUUAGUGACUAAAAUGUUACAACAUGAUAACGUAAGUGACUAAAACAUAACAUUUCAAACAUAAGUGACUAAAAUGUGACCUAAGGCAAACAAAAGUGACUAUUUUGAUAGUUUACCCUAAUUUUUUAUAAUCUUUAUGUUUUUUAAUAUUUUUAAUGAAUAAAUAUAAGAUUAAACUAUAAACUCACAUGUGCCACUAUUUUAUUGGUCUGCCAAUUAAUUUUAACGAUCAACAUAGUCAAAUAUAAAAACUAUUAUCGAAAGCUCAAUUGAUUGUAAAUUUAGUGAAGGGGUAAAUUUAUUUUUUUAUUUUUUUCUUAAACGCAUUUUGUAGCUAUAAGUUUAAAAAAAUUUAUAUUUAAAUCCAAAAAGCUCAUAGAGAAAAAACAGAGUCAUGACAUGAAAUCGAGUUGAAUUUAACCUAUAAGAAAUUUGUUAAAAUAUGCUCUAUAUUCUUCAUAUAUUUAUAAUUUAGUUCUUAUAUUUUUAUUUUUAAAAUUUUAGUCUCUCUACUUUUAAGAUUUAAAAUUAUAAGUCUAAUUAUUAAUAUUGUUAAUUCUUAUAUUAAAUUUAAAUCCAUUUCAAUUUUUUUAAAUGAUUAUAAGUGAAUAAUUUUUUUUAUUUCAAAAUGUUACAUUAAUGAACUUAAUAGAAUAAUUUUAACGUAUUUCCUGAUAAAUAGAUUAAAACUCAAAUGUAAGAUUGGAUUUAAAAUUAAAAAUUUGAUUCGAUUAAACCUUUCUACUUUAAAGAAAUUUUACAAUUUUUAUGCUGAAGUUUAAAUUCUAUCAUUUUUAUUCUAGAAAUUUGCUAGCCAUUGCAUUUAUGUAUGUGGCAAAUUGCCAAGAAUCCCAUAAAUAUAUAGUAUAUGGUAAAAAAUAAAUAAAUAAAUAAAUAAAAAGAAGUGAAGGCACUGAAGGCGAAAAAGAAAAGCCCACGAGCAAUGGUGGGAAGGAACGGUAGUUGUCCUUUUCGUUUUAGUUUUGUUCAAACCAAGUCCAAAAGCCAAAAGCACCCUCCACUAGACGCUGCCUACACCCCAACAUGCAACCGGAAGACAAUAAGGUUCCGUUACUAUCCGAUCAAGACUCGGACGAGGAUGUUGCCUACGACUCCAGUGAAAAGGUCCACAUCGUUGGAAUCAACGAACCAGACGAUGAAGCUUCACUGGGUGUCGUCCAACCUUUUUCCUGGAAAAAGCUUUGGCUUUUCACCGGACCCGAUUUUUUAAUGUCAAUAGCGUUUUUGGACCCUGGGAAUUUAGAAGGCGAUCUCCAAGCCGGAGCUAUAGCCGGUUACUCUUUACUGUGGCUGUUGAUGUGGGCUACGGCUAUGGGGUUGUUGGUUCAGUUGUUGGCUGCAAGGCUUGGUGUGGCGACAGGGAAACACUUGGCUGAGCUUUGUAGCGAAGAGUACCCGACUUGGGAUAGGAUGGUUUUGUGGGUGAUGGCAGAGCUGGCUUUGAUUGGAGCUGAUAUACAGGAAGUCAUUGGAAGUGUUAUUGCUAUUGUUGGAUAAAUGGCAAUGGCAGUAGCAAAGAAAGCAAAAACGAAUGAAAGAAAAAACAAAAGAAAAGAACUCAGCAAGAAAAUUUGUAACUGAAAGUCAUCAUAAUUUCAUUCAAAUUUUGAAUAUAUGAAGGUUACAAAAGUAUUUGACAGUUACCUAUUAAUUUAACUGCUCUUACUUAAUACUUACUAAAAAUAUAGCAACUUGUAUACAAAAGAAAGCUGGCAUACCAGCUAUUACAUCAGUCAAUCUUUCCUACUAACUUAGCUAACUCAUUACAAAGAUUUAGGCUAAGUUCCAUAGGAACAAAAUAUUCAAAAAUAAUUUUAUAACUGAACCAACUCCAUUUCUUUGCUACAAAACAGUAUAGCAGCUAAAAUUGUACAAUUUGCUGCUGUUGGUCUUUUGACCAAUUUGUUGCUGUUGGNNNNNNNNNNNNNNNNNNNNNNNNNNNNNNNNNNNNNNNNNNNNNNNNNNNNNNNNNNNNNNNNNNNNNNNNNNNNNNNNNNNNNNNNNNNNNNNNNNNNNNNNNNNNNNNNNNNNNNNNNNNNNNNNNNNNNNNNNNNNNNNNNNNNNNNNNNNNNNNNNNNNNNNNNNNNNNNNNNNNNNNNNNNNNNNNNNNNNNNNNNNNNNNNNNNNNNNNNNNNNNNNNNNNNNNNNNNNNNNNNNNNNNNNNNNNNNNNNNNNNNNNNNNNNNNNNNNNNNNNNNNNNNNNNNNNNNNNNNNNNNNNNNNNNNNNNNNNNNNNNNNNNNNNNNNNNNNNNNNNNNNNNNNNNNNNNNNNNNNNNNNNNNNNNNNNNNNNNNNNNNNNNNNNNNNNNNNNNNNNNNNNNNNNNNNNNNNNNNNNNNNNNNNNNNNNNNNNNNNNNNNNNNNNNNNNNNNNNNNNNNNNNNNNNNNNNNNNNNNNNNNNNNNNNNNNNNNNNNNNNNNNNNNNNNNNNNNNNNNNNNNNNNNNNNNNNNNNNNNNNNNNNNNNNNNNNNNNNNNNNNNNNNNNNNNNNNNNNNNNNNNNNNNNNNNNNNNNNNNNNNNNNNNNNNNNNNNNNNNNNNNNNNNNNNNNNNNNNNNNNNNNNNNNNNNNNNNNNNNNNNNNNNNNNNNNNNNNNNNNNNNNNNNNNNNNNNNNNNNNNNNNNNNNNNNNNNNNNNNNNNNNNNNNNNNNNNNNNNNNNNNNNNNNNNNNNNNNNNNNNNNNNNNNNNNNNNNNNNNNNNNNNNNNNNNNNNNNNNNNNNNNNNNNNNNNNNNNNNNNNNNNNNNNNNNNNNNNNNNNNNNNNNNNNNNNNNNNNNNNNNNNNNNNNNNNNNNNNNNNNNNNNNNNNNNNNNNNNNNNNNNNNNNNNNNNNNNNNNNNNNNNNNNNNNNNNNNNNNNNNNNNNNNNNNNNNNNNNNNNNNNNNNNNNNNNNNNNNNNNNNNNNNNNNNNNNNNNNNNNNNNNNNNNNNNNNNNNNNNNNNNNNNNNNNNNNNNNNNNNNNNNNNNNNNNNNNNNNNNNNNNNNNNNNNNNNNNNNNNNNNNNNNNNNNNNNNNNNNNNNNNNNNNNNNNNNNNNNNNNNNNNNNNNNNNNNNNNNNNNNNNNNNNNNNNNNNNNNNNNNNNNNNNNNNNNNNNNNNNNNNNNNNNNNNNNNNNNNNNNNNNNNNNNNNNNNNNNNNNNNNNNNNNNNNNNNNNNNNNNNNNNNNNNNNNNNNNNNNNNNNNNNNNNNNNNNNNNNNNNNNNNNNNNNNNNNNNNNNNNNNNNNNNNNNNNNNNNNNNNNNNNNNNNNNNNNNNNNNNNNNNNNNNNNNNNNNNNNNNNNNNNNNNNNNNNNNNNNNNNNNNNNNNNNNNNNNNNNNNNNNNNNNNNNNNNNNNNNNNNNNNNNNNNNNNNNNNNNNNNNNNNNNNNNNNNNNNNNNNNNNNNNNNNNNNNNNNNNNNNNNNNNNNNNNNNNNNNNNNNNNNNNNNNNNNNNNNNNNNNNNNNNNNNNNNNNNNNNNNNNNNNNNNNNNNNNNNNNNNNNNNNNNNNNNNNNNNNNNNNNNNNNNNNNNNNNNNNNNNNNNNNNNNNNNNNNNNNNNNNNNNNNNNNNNNNNNNNNNNNNNNNNNNNNNNNNNNNNNNNNNNNNNNNNNNNNNNNNNNNNNNNNNNNNNNNNNNNNNNNNNNNNNNNNNNNNNNNNNNNNNNNNNNNNNNNNNNNNNNNNNNNNNNNNNNNNNNNNNNNNNNNNNNNNNNNNNNNNNNNNNNNNNNNNNNNNNNNNNNNNNNNNNNNNNNNNNNNNNNNNNNNNNNNNNNNNNNNNNNNNNNNNNNNNNNNNNNNNNNNNNNNNNNNNNNNNNNNNNNNNNNNNNNNNNNNNNNNNNNNNNNNNNNNNNNNNNNNNNNNNNNNNNNNNNNNNNNNNNNNNNNNNNNNNNNNNNNNNNNNNNNNNNNNNNNNNNNNNNNNNNNNNNNNNNNNNNNNNNNNNNNNNNNNNNNNNNNNNNNNNNNNNNNNNNNNNNNNNNNNNNNNNNNNNNNNNNNNNNNNNNNNNNNNNNNNNNNNNNNNNNNNNNNNNNNNNNNNNNNNNNNNNNNNNNNNNNNNNNNNNNNNNNNNNNNNNNNNNNNNNNNNNNNNNNNNNNNNNNNNNNNNNNNNNNNNNNNNNNNNNNNNNNNNNNNNNNNNNNNNNNNNNNNNNNNNNNNNNNNNNNNNNNNNNNNNNNNNNNNNNNNNNNNNNNNNNNNNNNNNNNNNNNNNNNNNNNNNNNNNNNNNNNNNNNNNNNNNNNNNNNNNNNNNNNNNNNNNNNNNNNNNNNNNNNNNNNNNNNNNNNNNNNNNNNNNNNNNNNNNNNNNNNNNNNNGGUCAAUGUCAGGUACAUAAAGAACCUCUGAAAUGGUUUUAAUACCUGACUUGGUGCUUAUCAAGGCCUUGCCUUUCCCUUUUGCCUCCAGUAGCUCACCAUUGCCAAUUCUGACUUUGGACUUGAAGGUAGUGUCAAGCUCCUUGAAUAUACUCUUCUCAGAAGCCAUAUGGUGAGUACAUCCACUGUCAAUCAGCCAAAUUUUGCUAACCUUGCUCGAGCUUGCAAAGCAUGAUGCUGAAAAAACAUGCUCUUCUGGUGCUUCAACCUCUUCUGCAGCUUGAGCUUGGCUUUGAAAUUGUGGUUGUGUUUUUGACUUGCUCUUACAAACCUUUUCAAUGUGGCCAAAUUGCUUGCAGGCUCUGCAUUGAAUGUCUGGUUUGUACCAGCAGUAUUUCUCAAGAUGAGUAGUCUUCUUACAAUGGACACAAGGUGGGAACUUCCUUUUGACAGGUUCUUUCUUCUUCUUCUCAGUCCAAGGCUUUUUGCCUUUGACAUUUAAGUUUGCACUUGAGCUUUCUCUGCCUCUAGCCUGAAAAGCUCCUUCAUGGUGGUCCUCCUGCCUAUUUGCCCUUCUCUGCUCUUGAGCAUAAAGAGCAUUUAUAAGCUCUGUCAAAGGGAUUGUUGACAAGUCCCUUGAGUCUUCCAAAGAAGAAAUUUUUGCUUCAUACUUCUCUGGCAAGGUUGUUAUGACCUUCUCAACCACUCUUUGGUCACUGAAUUCCUCCCCAAGCAGCCUUAUAUUGUUGACAGUAGCCAUGAUUCUGUCAGCAUACUGCUUGAUGGUUUCUGAGUCCUUCAUUUUGAGAUUUUCAAAAUCUCUUCUCAUGUUGAUCAGUUGCUGUUGCCUGGUCUUGUCAGACCCCUGAAACUCCUCUUUGAGUUUGUCCCAGGCCUGCUUUAGAGUAUCACAAGCCAUUAUUCUUGUGAAGAUAACAUCAGAGACUCCACUUUGAAGGCACGACAUAGCCUUAUACUUCUUGGCACAGUCUUCAUUGUGCUGCCUAAUCUGGGCUAUGGUCGGGUUGGCUCUUAGUGGUGGUGGCUCAGUGUCAUUGAGAACAACAUUCCACAGGUCGUGUGCCUGCAGGUAUGUUCUCAUUUUCACUGCCCAGAUGUUGUAAUUUUCUCCAGCAAAGACAGGUGGAGGAGGUGGUGUAAAACUCAUUUUUCAGCAAGCAAAACAACCUCUUCUUCUUUUGUUUCAAACACAAUUUGCUUAGUGACAGUGUACAACCAAGGCCCUCAAAGACUGAAAGCUCUUGAUACCAUUUGUUGGAUAAAUGGCAAUGGCAGUAGCAAAGAAAGCAAAAACGAAUGAAAGAAAAAACAAAAGAAAAGAACUCAGCAAGAAAAUUUGUAACUGAAAGUCAUCAUAAUUUCAUUCAAAUUUUGAAUAUAUGAAGGUUACAAAAGUAUUUGACAGUUACCUACUAAUUUAACUGCUCUUACUUAAUACUUACUAAAAAUAUAGCAACUUGUAUACAAAAGAAAGCUGGCAUACCAGCUAUUACAUCAGUCAAUCUUUCCUACUAACUUAGCUAACUCAUUACAAAGAUUUAGGCUACUAGCCAGUUCUAGACUAAGGCGAAAUCGCAUNNNNNNNNNNNNNNNNNNNNNNNNNNNNNNNNNNNNNNNNNNNNNNNNNNNNNNNNNNNNNNNNNNNNNNNNNNNNNNNNNNNNNNNNNNNNNNNNNNNNNNNNNNNNNNNNNNNNNNNNNNNNNNNNNNNNNNNNNNNNNNNNNNNNNNNNNNNNNNNNNNNNNNNNNNNNNNNNNNNNNNNNNNNNNNNNNNNNNNNNNNNNNNNNNNNNNNNNNNNNNNNNNNNNNNNNNNNNNNNNNNNNNNNNNNNNNNNNNNNNNNNNNNNNNNNNNNNNNNNNNNNNNNNNNNNNNNNNNNNNNNNNNNNNNNNNNNNNNNNNNNNNNNNNNNNNNNNNNNNNNNNNNNNNNNNNNNNNNNNNNNNNNNNNNNNNNNNNNNNNNNNNNNNNNNNNNNNNNNNNNNNNNNNNNNNNNNNNNNNNNNNNNNNNNNNNNNNNNNNNNNNNNNNNNNNNNNNNNNNNNNNNNNNNNNNNNNNNNNNNNNNNNNNNNNNNNNNNNNNNNNNNNNNNNNNNNNNNNNNNNNNNNNNNNNNNNNNNNNNNNNNNNNNNNNNNNNNNNNNNNNNNNNNNNNNNNNNNNNNNNNNNNNNNNNNNNNNNNNNNNNNNNNNNNNNNNNNNNNNNNNNNNNNNNNNNNNNNNNNNNNNNNNNNNNNNNNNNNNNNNNNNNNNNNNNNNNNNNNNNNNNNNNNNNNNNNNNNNNNNNNNNNNNNNNNNNNNNNNNNNNNNNNNNNNNNNNNNNNNNNNNNNNNNNNNNNNNNNNNNNNNNNNNNNNNNNNNNNNNNNNNNNNNNNNNNNNNNNNNNNNNNNNNNNNNNNNCAUCUACUCGAUCAUGUUCACUGGCACUUGACAAUUUUUCUCCCAAUGCAACUGGUGUAGUGACUGAUUUGCAUUUCAACAUGCAAAAUUUUUCAAGCACCUUAGAAGCAAAUGUUUGCUGACUUAUGAGAAUUCCAUCACUUCCUUGUUUUAUCUCCAUGCCAAGAAAGUAGGUCAUCAGACCAAGGUCAGUCAUCUCAAAGACAUGUUGCAUCUGUUUCUUGAAGUCUUCAAUAAGUUCAUCUUUGCAGCCAAUAACCAACAGAUCAUCAACAUACAAGGAAACAAUUAACAAGGUUUCCUCCUGAUCCUUCUUAACAUAGAGUGUAGGCUCACUGAUACUCUUUGUGAACCCGAGCCUUGCUAAGUAGCCAUCAAUCCUCUCAUACCAGGCCCUUGGAGCCUGUUUUAGACCAUACAAAGCCUUUUUCAGCUUGUAGACCUUCUGUUCUUCACCAGUGACCUUAAAACCCUCAGGUUGCUCAAUGAAUAUUUCUUCAUUAAGAAAGCCAUUUAGAAAGGCUGACUUAACAUCCAGAUGAUGCACCUUCCAAUGCUUUUGAGCUGCCAAAGCUAGCAGCAAUCUGAUAGUAUCCAACCUUGCAACAGGUGCAAAGGUUUCAGAAAAAUCAACCCCUUGCUGCUGACUAUAACCUUUAACAACCAGUCUGGCCUUAUGUCUAUUAAGAGAGCCAUCUGCAUUGUUCUUAAUUUUGUAGACCCACUUUACACCUAUAAUUUUUCUGUUUUCAGGUCUGUUUACAAGCUCCCAUGUAUCAUUUUUCUGAAUCAUUUUAAAUUCAGCUUCCAUAGCAUCCUGCCAGCAUUUUUCUUUUGCAGCUUCUUCAAAACAUGAAGGCUCUACUAUAGUUACUGCACAUCUCUCAUAGAUGUCAGUUAAUGUCCUGGUGCCUCGAACAGGUUGAUCAUCAUAGCCCAUUUCAGGCUUGCUGCAGAUCAACAUCAAUCUGUUCUCCAUCAAACAAAUUUGCUUCCAUUUCCANNNNNNNNNNNNNNNNNNNNNNNNNNNNNNNNNNNNNNNNNNNNNNNNNNNNNNNNNNNNNNNNNNNNNNNNNNNNNNNNNNNNNNNNNNNNNNNNNNNNAAUUUCACAUCUCUGCUCACUACAACCUUCUUGGUCAGUGGAUCAAAGACUCUGUAUCCUUUCUUCACAUUGCUGUAGCCAACAAACACCCCAGGCAUGGACCUCCUGUCCAACUUGGUUCUUCUCUCCUCAGGUACCAACACAUAACAUAGACAGCCAAAUACCUUCAAAUGAGAGACAGAUGGUUUCUGUGCAAACCAGGCUUCAAAGGGAGUUUUUCCUUUGACUGCAUUAGUUGGCAACCUAUUCAACAGGUAAAUAGCUGUAUUCACAGCUUCAGCCAAAAAAACAUUAGGCAUUUUAGCCUCAAAUAACAAACACCUAGCCAUAUCAAGGACUGUUCUGUUUUUCCUUUCACAAACACCAUUUUGCUGUGGUGUGUACACAGUAGUCAAUUGGUGUUGAAUUCCAGCAUCAUCACACAAUUUUUGAAACUUCUGAGAUACAUACUCAGAACCAUUGUCAGACCUCAAACNNNNNNNNNNNNNNNNNNNNNNNNNNNNNNNNNNNNNNNNNNNNNNNNNNNNNNNNNNNNNNNNNNNNNNNNNNNNNNNNNNNNNNNNNNNNNNNNNNNNNNNNNNNNNNNNNNNNNNNNNNNNNNNNNNNNNNNNNNNNNNNNNNNNNNNNNNNNNNNNNNNNNNNNNNNNNNNNNNNNNNNNNNNNNNNNNNNNNNNNNNNNNNNNNNNNNNNNNNNNNNNNNNNNNNNNNNNNNNNNNNNNNNNNNNNNNNNNNNNNNNNNNNNNNNNNNNNNNNNNNNNNNNNNNNNNNNNNNNNNNNNNNNNNNNNNNNNNNNNNNNNNNNNNNNNNNNNNNNNNNNNNNNNNNNNNNNNNNNNNNNNNNNNNNNNNNNNNNNNNNNNNNNNNNNNNNNNNNNNNNNNNNNNNNNNNNNNNNNNNNNNNNNNNNNNNNNNNNNNNNNNNNNNNNNNNNNNNNNNNNNNNNNNNNNNNNNNNNNNNNNNNNNNNNNNNNNNNNNNNNNNNNNNNNNNNNNNNNNNNNNNNNNNNNNNNNNNNNNNNNNNNNNNNNNNNNNNNNNNNNNNNNNNNNNNNNNNNNNNNNNNNNNNNNNNNNNNNNNNNNNNNNNNNNNNNNNNNNNNNNNNNNNNNNNNNNNNNNNNNNNNNNNNNNNNNNNNNNNNNNNNNNNNNNNNNNNNNNNNUUUGGACUUGAAGGUAGUGUCAAGCUCCUUGAAUAUACUCUUCUCAGAAGCCAUAUGGUGGGUGCAUCCACUGUCAAUCAGCCAAAUUUUGCUAACCUUGCUCGAGCUUGCAAGGCAUGAUGCUGAAAAAACAUGCUCUUCUGGUGCUUCAACCUCUUCUGCAGCUUGAGCUUGGCUUUGAAAUUGUGGUUGUGUUUUUGACUUGCUCUUACAAACCUUUUCAAUGUGGCCAAAUUGCUUGCAGGCUCUGCAUUGAAUGUCUGGUUUGUACCAGCAGUAUUUCUCAAGAUGAGUAGUCUUCUUACAAUGGACACAAGGUGGGAACUUCCUUUUGACAGGUUCUUUCUUCUUCUUCUCAGUCCAAGGCUUUUUGCCUUUGACAUUUAAGUUUGCACUUGAGCUUUCUCUGCCUCUAGCCUGAAAAGCUCCUUCAUGGUGGUCCUCCUGCCUAUUUGCCCUUCUCUGCUCUUGAGCAUAAAGAGCAUUUAUAAGCUCUGUCAAAGGGAUUGUUGACAAGUCCCUUGAGUCUUCCAAAGAAGAAAUUUUUGCUUCAUACUUCUCUGGCAAGGUUGUUAUGACCUUCUCAACCACUCUUUGGUCACUGAAUUCCUCCCCAAGCAGCCUUAUAUUGUUGACAGUAGCCAUGAUUCUGUCAGCAUACUGCUUGAUGGUUUCUGAGUCCUUCAUUUUGAGAUUUUCAAAAUCUCUUCUCAUGUUGAUCAGUUGCUGUUGCCUGGUCUUGUCANNNNNNNNNNNNNNNNNNNNNNNNNNNNNNNNNNNNNNNNNNNNNNNNNNNNNNNNNNNNNNNNNNNNNNNNNNNNNNNNNNNNNNNNNNNNNNNNNNNNNNNNNNNNNNNNNNNNNNNNNNNNNNNNNNNNNNNNNNNNNNNNNNNNNNNNNNNNNNNNNNNNNNNNNNNNNNNNNNNNNNNNNNNNNNNNNNNNNNNNNNNNNNNNNNNNNNNNNNNNNNNNNNNNNNNNNNNNNNNNNNNNNNNNNNNNNNNNNNNNNNNNNNNNNNNNNNNNNNNNNNNNNNNNNNNNNNNNNNNNNNNNNNNNNNNNNNNNNNNNNNNNNNNNNNNNNNNNNNNNNNNNNNNNNNNNNNNNNNNNNNNNNNNNNNNNNNNNNNNNNNNNNNNNNNNNNNNNNNNNNNNNNNNNNNNNNNNNNNNNNNNNNNNNNNNNNNNNNNNNNNNNNNNNNNNNNNNNNNNNNNNNNNNNNNNNNNNNNNNNNNNNNNNNNNNNNNNNNNNNNNNNNNNNNNNNNNNNNNNNNNNNNNNNNNNNNNNNNNNNNNNNNNNNGGUUACAAAAGUAUUUGACAGUUACCUACUAAUUUAACUGCUCUUACUUAAUACUUACUAAAAAUAUAGCAACUUGUAUACAAAAGAAAGCUGGCAUACCAGCUAUUACAUCAGUCAAUCUUUCCUACUAACUUAGCUAACUCAUUACAAAGAUUUAGGCUAAGUUCCAUAGGAACAAAAUAUUCAAAAAAUAAUUUUAUAACUGAACCAACUCCAUUUCUUUGCUACAAAACAGUAUAGCAGCUAAAAUUGUACAAUUUGCUGCUGUUGGUCUUUUGACCAAUUUGUUGCUGUUGGUUCUUUGUUGCAAUGCAGGCCACGGCUUCAACAGCUAUUAAGAUUUUGAGUAAUGGUGCUUUGCCUUUGUGGGCUGGAGUUCUUAUUACGGCUAGUGAUUGGUUAGUGUUCUUGUUGAUAUUUGGAGUUAUUAUUAUUGUUGUUAGAAGUAUUUGUGUGCAUUAAAGGUUGCUUCUUUAUGAUAUACGAUGUCUGAAUUUUCAAGGUUUUCGGUUUAUUUUGUAUGCUCACCUGGUUCUUCGUUUUCUUUGCCUUGUUACAGUUUUAUCUUCUUGUUUCUUGAAAACUAUGGAGUGAGGAAGCUGGAAGCAUUUUUUGCUGUCCUUAUUGCAACAAUGGCCGUCUCAUUUGCUUGGAUGUUCGGUGAAACAAAACCAAGUGGCACCGAGCUUCUUCACGGUGACUAACUCGGCUCCAUUGUAGCAAAUUCCAUGCUUCAUAUAUCUCAAUAAAUUUCAUUUAGUAUUGCAGUUCACUGAUGCUCAAAUGGUUUCAUAUUUUCACUGGUGUUUUGGUUCCAAAACUGAGCUCCAAAACCAUCAAGCAGGCUGUAGGAGUUGUGGGCUGCAUUAUUAUGCCUCACAAUGUAUUCUUGCAUUCGGCUCUAGUGCAAUCACGCGAAAUCGACCGUAACAAGAAAGGCCAGGUGCAAGAAGCUCUCAAUUAUUACUCGAUCGAGUCGACUGCUGCACUUAUAAUUUCAUUUAUAAUCAACCUGUUUGUUACCACUGUCUUUGCUAAAGCAUUUUAUGACACAGAAGUAGCCACUGGUGUUGGUCUUGGGAAUGCAGGCCAGUAUCUUGAAGAAAAAUAUGGAGGCGGGAUACUCCCCAUUUUGUAUAUUUGGGCUAUUGGGUUGUUAGCAGCUGGACAAAGUAGCACUAUUACAGGCACUUAUGCAGGGCAGUUCAUCAUGGGAGGCUUCUUGAAGCUGAAGUUGAAAAAAUGGGUAAGAGCUUUGAUCACAAGGAGUUGUGCAAUUAUUCCUACUAUUAUAGUUGCUCUUGUUUCGAUUCGUCUGAAGCAGCCCUUGAUACAUUGAACGAAUGGCUUAAUGUGCUUCAGUCAUUUCAGAUCCCUUUUGCUCUUAUCCCACUUCUUUGUCUGGUAUCCAAAGAACAAAUCAUGGGUGCCUUCAGAAUUGGCCAUGUACUCAAGGUAUGCUGCUAAUCUCCUUGUGUUGCACCUUGCUAAUCAUUAACCCGUCUCUCCUGCCACUGACUGUGGCAUGAGCUAUAUAAAAUGCCAAAUCGGUUCAUUGAAAACGAUGUAGCGACCCUGAUAGCAGUUAGAACUUCUUCCAUUCCAUCUUUUAGCAGGGGACAAUGUACAACUUUUGUUGUCUAAAAGCUACCUCUUGAGAGUUCUAGUUUCAGUACAUUUUCCAUUCAUAUUCACUGUUAUACUGGGAUUCCUUGAAGCCAUUGAUAUAACCUAGCUCUUUUUCUACACCUAGUCAUGAACUAAGUGCUUGUACCGUUCCAUCACGCAAACUAUCGACUCAUGCUAUUUUAUAAGUUCCACUUAUUUGGUGAUCAACAUCUUCAUACCUGCUUCAGUUCAUCAAUAUUUUCCCUACUAAGCAUAGGAAAGGAAAUGUCAGUGAGUGAUGAUUGCCUUAUCAACACUCAAAGUAAUGUGGUUACUGCAUGUAGAUCCUGUCAAUGAAGAAUUCGCCUUGUUUACGUUUUCCCCUCUCUUCUGCAGACAGUGGCAUGGAUUGUGGCAGCGCUGGUGAUCGUGAUCAACGGGUAUCUUUUACUCAAUUUCUUCUCUUCCGAAGUGAGUGGCCAAAUGUUCACAAGCAUAGUGUCUGCCUUUACAGCGCAUAUCUUGCAUUUAUAAUUUACCUUGUUUCUCGAGGCUUUUCGUCGUUUGAUACUCCCUAAAGCGGCAUAUCGAAUCAAAAAAGUCGAUCUUAGACACCCUUGGUAAGGCAUGAUAUCAGAAAGCUCAAAACUCCUUACACCUACUACCAAAUGCCAAUAUUGAUGAAAGCCUCCUAGUGGGAUUACUGUUUGAAACAACAGUGUUGUAAACAAUAGAUUUAUCAUAUCUUGCUGGAUAUAGAGGAUUGGAGUGAGUGAGACUCAUAAACAAGAACAUUCUUUUCAACCAUUUCAAGGAACCAAACACUGUAAUUUUGAAAAUCUACCUUAAACUUUGUCCAAGCCGGAUAUACGUGAACCAGCUUUUCAACAAAACUGUUGCAUUUGUUUUUUUUUUUUAAUUGUAAAUCUGAUUUUAGAAAUUUCUACUAAUAUUAGGAUUGCUUUUAAGAAAUUGCUUCUUUUUUUUCUUCAUAUUCUUUGAUUCUAAAAUAUCUAUUAAUAUUGCGACUGCUUUCAAAAGAUUGAAACACCAAUAUUUCGUAUUGCUUGUACUUGAAUAAUCUACUCUAAAUAAAAUAUAUAUUACUCAGAAAAUAAAAUGUUAAAAUUUUGAAUUUUUUCAUAGUUUUUAGAAAUGGUUUAAUAAUGAUUAAAUUUUUUUAUUAGCAUUUUAUUUGAAUUUUUAAAAUAAUUUCUAUGUUAAUUAUUUCAAUUAAUUAUUAUUUUGUAUAAUGACGUUUCGUAUUGAUUACAUAUUGUAUAUUGAAUACGGUAAAAAUGAUUUAAUUAAAAUUUAAAAUAUUUUUUAAUUUUUAAUACUUAAAUUAUUAAAUAAGUUAACAUAUUGAUCCUCUAAUUUUUUUAAAAAAAAAUUAUUUUAACCCCAUAUAAAUUUUCGCCAUUUUAACUCUUAAAUUUAUAUUUAUUAUCAAAUUACUCAAAAUAAAUAAAAAAGUUAACAUUGCUGACGUGUCAUUCACGUAGCAAUCUAUAUGUAUGUAUUAUAAACAAAGUUAAAAAGAUAUUAAUUUUUCUAUCUAUUUUGAGGAGAUUUGAUAAAAAAGACGAAAAUUUAAAUAAAUAGUAAAAAUAAUUUUCUUUUUUUGUAAAAUUAGAGAUUCAAGUCAUUAUGCCUAUAUUUUAAGAGGAUCCAUUUAGAUGGAUGAUCAGAUUGGUUCCAAUAAAGCUAAAAUCAGCGGGGAUGAUAAGAUUGAUAACUGUAAAUUAGUGGCAAAUUAAAGGAUAUUUAGUUAUUUAUUACAUGAAGUAGGAUUAUUACUUUUGGCCAAUCAUAAAAGUAUAAAAGAAAAUAAAUUCUAAAAUUCCAGUCAAAAUACCCAUAAAGAAAUUCCAAAACGACGAGAAUCUGCCAAUCUCCAACUAAGCAACGCCAGCAAAACGAUUAAAUAAAUUAAAAAAAGUAACUAAUCCCCAAAAAUUAAAAAAAAAAAAAGCUUGAAAAAGGAAAAAGAAUGGCCUGAAGACCCAGCAACAGGAUAGCGAAAUCUGGGACUUAUUUAUUUUUUCUUUUUGGAAAGAUUAGCGAUAUCAAUAAACAAGAAGGAAAAAAAAACCCAAAAUUCAAAGCUGCAUUAAGGUACUAAAUUUUUUCUUUGGCUUUGGAAAUCUCUCUUUAUCUUGUUGAGUUCAAUUCUUUUUGGUUUUUAUAUAUGCAUUUGUGUUUUUGUUUACUUAUUUGGAGUUGGGUAUUUUUUUGAAAUAAUAAGUAAACCCAUUUGAUCUAAUUACUUCCUUUAUGAUCAUAUUGUUUCAUAGUAUGAUUUUGAAAGGCUAAGUGGGUGUUUUGGAUAAAUUAUAUUUGAAGGACCACUGAUGGGGUUUUAGGGUUAAUUUUUAUUCAUUUAUUUUUCUGCCUUGCUGCUGGGAAAGUGCAAAAAACAGCUUAUAUUUGUUCAAUGAACAAAUUAAUUUUUUUAAUGAGUAUGACACUAAUAUGCAGGAGUGCCAAAAUCAUUAAGUUCUAAAACGAUUUGAUUAAGUAGUGACUUUACUAUUCUGUUAUUGGGAACUUGGAAAGCAAGUAAAUUAUAAACUAAGAAAUAUAAAUGAUAUUAGAAACCAUUUCUGAUAGGUUUUGGAAGUAAUGGUUUGGGUAAAUUUGUAGCUUCAUUACAGCGCGCUUGUUUUCAUCUAGUAGCAUGUGGAACUUGACCAUGGUUCCCACGACAUUUUAUGUUUGUUUUUGUAAUUCUUGUUGAGGCCUUUAUGUCCUUGAUUUGAAGCAUCAACUGAUUGAUUUGUAUAGGAUGGCUCUUUAUCCCAGUAGUCUUAUCCGGUUAUUUUGUUCUAAUAGUGUCUUUUUUCUUUUCUAAAAGGUGUGUCUGAUGUGCAAUAGGAGAAAUAUAUCGAAAUAACUAAUUGUUGAUUUCCUAGAAAUUAGGGCAGUAGUGAAGAGGGACUGCAGGUAGUACAGAAGCUUACAAAGUAUUGGAGUAAAGGCAAAUUCAUUUUAUCUAAUCUGAGAAGGGUUUGGCUUGUUUUUAGUCAAGUAACUCUCUUUGGUAGUGGGUGAGUGGGGAUCGUGUUAUGUUUAAUGUGGAGAGGUCGCUGCUCUUGGUUAUUUCUUUUAGGUUUGCGUUUGUUACAUUUCAUGGAUGCUAGGAAAAUUAUCAGCAUAAUGAACUUUUUAAGGAAACUUUGCUGUAAUUGCUGUGAGUGUUUUGGUGGUAAAUAUUAUAUUUGAUGGUUUAAAUUUUUUUUUUUAUUUUGUUCGUGCUCUUAAUAUUUUAAGUUUCAAUCAAGCUUGAUCUAAAAUUUUGAUUCUACAGUGGGAUUACUGGUUGGCAAAAGUGGAUUUCUAGAACCUGUCUGGUUCUUGUUAUCAAGAUAGUGUGCUACAUGAGCUAUGGUGCUGAUGUUCAAAAGGGUUUUCUUGAGUUUUAUGGAAUAAUAUGGUUUCCAAAGGAUUCGUCAUCCAUUAUUGAGAAAGGAUUUUGCUGUUAGAAUUUAUGAAACACGGUAUGUACCUUGUUGUAAGUGACUUUCUGGCUUCACUUUUUUCACCCUCCAAACUUCUGCAAAUGAGUUCAUGCAUUUUGUCCUGUAUUAGUUCGGUUAUGAAAUAACUGUUAUGUUGGCAGAAUAAGCUCUAGUUCAUUGAUAUUUUGCUUUAGGUUAAAUUGAAUGCUGAGAAAGGAAUUAUGUUGUUAAACUAAAGUAAUUAGGCCCAAAGUUUUCUCCCUGUUGUUUCACGACAAAGAUACUUGCAUCUUUUGUUUGCUUAUUAUUAUUCUUAUAGUUUUUCUCCUUCUACUCUUUCUUACGUGCGAUCUCUCUGACUUUUUUUGUUACCCAGAUCAUAUGGAGAUUUCUUUGUUAAAAGCACUUCUCGGUAACAUUUCCUCAUUUUUAAAUUUGUCAUCUUUUGAGAACAUUAACUCAGAACCAGUUCAGAAGUUUUACCAGAGAGCAGAAGAGAUACUAAAGUUGUUGAAGCCAAUUCUUAGCGCAGUUAUUGAUUCAGAAAUUACUUCUGAUAAAGUGCUUGGUAAGGCAUUUGAAGGAUUGAGUCUCUCUAUAGAAGAAUUGAGAGAGCAAUUCGAGAGCUGGCAACCCCUUUUGAGUAAAGCUUACUUUGUAAGUUACUAGUUACUUGAGUUCACAUCUUCACUUAGCAAUUCUAGUCCACUUAUGACUGGAAAAGAAGUACCUAAGGUAAACAUUUAGGCAUUGACAUUCACCUUAUAUCGUGAAGAUUUAAUCAAUUACCCAUCUGAACAUUAAUAUUUUCAUAUGAGAUGCAUGUUGUAGAUUAUUGCUGUCAUUUUACAGUUAAUUCUUGUGGAUGUUUUCUGCACUAUGGUCUAUGAUCACAUUUUCUUCUAAUUUCUUAUAGUUAUUAGAACAUCAUCAUGUUUGUCCUAAGAGAUUGUUGGAAUGUAUAGCUUUUGGAAUAAGUUUAGCCCCUAAGUGCUGAUUCUUGAAUGUUCGCUCAUAUUUAGGUGGAAAAUUGCUAUAUAUGGGUGCCCUUUUAGGAAAUAAUGUUAUAAAAGAAUAUAAUUUUCUUUUAAGGUACUGUCAGUCAAUUAGUGUUGUCCUUUAGUUAAAUGCACUUGGAUAACUAUCUUCUCUUUCACUUGACCUUUAGGUUCUGCAAGUUGAGUCAUUAAUAUUGAAGAUUUGGAAUUUUAGCCUUGAUGUAUUCCAAUUCUUGAAGUCUUCCCAUCAGCAUCUGCCUGAUGAAUUGAGUUCAGCAUCUCUUGAGGUAAUUUAAAACCCUAGUUAAUUCAAGCUUUUACUUUUAUUUGAAGAUUGUACUCUUCAUCUUGCAUUUAAGUUUUAUAAAUACAGCAUAAUUAUUGUAUUCUCACAAUGAUUACCAAAAAACUGUCAUGUAUUGGAGCGUGAAUGGCAUCUAAGUAUACAGUUGUGAGAUGUGAAAAAAUAUGCAGCUUUCAUUUUGAUUUAAUUUCUGAGUUCAAAGAAUGCUAAGGGGGAUUCCACAUUUGAGGAUGUUUAACUAUUAGCAAUUGAUUGCAGCACUGCUUGCAGAAAAUUAAGCACGUAGCAUAUGAGCAAGCAUCAUCUGUCAUCAGGGAAGCCAUACGGGAUCAAGUGGAUAGUGUUGGACCAUCCUCGGACAUAAUAGUGAAAAUUGCAGAGAACUUGAGUUUGAGGUCAAACCAGGAGAUUCUGAUAGAGGCUGUGGCCCUUGAAAAGUUGAAGGAGAAUGCUGAACAAGCUGAAAAAACUGCAGAAGCUGAGUUUAUUGAUCAAAUUAUUGCUCUUGUAAAUCGCAUGCAUGAUCGUCUUGUAUCAAUGAAACAAUCUGAGACCUGUAGCCCAGUUCCAAUACCUGCUGAUUUCUGCUGCCCCCUUUCCCUAGAGCUAAUGACUGAUCCAGUGAUUGUGGCAUCUGGCCAAACCUAUGAGCGGGCUUUCAUCAAGAACUGGAUUAGUCUUGGGCUCACUGUGUGCCCCAAGACACGGCAAACUUUGGCUCAUACCACUCUUAUACCUAAUUACACAGUAAAGGCACUAAUUGCAAAUUGGUGCGAGUCAAACAAUGUGAAGUUGCCUAAUCCCACAAAGUCCAUCAGUUUAGACCAAUCCUACCCCCUUCUUGUGCACGCAGAGUCUGGCUUGCCAAGGGAUUCAAAUAGUUUUCCUCCCCCUAGAAGCAGCCAACCAUUGUCACCUGAGUCACGGUCUAGAGGUCAAGCUGGUAAGAACCUAGUCACAUCCGGCGGACUUCAUCACAAGGGAACCUCCCCACUACAUUCUCUUUCUACCUCAGAAAGUUCCUUGCCAGCUAUAGCUGGAAAUGGAGGGGGUUUGGAUGUUGCAAGAAUAUCACUAAACAGUGUGGAAGACAGGUCAAAGUUGGAACAAAGGUAUAGCGAUUCUGUUGGUGAACCCCCUGUGUCACCUUCUAACAAUAUUGGUCAGUCAUCUCAGAACCACACAAGAUCUGUCUCAGCCUCUAGUGCACUUCCUAAUCCAGAUUCUCCUCGAGGAGCUGUUGGAGAUGCCAAUGAGACUUCUGAGGGUUCAACUCAUCUCGCAGCCUACAAUAGUGAUGCUUCUGGAGAGGUAAAAUCCGAUGCACAGCCUAGAGUUAGCUCAGCCAUUCCACAAAGAGAACCUCAGUUUCCUCCUCGGUUGAUGGAUACACGAUCGCGAAGCCAAACAAUCUGGCGCCGGCCAUCGGAAAGAUUCAUUCCAAGAAUAGUUUCUUCUCCUGGUGUUGAGAACAGGGCUGACCUUUCUGGCAUUGAAGCCCAGGUUAAGAAGUUAGUGGAGGACUUGAAGUGCACUUCAGUUGAUACUCAAAGAGAGGCCACAGCUCAACUCAGGUUACUUGCUAAGCACAAUAUGGAUAAUCGGAUUAUAAUAGCGAACUGUGGGGCCAUUGUCUUGUUAGUUGAUUUGCUUCAUUCACCGGAUACGAAGACUCAGGAAAAUGCUGUUACAGCACUUCUUAACUUGUCAAUUAAUGAUAACAACAAAACAGCAAUUGCUGAUGCCGAUGCAAUUGAGCCUCUGAUUCAUGUCCUUGAGACAGGAAGCCCUGAAGCUAAAGAAAACUCAGCUGCCACUCUCUUCAGCCUUUCAGUCAUUGAGGAUAACAAAGUCAAGAUUGGAAGGUCUGGGGCAAUCAAGCCUCUUGUUGAUUUAUUGGGGAAUGGUACCCCUAGGGGAAAGAAAGAUGCAGCUACCGCUUUAUUUAAUCUGUCAAUAUUUCAUGAAAACAAGGCUCGAAUUGUGCAAGCCGGUGCUGUAAGACACCUUGUGGACUUGAUGGACCCAGCAGCUGGAAUGGUUGAUAAGGCAGUUGCUGUUUUGGCUAAUCUUGCUACAAUUCCUGAAGGGAGGAAUGCUAUUGGGCAGGAGAGUGGGAUUCCUGUGCUGGUCGAGGUUGUUGAGUUGGGCUCAGCGAGAGGAAAGGAAAAUGCUGCCGCUGCCCUUUUACAACUCUGCACAACCAGUGGUAGGUUUUGCAAUAUGGUUCUCCAAGAAGGAGCUGUUCCACCACUAGUGGCAUUGUCCCAGACCGGCACCCCAAGAGCUAAAGAGAAGGUAAUAGUUCUGCUGUUCUUUUUUCUUUUAUUUCUCACUAAACCUUUCUUCUUUACCAUUAUUUAAGCAUGAGUUGAUCACAGGCACAGGCACUUCUGAGCUACUUCAGGAACCAACGACAUGGUAGUGCUGGAAGAGGCUGAAAGUAGGCAUUGGGUCUAAUACAGUUUGUAUACGUUUGAUGCUUCAAAUAAUGCAUUUUGAGGGUUUGUUGCUUGGGCUUACAUUUUACAGGGUUUUUGUUGUAGAGAAAAAGAGAAUUUUUAAUUUGUAGAGUCCUCUUGUGAAGUGCUUCUGAUACGUGGCAAUUGUGAAUGUAAGAAGUUUCAUACAUGUGAGUCUGUCUGGUGUUUGCAGCCGGGGGAGAAGACGAUAGAAACCAAUGAAUAACGUCUGUCCUGGUUUAUGCCCUCAUGCCUAAUUAUUUUUUACUCAAAACUGUUCUUUCAGAUUAAACUAAAUAUUCAGAUUGAUUUGUAAGAUAUGCAUUUGCUGCCAUUUUAAGCUGUUCUGUACUUUCAUUGGAACAUUGUCUAACCAAACAACUCCUUUUUUCCCUGUAAUCAUGAGCUAUAUAUGAUCGUUUCAGUUUUGUUACUUUUACAAUGUUUAACCCGCACAAACGAUCUUGAGAUUCAUUAGCAUUGGUAUUAGUAAAAUAAAUUGUGAUUUUAUUAUAUAAUCGAAAAAUAAAAGACAGAAAAUGGGUAAAUGAAGGGAUAAAAACAAGAAUAGUGGAAAUUACAAAGGAAAAAAAACUAGAGUUUCCGCCUCUCAGUACACCAACCAAAGAAUUACAACGCAGAAUGUGGAAUGUGAUCAAAACAAAUCUAGAAGCUCAAAGCAAUGGCUGCCCAUCCCAACGCCAACCCUCCAAUUAUCUUCUUCAUGUUCUUCAUUGCCUCUGCUCCACUCUGCAUUUGUUUACAGUAACUCUUUAAAUGUUACAUUAAAAAAAGAUCCGUUGGUCGGUCCUUUUUCAGAAAAGUAAAUGGACUAGCUCAACGGUGCAUCCUUUAGACGCGAUUAAAAGAAAAACAAGAUCUCUCUACAUUUAUGCAGUGUAAAAGUUCGGAUCUGAAAGCGCAUUGUUAUAUGAUGUAACCUACUGAAGCGUUAGUAAAGAGAAGAGAAUGUACCUCAUCGGCAGCGACAGAUGGACCGGGAGAGGAAGCAUCGAGGCUAGGUCCAGGAGCUCCAGUUGGUGGAGCGGGAGGUCCAAGCAUAUCAGGUGAAGGAGUCGGAGCAUGGUGUUUCUUGGAUUUCUUGCUUUUGCUCUUGCUCUUGCUUGGAGCUGGGGCCGGAACCUCAGCAGUAGUUGGUGCAGCAACAGGAGCCGGAGGAGAGGCCGAGCUCUCUGGUGGAGUCGUCGGUGCAGCAACGGGAGGCGAUUUGGCUGGAGGAGAGCUCACAGGUACUGGAGCAGGUGGAGAACUCACCGGAGCAGCAGCCGGAGGAGAAGAAGCCGGAGCAGAUUUAGAUGGGGCUGGAACCGCCGCAGACUUCUCCGGAGCCGCAGCCGGUGGUGAAGAAGUUGGUGGGGAAGUGGUAGGGGCAGCAGUUGGAGCCGGUGAUUUAGGUUUGCUAACAGGGGCAGUAGCGGGAGCAGUAGCAGGAGUAGCCGCGGCCGGCGGAGCUUUAGUAGGUGAGGCUGCCGGAGAUUGACCACCGACAGCGGUUACCACAAAGCAAAUCAAAGCAACUGCAAAUGCACUUCUACGAUCCAUUUCUUGAAGACAGAGGGAGAGUGAAGUAGUAACAGAAACUAAUGACAACGAGACGACAGACUCUCAAUAAAUAUAUAAAUAAAUGAGGGAGAGAAUCAGAAAAAAUGAUGAUUAUAAAAAGAAAAGAAGAAAAAGUUAGGAACGUGUUUGGAUCAGAAAUAGCCGUUGGAUGAGAAGCUAUUUCGGGGCCCACCGUCAUCAAAUUGUAAUGUGGCGAUCAAGACUCGACAGUCUGGAUUGGGGCCCACAUACAUGAACCAUGUAAUUUGUUGUUACAUUACCUGAUUAGGGUAAACUACACCCAAGGUCACUGAAGUAUUAAUAAAUUUACAUUUCAGUCGUUUAACUUUAAAAAGUUACAAAAUAGUCACUAAAUCAUUCGGAAGUUUUUAUUUAAUUCAUUGAGAUAUUAAAUCUCUGUUAUAUGGCUUUCUUUAUUCACACGGCCUACACCAAUCAAAAGAUCUUAUUCUCCUUCUCUUCAACAAUUUAAUUAUUUUCAUAGAAUAAUUUUGAAUGUUAUGAAUUUACGAAUCAAAAUUCAAACAGUUUUCUUUUUCAAUCUCUUACAAGGUAUGUUCUUCUACUCUUUGAUAGGUACUAAUCCAUUGUAUCAAUCGUCAUAAAAAAAUACUUAACAAUUCAAUGACUUAAAUAAAUACUUUCAAAUAAUUUAGUGACCAUGUUGUAACUUUUUAAAGUUAAGUGACCAAAAUAUGAAUUUACUAAUAAUUUAGUGACCUUAGGUGUAGUUUACCCUACUAAUUAAUAUUAUAAUAAAUGUUUAAUUCUAUCCCCAACCUCUGUACUCUUUGGGGUUUUAAAAUUUAGCCUUCCUACUUUUGAUUUUAAAAAUUUAGUUUCUCUUCAUUUUUAUUUAAAAGUCCAAUUCAUGAAAACUUGGUUAAAUUUUAAUAUUCGAAGCUUUGAUCUAAAAAUAAUAAUAUAUAUUUAAAUUGAAUGGAAAUGUUAUUAAUUAAAUUUUAAUUUUUAAAUCAAGCAGGAGAGAUAGGGAAUUAAAAUUUAAAAUUAAAAUUUAAAAGCUGAAAGAGUAAAGGGGUUGGAAAAAAUUAAACCUACAAUAACUAAUUGAAUGAUACAAUUGUUAUGAAGUAGUGAGACAGCUGGACGUAGGGAGAGUGGGGUAUUGCUGCGCAAAGAGACAAACCAAUAGGAGGCGGCCGCGUGACCGGGUAAAGCAGUUACGGGUGAUAUUUUGAGAUGGGUCACCGACUCACCGGCAAGAAACUGUGUCUCUGCAAGCAAAACUUGUCUGGAAUAACGUGACGUGUAUUAUACUUAAACACCCUAACCUUUUCUCUUUUCGUUAAAAAUUGUCAAGUGGCUAAGGCUUUUUUUUUUAUCAUCUAUAUAUUAGAGUUUUAAAAAAAGUUUUGCAAAAUAGUUGAGUUGUGUAAUUAUUUCACCUCCACCCUUUGGCCUCUCUCGGUACAUUAUUAUGUAAAAGUGAGUAUUCCACUGAAUCGAUUAAAAAAUUUUGAGUUAAUUGAGUUAACGAGUUUUAUUUUAUCAUUCUAACUCGAUUUAAUUUUUUUUCAAAUUGAAUUGAGUAAAAUAAAAUUCGAGUCGAUUCGAAUGAAAUUGUUUGAGUUAAAUUAAAAAAUUAAACAUGUUAAAUUAAAAUCUUGUUAUACUAUAUAGAGGUGCUCAUGGGCCGGGCGGCCCGGCCCGGCCCGACGGCCCGCCCGAAAUAUGGGAGGGUUUGGGUAAAAAUAUAGGCCCGAAAUAUGGGCUUGGGCAAAAAAAUGAUGCCCGAUUUAAAAACGGGCCGGGCCUCGGGCACAACUUUUUUGGCCCGGGCCCGGCCCGGCCCGGCCCGAAUAUAAUAAAUAUUUUUAUUAUUUUUAAUUUUAAAAUACUUUUAAAAUACUUUUAUUAAAUUUUUUAAAUUUUUAAAUUUUUUUAAAAUACUUUUUAAAUUUUUUUUAAUUUUAAAAUAUUUUUAAAAUACUUUUUUUAAUUUUUAUUUUAAUUUUUAAAAUAAUUUUUUGGUAAUUAUUUAAAAAACGGGCCGGGCCGGGCCCAGGCUUAUGAUUUUUUUCCCAGGCUGGGCCUGGGCAAAAUUCUAGGCCCAUAUUUUGGGUCGGGCCAAAAAAAAUUUUUGGGCCCGGCCCGGCCCAGCCCAUGAGCACCUCUAAUACUAUAACUAAUUCCAUGUUAUAACACAUAAAUUUGAAACCAUAUAUAUUUGAAAACUUUUUCAAAGCAGAAUAAAAAAAUUACUUUAGUAUGAUAAACUUGAAUCAUUAAUUAACUUAUUUAGGUCCCAAAAUUAUUAUUCUAGAAAAUUUUUAAUAUUUUAACUUUCUUUAUAUUUUUUUAGAUUUUUUUUUGAAAUUUUUAUAAUUUUUAAAAAGUAUAAAUUUGGAAUUUUUAUAAAUAUUUUGAAAUUUUAAAAUUAUUUUGUAAUUUUUAUUGAGAGAGUGGUCAAUUUGUUCAUUUUCAAACUUGGCAGAGACCAAAAAGGUAUUUAUACCAAUAUGUUAUUCGAAUUAUUCGAGUUAUUUUAAUUGUAAAAUUCAACUCGAUUCGAACUCGAAACUCGAAUUACUUACUCGAGUUGACUUGAAUAAUUCAAAUAACUCGAUUCAAUUAACUCAAAAUUUAAUUUUUUUCGGAUUAAAUUGAAUUUUGCUCACUCCUAUUAUUUUGCACAGCAUCACAAUAUAGAUUUUUCGGUUUUAAAAUAUCGCCGAUCUAUAUUCUUCUUCAAUGCUAUAAAGCUCGACCCUUCCACAAUCAUUAUCUAUACAUCAUCAUCAUACAUUGUAUGAAUCGUAGAAUAUAUUACUGGAUUGUCAUAUAUAAUAAAUUUAUAUCUAUUCAUCAUCAUCAUACAUUAUACAAAAAUAUAUAAUAUGUCAAUUUACUACAUUCAUGAUAUGGAUUGAAAGAUAAAAAUUACACAAAUAAAAAUUACAUUUACUAAAAAUAAUGAUAUUUUCAAUAAUUAUUUGAUUUUAUAAAUAAAAGAGUUAUUAAUUAAAAUGAUAAAUAAAAAAUAAAAAAAACUUGAAAACAAUAUAUUUAUUAAUUAUAAAUAUUAAUUAAAAAUAAUAAAAAAGUUGAAAUAAAAAAUACAUAUUAAAAUUCUUAUAAAAGGAAUCAAACUUAGGACUGAAAGAAGAAAUCACAAUUAUCUAACCAUCUAACCAAAAGAGCUAAUGUGUCAAAAAUAUUAAUUUAAAAAAAAACUUAAAAUAACAUGAAAUAAAAAUUACAAAAGUGAAUAGGAGAGGAAUUGAACCUAAGACUUAAGACUAAAAACACUAACACUUAACCAUCUGAUCAAAAGAGCUAAGUUGUCAAUUUGUGAAAACAUGACACAUGUUCAGCUGACGUAGCUAAAAAUAUGCCCUAUAAGACGCAUUUUCAAUGACAUAGACAGUGAAAAUGCACCAUGUAAGACGUGCUUUCCUUUCUCUCUUCAAAACAACAUUGAUAAAUUUAAAAAAAACAACAUAGAUAAUUAAAUGUAGAUUUUUUUUUUCAGCAUAAAUGGAUAAAUCAACCUGGUAUAUAUUAAAUUAAUUAUAUUAUCUUAAUUAUUUAUUUGACUGAGUCUUAUUAAUGAAUGCCAAAUAUUAUAUAUUAUUAAUUAAUAUUUGCCUUCUGUUUCGAGCAAAUAAGAAAGCUUCAUAUUGGCCAUUUACACGCACACACGCAUAUAUAUCAUAGUGUAUUAUGAAUAUUCCAAGUGAAGGGAAUUUGCAUGCUUUUGGCUUUGGGUUGAUGGGAAAACGACAAAAACACCAAUAUUAACCAAUAAAAUUAAAAGCUUUAGAAUUAAGGACGAAUCACGCUUGAAAGUAGGCAUUGGGUCUAAUACAGUUUGUAUACAUUUGAUGCUUCAAAUAAUGCAUUUUGAAAGUUUGCUGCUUGGGCUUACAUUUUACAGGGUUUUGUUGUAGAGAAAAAGAGAAUUUUUAAUUUGUAGAGUCCUCUUGUGAAGUGCUUCUUCUGAUACGUGGCAAUUGUGAAUGUAAGAAGUUUCAUACAUGUAAGUCUGUCUGGUGUUUGCAGCCGGGGGAGAAGACGAUAGGAACCAAUGAAUAACGUCUCUCCUGGUUUAUGCCCCCAUGCCUAAUUAUUUUUUACUCAAAACUGUUCUUUCAGAUUAAACUAAAUAUUCAGAUUGAUUUGUAAGAUAUGCAUUUGCUGCCAUUUUAAGCUUUCCUGUACUUUCAUUGGAACAUUGUCUAACCAAACAACUCCUUUUUUCCCUGUAAUGGUUCAUGAGCUAUAUAUGAUCGUUUCAGUUUUGUUACUUUUACAAUGUUUAACCUGCACAAAUGAUCUUGGGAUUCAUUAGCAUUGGUAUUAGUAAAAUAAAUUGUGAUUUUAUUAAAAUAUAAUAGAGAAAUAAAAGACAGAAAAUGGGUAAAUGAAGGGGAAAAAAAAAAAGAAUGGGGGAAAUUACAUAGGAAAAAAGAACUAGAGUUUCCGCCUCUCAAUACACCAACCAAAGAAUUACAACGCAGAAUGUGGAAUGUGAUCAAAAUCAAUCUAGAAGCUCAAAGCAAUGGCUGCCCAUCCCAACGCCAACCCUCCAAUUAUCUUCUUCAUGUUCUUCAUUGCCUCUGCUCCACUCUGCAUUUGUUUAUAAUAACUCUUUAAAUGUUACAAAUAAAUAUAGUUUUAAGAUGAAAAAAAGAUCCAUUGGUCGGUCCUUUUUCAGAAAAGUAAAUGAACUAGCUCAACGGUGCAUCCUUUAGACGCGAUUAAAAGAAAAACAAGAUCUCUCUACAUUUAUGCAGUGUAAAAGUUCAGAUCUGAAAGCGCAUUGUUAUAUGAUGUAAGCUACUGAAGCGUUAGUAAAGCGAAGAGAAUGUACCUCAUCGGCAGCGACAGAUGGACCGGGAGAGGAAGCAUCGAGGCUAGGUCCAGGAGCUCCAGUUGGUGGAGCGGGAGGUCCAAGCAUAUCAGGUGAAGGAGCCGGAGCAUGGUGUUUCUUGGAUUUCUUGCUUUUGCUCUUGCUCUUGCUUGGAGCUGGGGCGGGAACCUCAGCAGUAGUUGGUGCCGCAACAAGAGCCGGAGGAGAGGCCGAGCUCUCUGGUGGAGUCGUCGGUGCAGCAACGGGAGGCGAUUUGGCUGGAGGAGAGCUCACAGGUACUGGAGCCGGUGGAGAACUCACCGGAGCAGCAGCCGGAGGAGAAGAAGCCGGAGCAGAUUUAGAUGGGGCUGGAACCGCCGCAGACUUCUCCGGAGCCGCAGCCGGUGGUGAAGAAGUUGGUGGGGAAGUGGUAGGGGCAGCAGUUGGAGCCGGUGAUUUAGGUUUGCUAACAGGGGCAGUAGCGGGAGCAGUGGCAGGAGUAGUCGCGGCCGGCGGAGCUUUAGUAGGUGAGGCUGCCGGAGAUUGACCACCGACAGCGGUCACCACAAAGCAAAUCAAAGCAACGGCAAAUGCACUUCUACGAUCCAUUUCUUGAAGACAGAGGGAGAGUGAAGUAGUAACAGAAACUAAUGACAACGGGACGACAGACUCUCAAUAAAUAUAUAAAUAAAUGAGGGAGAGAAUAUCAGAAAAAAUGAUGAUUAUAAAAAGAAAAGAAGAAAAAGUUCGGAACGUGUUUGGAUCAGAAAUAGCCGUUGGAUGAGAAGCUAUUUCGGGGCCCACCGUCAUCGAACUAUCAUACAAAGACACAUUGUAAUGUGGCGAUCAAGACUCGACGACAGUCUGGAUUGGGGCCCACAUACAUGACCAUGUAAUUUGCUGUAACAUUACCUGAUUAGGGUAAACUACAGCCAAGGUCACUGAACUAUUAAUAAAUUUACAUUUCAGUCAUUUAACUUUAAAAAGUUACAAAAUAGUCACUAAAUCAUUCGGAAGUUUUUAUUUAAUUCAUUGAGAUAUUAAAUCUCUGUUAUAUGGCUUUCUUUAUUCACACGGCCUACACCAAUCAAAAGAUCUUAUUCUCCUUCUCUUCAACAAUUUAAUUAUUUUCAUAGAAUAAUUUUGAAUGUUAUGAAUUUACGAAUCAAAAUUCAAACAGUUUUCUUCUCUGAUCUCUUACAUUGACUAUUAGAUUGACUUGGAUCUGAGGUAUGUUCUUCUACUAUUUGAUAGGUACUAAUCCAUUGUACCAAUCGUCGAAUCAUUGCUUGGAGCUCGCUAGCCGAAAUUUAAAAAAAUACUUAAUAACCCAAUGACUUAAAUAAAUACUUUCAAAUAGUUCAGUGACCAUGUUGUAAUUUUUUAAAGUUAAGUGACCAAAAUAUAAAUUUACUAAUAAUUUAGUGACUUAGGUGUAGUGUACUCUAGUAAUUAAUAAUAUAAUAAAUGUUUAAUUCUAUCCUUGGGGUUUUGAAAUUUAGGCUUUCUACUUUUGAUUUUAAAAAUUUAGUUUCUCUUCAUUUUUAUUUAAAAGUUAAAAGUCCAAUUCACAAAAGCUUGGUUAAAUUUGAAUAUAUAUCAUUUUAAUAUUCGAAGACUUGAUCUAAAAAUAAUAAUAUAUAUUUAAAUUGAAUGGAAAUGUUAUUAAUUAAAUUUUAAUUUUUAAAUCAAGCAGGAGAGAUAGGGAAUUAAAAGGUGAUAGAUUAAAAUUUAAAAGCUGAAAGAGUAAAGGGGUUGGAAAAAAUUAAACCUACAAUAACUAAUUGAAUGAUACAAUUGUUAUGAAGUAGUGAGACAGCUGGACGUAGGGAGGGUGGGGUAUUGCUGCGCAAAGAGACAAACCAAUAGGAGGCGGUCGCGUGAUUGGGUAAAGAUGUUACGGGUGAUAUUUUGAGAUGGGUCACCGACUCACAGGCAAGAAACUGUGUCUGCAAGCAAAACUUGUCUGGAAUAACGUGACGUGUAUUAUACUUACCCUAACCUUUUCUCUUUUCGUUAAAAAUUGUCAAGUGGCUAAGGCUUUUUUUUUUUUAUCAUCUAUAUAUUAGAGUUUUAAAAAACAGUUUUGCAAAAUAGUUGAGUUGUGUAAUUAUUUCACCUCCACCCUUUGGCCUCUCUCGGUACAUUAUUAUGUAGAUGAGAGUAUUCGAUCGAAUCGAAUGAAAUUUUUUUUAAGUUAAUUAAGUUAACGAGUCUUAUUUUAUCAUUUUAACUUGAUUUAAAUUUUUUUAAAUUAAAUUGAAUAAAAUGAAAUUCGAGUCAAUUCGAAUAAAAUUAUUUGAGUUAAAUUAAAAAAUUAAACAUAUUAAAUUAAAAUCUUGUUAUACUAUAACUAACUUCAUAUUAUAGCACAUAAAUUUGAAACCAUAUAUAUUUGAAAAAAUUUUCAAAGCAAAAUAAAAAAAUUUACUUUAGUGCGAUAAACUUGAAUCAUUAAUUAACUUAUUUAUGUGCCAAAAUUAUUAUUCUAGAAAAUUUUUAAUUUUUUUAACUUUCUUUAUAUACUUUUUAGAACUUUUAGAAUUUUUUAUAAUUUUUAAGAAAUAUAAAUUUGUAAUUUAUAAAUAUUUUAAAAUUUUAAAAUUAUUUUGAAUUAUUUUGUAAUUUUUAUUGAGAGAGAGGUCAAUUUGCUUAUUUUAAAAUUGGCAAAGACCAAAAGGAUAUUUAUACCAAUAUGUUAUUCGAAUUAUUUGAGUUAUUUGAAUUGUAAAAUUCAACUCGAUUCGAACUCGAAACUCGAAUUACUUAUUUGAGUUGACUUGAAUAAUUUGAAUAACUCGAUUCAAUUAACUCAAAAUUCGAUUUUUUUUCGAAUCAAAUCGAAUUUUACUCACCCCUGUUAUUUUGCACAGCAUCACAAUAUAGAUUUUUCGGUUUUAGAAUAUCGCGAAUCCAUAUUCUUCUUCAUUGCUGUCGAGCUCAACCCUUCCACAAUCAUUAUCUAUACAUUAUCAUCAUACAUUAUAUGAAUCGCAGAAUAUAUUAUUGGAUUGUCAUAUAUAAUAAAUUUAUAUCUAUACAAUUUAAUCGAAGCUUCGAUUUUCAAUUGAUUUUACACUUCAUCUUCAGUAAUAUGAUAUCUUUUAUGAACAUCAUAUUAAUCAGACUCAAAUAUUACAUUGAUAUUUAUAUCACGAAUUUGAACAUUAUAAUUCACCACAACAAAGAACAUAUUGCCCAUUGUGUAUAAAAUUUUUGUAUAUAAUAUCAAUUUAAAUUAAAAAAAUUUAUCAAUAUAUAACUAAUAAAACAAUAAUAUCAUUCUCCCUAAUAUAAUAUCUUUAACUAUAACAUAAACAUAUUUCAUUUAAAAAAAACUAUGCUUAAUGUGAUACAUUGGAUUAUAAUAUUAUAUAAAUUAAAAUUUAUUAAAUUAUUUUUAUUUUUAAUAUUUUUAAGAAUAAUAUUGAGGGGAAAUUAAAUUAGAUUCUCAAAUAUGAAAUAAAAUAUAGGAUUUAUUUUCUAAAUAUAAGGACGCAAAUUUCAUAUAUAAAUGAUAUUAUAUAAUUAUAUUUUAUUAUAUAAAUCAUAAAAAUCCUAUUUCAAAUAAUUCUUUUUAGUUUCAUCAGUCAUUUGUUUUUAAGAUCAACAAAUUCAACGGCGUUUGUAAAAUAAAUUUUUGUACAAAUGAUUGUAAAAAGUUAGCUCAAUAAUCAAUUUUUAAAAUUUUUAUCAUAAUUUUAAUAGAUAUUAAAAUAAAAAGUAAAUAUUAAACAUAUAUAAAUUGCCAUUACAACUUACUACAAAGUAACUUAUAAAUAUAUUAUUUAUAUUUAAAAAUAAUAAAAUACAUAAAAAAAAUGGUUUGUAAUGAUAUUCCAAGAUUGACUUGCCAUUAAUUCUUCCCAAUUCAUUUUUAAUCUAAAAAUUGUCUUGGUAUAUUAACGAUAAUAGAAAUUUGUUAUAUGGGAAGAUUAAUUUAUUUAAUUACAUUUUUUGAGAAGUUAAGAGCAUAAUAUAAAAUAUUCUAUAUGCAUUAUAAAUUAUAACUGUGAUGGUAAAUAUUCUAUAUACAAUUAAAAUUACUUUAUUUCUUUAAAAAGAAUACUAGCAAUCGUUAAAAUGAAUUUUACUAAAUUGGAUGUAAUUGAAGCAUCACGAUUACACUUUUUGAUUUUUAAGGAGAGAGUGAGAAUGGAAAUAAUUACGCAAAUAAUCACAUCACAAUCUAAUUUUUAAAAAUUAUUUUUAUACAAGUUAUAAAAAACAUGAACAUGUAUGAGAGUUUGGGAUGAUUAUUACCAAAAUUUUCUUAUAUUAUAAAAAUAAUGGGUAUUUUUAAAGUUAUAACAAAAAAAAUAUUUAAAUCCUAAAAAAGUCUAAAAUUAUGAAAAAAAAAUGUUAUAAAAGUGUUAUAAUAUAUUUAUUUAUGAAAAGUUAUGGCUAAGAAGUAUAAAAAUAAUAUACUUAUUGGCAUAAUGAUUUUUUUGCCCCUCCAACUUUGUUAGAGUAUAAUGGUAACGACUCUGUUAUUGUAAGUUGUUAGUCUGUUAUUCAAAACUGUUAUGUUGUUAACAACAGUUACUAGCAACAACUAGCUCACAUAUUCUAUAAAUACUAGUGUUGUACAAUUCAAUGAAGAUAAUACAUAAAUAAUACAGAAUACCUUUUUCAAUACACAAUAUUGCUUUUACUUAGCUUACUGUAGAUAUUAACAUGGUAUCAAUCGCCUUGGUGCUGGAGACCUGAUCUUCGUUUGCUCCCAUGACUACCACUACUUCUAUUGACUCUGCCUCUGUCGAGCAUGGCUGUUCGGCGUCCACUGGUGUUCGGAUCGUUCAAUCCUUCCCUUGCCAUGACACUGUUAAAUUGGAUGAUGGAAAUUUCGUUCAAUGGCAGCAACAUAUUCGCCUGAUCAUUGAAGGUUACGAACUGACUGGUUUUUUGGAGGGCACGUUACCUGCUCCAUCGCGUUUUGUACAGUCGUCAGAGGGAUCUCUUGUUCCAAAUCCGGAUGCCUCGGCGUUCGUUCAACAUUAUAGGUUACUUGCCUCUUGGUUACUCUCCACUAUUAAUCCUUCACUAUUAUCCUCAUUUACAGAUGCUUGAACGGCGUGUGAUGUUUGGAAUACUUCCACUCGUCUCUUUGCAGCAGUCACGGGUGCAAAUUUAUCUCGCAUUUGUCACGAUCUAUACUCACUUAAGAAAGAUAACCUCUUAAUCAAAAAAUAUGUAGCAAAAAUUCAGAAUACCUGUGCCUUGAUCGAGGCUUCUGGCUUUCAGAUCUUAGAGGCAGAAAAGGUUAAGAUUGUCCUUACAGGUCUACCUCCGGAGUUUGAUGCUGUGCUUACCUUAGCAUCAUUCUCAUUUGAAACUCUACCAUUUCAACGUCUUGUUGACUUGUUAUUAGAAUAUGAGACGCGACAGAUGCAUGCAGUUCAAGAACUGUUGAUUCAUGCAAAUCUUGUGGAGUCUGUUCCGUUACCACCGAUGGUGGAUUCUGUUCAUGGUGGCCUCCUCCGUCCGGUGGUCGUGGCAAAGGAUUUCGUUCCUGCAUCCAAUGUCAUAUUUGCGGCCGAUUUGGGCAUUUAGCCUAGUGAUGUUAUUAUCGUUAUAAUCGCGAUUAUGAUGGACAACUGUCGGUGGCUCAGGCUUUAACUCCCGGUCGGUAGUCUGAGUCAGGUCUCGGCUGUUGGGUUUUUGUUUUCGUCGCAAACUCCUAGUGGGUUUGAUGGCCCUUCGACUACAGUGCCGUAUGGUUUCUUCUCUGGCAAAAAUUUUUGUGCUGCACCUCACAUGCCUAGGCUGUCCACUAGGGUUUCUAACCCCUUUGCAGUCUUUGAUGAUGGAUUUGGGCAUAAUGCCGCUAGGGCAAUGUUACAAUUUGGGCCUGGGCAUGAGUCUUCUCCUUUAGUGCCUAGGCAGGACUCAUAAUCUGGCAGUUUUGCUGCUGCUGCUAGGUUCGGGCCUGCUGCUACUAGGCCACAUGACUAUGGCUAUUAUCCUGGUCAGCCCGUGCGUGCCAGGUCAUCUAGCUCAAACUAGGAACUUGGGGGCACGUUUACUUUACUUGGGCCGCAGGCUACUAAUUUUCCAAAUGGGCCAACAUCCAAUUGUGUAAAGUUUUCUAAUUCUCUUGGACAUGGACGCGAGAUUGGGCCUUCCGGUGACGGUGAUUAUCAUGCGUCUAGGCCGUCUGUUCCUUGGCGGACCAAACUGAGGGCUCAUGUUUGCACUGAGUCUGAUCCGUGCAUUGGGCUCACUCGUCUACCCGAUUUACAUACGUCCGAUGUAUCUAAUUCUACUGAUCCUAAUAUUCACGCCACUCAAUUUAGGUCCAACCUUAAUGAUACUGGUUUCUAUAUCUCUAUACUCAUCAGAACUGCAUCCUGGUAUCCAAAUUCAAGGGCUACACACCAUGUAUGUCGCGAUGCCUUUGUGUUGAAUGACUCUACACCUUACUCAGGUACAUCCUCUCUAUUAAUGGGUGACGAGACUUCCACCAGGAUCUCGUCUGUUGGAAAUUCAGUGUUUCCUACAUAGAAUAAAUUACUUCGCUUAUCUAAUGUUUUAUGUGUACCGACUAUACAGAAGAAUCUACUGUCUGUAUAUCAGUUUGCCACUAGCAAUAACGUGUUUUUUGAAUUUCAUCUAACUUAUUGUGUUGUUAAGGACAUCAAGACUUAGAAAAUUUUGUUGAGGGGCCACAUUCGUGAUGGGUUCUAAUAUUUUUCUCCAUCGAUUGCGUCUGUUCCGUCUAUUGUGGCUCCUUCUAUUGCCAAUAUUGGACUUUAGACUCGGACUGCUAACUGUGAUAAUUUUUCUUUAUGGCACAAGUGUCUUGGUCAUCUCUCUGCUUCUGUUGUUAAAUCUGUUUUAGAUAAAUGUAAUAUUGCUUCCAAUAAAGUUUGUCUUGAUAAUGUUUAUACUACAUGCCAAAAAGGGAAGUCUCAUAAACUGCCUUUUCCAACCCCUACUACUGAAUAUACUGAUCCUUUUACUUUGGUGGUCUUCGACCUAUGGGGACCUACAUCAGUUGCCUGUAGACGUAAUCGGUAUUAUGUCUCGUUUAUUGACAUGUGCACUCACUUUACUUGGAUUUAUCUUAUUCGUUAAAAGUCUUAGGCGGUGGAUUGUUUUGUUUAGUUUCAACAAUUAAUCAAGACUCAAUUUGGUAAAAAAAUCAAACAAUUUCAGAGUGAUUGGGGAGGAGAGUUUUGCGCUUUCACGUCAGUGUUGGCGACUCAAGGGAUAAUUCAUAGACUGUCCUAUCUUCAUACGCCCGAACAGAAUGGGGUGGCUGAACGCAAUCGCCAGCAUAUUGUUGACAUGGGUAUUACAUUUUUGGCCCAAACAAAUCUUCCUAUAGAUUAUUAGAGCAAUGCAUUUUUUGUGCUAUUAUCUCAUCAAUCGUCUUUCUACCUCGGUUUUGAACGAACAAUCCCUGUACAAGGUUCUGCAUAGACAAGAUCCCACAUAUGAUCAUUUACGAAUGUUUAGGUGUUGUUGUUUUCCAUAUCUGCGUCCUUUUCUGCGUCACAAGUUGGAUUUUCGUUCUUAACCUUAUAUGUUUAUAGGAUAUAGUUCCCAACAUAAAGGGUAUCAAUGUCUCACAGCGGAUGGUAAGGUCGUUAUUUCUCAUCAUGUUGUGUUUGAUGAACACCAUUUUCUGUUUCCUACGUCUGUUACGGGAGGUUCCAGAUCUUCAUUAGGUCAAUCUCUCUCACCAACAUAUGUUCCUCUUGUUCAGCCUGUCUGCUCUUGACCCACGGAGUCCUCAUCCGCUCAACCUCUUGCGUUAACCUCACCUCUUGGUUUAUGUCCCUCUCUUUCUAACUCUAAAGUUCCUCAGGUUGUUUUGGGAUCUGUACAUGAGCUCUGUCCUCUCUCCUCUUUACCUGACAAUGACGGUGUACCCAAUCCAACCACGAUUGCUUCCAAUAUUCCAGUUUCUCCACUAUUUCGUCAGCUCUUUUGCACCUAACAAAUACUUAUCCGAUGGUUACUUGGUCUAAGGCUGGCGUUUUUAAGCCCAAGGCUCUGUCUGUUGAAUCUGUUGAGCCUCACACGAUUGAGGAAGCCAUUUUUACCACCAAAUGGCUUGCCGCUGCUCGGGCUGAGUAUGAUGCCCUCAUUCAUAACUCCACCUGGAACUUGUUUCGUUACUAAAUAAUUGUAAAGUGAUCUGAUGUAAAUGACUUUUCAAAGUAAAAAAAUCUUGAUGGCACGAUUGCAUGUCGUAAGGCUUAGUUAGUAAUUAAAGGAUGUUCUCAGGUACCUGGAUGCGAUUUCAAGGAAACAUUUAGUCCAGUAAUAAAACCUGCUACUAUUCGAAUCAUACUAUCUAUUGUUGUUUCCAAGGGUUGGCAACUUCGUCAGGUGGAUGUGAAUAAUGCCUUUUUAAAUGGUGAUCUUACUAAUGAAAUGUUUAUGCAUCAACCUCCAGGGUAUGUUCAAUAUGGUUCUAAUGGUAAACAUUUGGUCUAUCGUCUGAAGAAGGCUUUGUAUGGACUAUGUCAGACUCCGCGUGCUUGGUUUGAUAAAUUGAAGUGCUUUCUCCUUUCUGUUGGUUUUCUUCUAUUAAAGUCUGAUACAUAUUUGUUUAUUAAAGUUACGCCUAACUCCACUCUUUAUGUUCUUGUGUAUGUGGAUGAUAUUAUCAUUACUAAAAGCAUGUCUACCUGUAUAAAUAGCUUUGUUCAGUAGUUGAAUAAGGAGUUCUCACUUAAACAUAUGGGUGAUCUCCUUUAUUUUCUAGGGAUUAAGGUUACUCGUUUUGCCGAAGGGUGUCUUCAUCUAUGCUAACGAAAGCACAUUCGCGAUCUGCUAGAUAGGAGUUCCAUGACUCAUGCAAAGAGUGUUCAUAAUCCUAUGAUUACUUCGUCUCCUCUAUCCAAGGAUGAUGGGGAUCAUCUUCAUGACCCUACUGAAUACAGAAGUCUUGUAGGUGCUUUACAGUAUGUGGUCCUUACUCGACCUGAUAUUGCCUACGCGUUAAAUCGCAUAUGUUAGUUCAUGCAUGCGCCUACUGCUGUCCAUCUGGUUACAUUAAAAUGAAUCUUGUGGUAUUUAUGUGGUACCCUUGAUUAUGAGAUUGUUUUUCAUCAAUCUUCUCAACUUUUGUAACGCCUAAAAAUUUCUAAUUUCGUUAUUAUGAAAAUAUGACACAAAUAUCUAUCAACUUUAGUGGUUAUGUGUUCUGAAAGUGUCUGGGAGGUCCCAAGUUUGAGCCUUCGCUUGGGAAAAUUUUAGUAUUUUGAAUGAAUUAGGCCUUACUCUUGUUCAGUAGGCUUCUAUUUGAUUGUUGGGUAAAUUACAUCAGAAUGAAUUCAUGAGAAAGGUAUAAUAAACUUUGUGAGACAAGGUCAGAAUGAAUUUGGGUUCCCCUGUUCUGACUUUGAAAAAUCAUGAAAAUUGGAGAAAAAUAAUUGGGGGUUAAAAUUUACAUAUUUAAAUUAUUGUUGAGACUAUUUUCAAUAAAAACAAAUUGAAACAUCAUCCAAUUUUUUUACUAAGAGAUAAUUAAUUUUUAGCAAAGAAGGGACGAAGCUGUCAGACAGCAGAACAGGGGUAAGUUUGAAGAUUUUACUGUACUUAUUGGCAGAACAAAAAAUUUUAAAAAUUUUAUGGUAAGGUAUUUGAGUCUAGUUUCAAAACCAUCAAGUGGAUCUUAAUUCGGAAUUCUGUAGCUCAAUAUAUAAAUAAUUUAGUAACAGUGACUCAAGUAGACAACUUUGAAGGAACAUAUAAGUAAAUAGUGAAAACAUAUAUGAAUAAUUAACUAGCACGAGUUACAUUAAAAAUGGAUCAUGUGGCCAAGGCCAAUUUGGGCCGAGUGGGCCACAUGGGCGUGUGAGCCUAUUUUUCUAAAAAGUUCUGUAAGGUUGCACGGGUCGCCCAAGUCAACUAUGGACCUACUGAAGGGUCGGUAAGCUUUACUUAGACCCCUAUCUGUGUGAUCUGUGUGAUUUCUAUACCGAGCAUGACUUAUGAUAUCUGAAUGUAUGUACUAUUAAUUGCAUAAUGGCAUGACAUAUUUUGUAUGCUGCAUUGCAUCGGGGUAGGUUGAUGAUAUUUGGAGAAAGUGUCUGAAAGGCUAUUAAGUCUAUUAUCUGCAGCUCAGCUGCAACCUUAUGAUUAUGUGCCGCAUUUCGGUACAGCAUGGUGUGUAGGGAUGAGUGGGUUGAUUUAAUCCCCACAUGGUGUGUAGGGUUGGACGAAGAUGGUGUGUAGAGGCUGGUGGGUAGGAUUCUGAUUUACUGUAUCUGCAUUUUGUAUCUGAUAUAGGCCAAGGCCCUAAUGCAUUUCUAAGACUGUAUCUGAAUGGGUUAAGGCCCAAACUGAUUCUGUGAUGGACACAGGCCUCGGACUGUAUCUAACUGAAUUCUAUUGAUUAUUUGUAUGCAUGUUUUCUGUGGGGAUUACACAUUGAGUUUGCGAAAACUUACCCUUUCUUUGUUUAAUCUAUAUAGGUAAUCCCCAAACUUGACGGGUCGAUGCAGCGGAGGACUCAACGGUGGCCACACGUAAAUUUUAGACUAUUUUCCAUAAUUUCUAGAAUUUAUUACUUAUUUGAGGUUUUUGAUGUAUCUUCUAGACUAUGAACUGGAUGGCUUUAAAUUUGAGACUUUAUACUAUUUUUUAUGGAUUUUUUUUAAAAACUGCAACUCCACAAAACACGAUUUUUUUCCUAAAAAGCUAAGGUUCUUCGUAAGUAGAAACAAUUUUCCCUAAAUUAAUUGGUUACAAAAGCUUUCAAUAAGAGACAAGUUUUAAAGUAAAUCAACUAGUUUUUUUUUCGAAUUAAAUAAAAGCUAACUUACUGUAACGGUUUUUAAAUUCGACAAUAUUAUAUUUGAAUCUCUUUCCAUGUGACAUCGCCAGAUUCGACCAUAACAUCUAGGCCGGGUUUAGGGUGUUACAUUUAGUGGUAUCAAAGCCAGGUUGCAAUACUCAGCUGUGGAUUUGGGUUUUAAAACUUGGUUUUAAAGAGAUGAUUUUUAAAUGGUUUGAAAUAUUUUUGACUGAGUAUGUGGUACACUGAGUCUUCGGCGCCGAUUCUGUAAAUGUUCUAAAAACUUUGGUAAGUUUUUGAAAAUAUGAGUAGCAUGUUCUGAAACUACUAUAGGUAGUACACUGUACUAAGAACACUGUAGAUAGAAUAUACUAAAAACAGUAGCGAAACUGAAAACUAUAGUAAGUCUGCGAUUCGUGUUAACAAACUCUAAACUUCUGAUACUAUUUUGCAUAAAAUAUCUACUAAUAGAUAUCGAAACUGUAAUUGAUUCAUAAAACUGUUAACACAGAUAAGCUACGAAUUCUACGAUGAGUGCACGAGGUAUCCGCGGACGGGUACUAAAGGCCGAGGUAGAGGCUGUAGAGGGGCUCGAGCUGAGUCCCGGACCAUGAUCACCUCUAAUUGUGAGUCUAAAUAUUAUAAGGUCGGUGUUAAUUAUGCAAAUAAAAAAAUUUCUUGCAAUAUAUUGUGGUGUAUGAUACCAUUUGAGAAAAUAGUGUUAAACACAAGCACAAUAAAACUUUGAUUUGAAACAUUUAAGGCUUCAAAAUGCGGUUGAGAAGGUAUUUGUUGUUCUGAAAACAUAUUUAUCAUAUUAACAACAUCACUUUUGUAUAACAUAUAAAAAAAAAGUUGGAUCGUACUAGCAUGUUGCAUAUUUCACAAUUUUAAUCAUAGGUGGAAUUGAGAUAAUUUAUAUUUCAAAAAGUACAUGGAAGAAGAACAUCUUGAUAAUCUUAAAGAUACAAAUUCAAAUGAUGAUUAACUCAAUUAAAGAGAAAAGACCAACAUAUGAUAAUAAGGUGCAUAUUUUAAAUACUAAAGAGGGAAUAACCCAAUAAAUAUGAACUAGAACAAUUAAAAAAAUUGUAUAUGGUUUAUUUUUCUUGUUUUUUUUUAGUAAUCGUAUUAUCAAUUACAUUUUUAGACUAACACAAUGCAUAUGAUUAUUUUAUUUUAAUUUUUGUUACUUAUUUAUAAAUUAUUUUUAUCAUACUAAUAAAUUUUUAUAGUAAUUAAUAUUUUUUAAAUGAAAUUUAUGUAACUGUGUAAUUACAAUUUGUACUACCAAACAUGACAUAGGAAAUUACGAUAUAAUUACUCUCUGUUAACUAAAUACGUCUAGGAAAUUACAAUUUUCUUAUAAUUACAAAAGAGAGUAAUUACUAUCCUAAUAAUUACAUUUUCAUUCAAUUAUUUUGUGCUAUCCAAACAAACCCACAUGUUUAGCUUAAGUACUCACAUGCACAUACAUACGCCAUAUUUCAUACAUAAAUCAUUUAAUGAUAAUUUGACAACUUGAGAUUAUGAAAUGUAAAAGUGAACACUAUCACCAUACAUUGGAUACACGGAUCUCCAUCACACCAAUAACUCAAAGAGUCUAACAUGUCCCAUAAGUGUAGUAUAAUGCCAAACACUCCCUAACACACCAACAUGUCCAAAUGAAUGGAGCUUAGCUCCACAUUCCCUUAUCUCUCCAACUUGUCCUAGGGCUUCAAUGCCCAAAUCACAAAAUACAAAGGUGAGUGCUCACAAUCCUAUCGCAUGCCAACUAUAUCAAAUGAUUUUAAGAGAUCACAAGGCCAAAACAUCCACAAUUACACAUAUUUAAUUACUACUUUAGUGCACAUUGUCUCUAUUUAUAUUCGUCAAUUUACAUCACAAACUUGUACACAAUGCAUACUUAUCGAAUUCACAUUUAUUUGCGUUUUAAGUGUCACAACAAUGCUCCUUGAGCCAUCAUAUAUCAGACCACAUUUGUGUGCACUAAAAUCAAUUUAUCGCAUCCAAAUAUUCACCCACAUUACCUAUCAUAAGAACCUCACGUUCCUCAACUCGACAUACAUUAAGUAAAGUUUUACAUUAAGGAAAAAAGUAUAAAGAAGGCUUACACUCAGAACUUAGGAUAGGAUUUUAGGCUAUUCCUAAGUUCCCGAUUAACUCUACGAAUCGUGCAUACUAGCAGUGACUUCGGACACUCACCAAUCACGCUUCCGCUUAUUAGUCGAAAGCUCAAACUAGGUUUUCUUUACCUUUUGCCUUGCUCGUAGAGGGCUCCAACGAUUUUGAAACUUUUAACUAGUUUAGCCAAAACUCAAAUUUCUUAAUCUAGACCUGUUCCUAUUGCUUAAAAUCGAUUCCAAACACCUAGUUAUUCAUUUAAGAGUAGAUCUCAACCUUUAAAACACCCAGAAUUUUCAGAUUUAUGUUUCUGAAAAAUUUCAACGUUCAUGACUACUUUGAACGAAAAAUCAUUAAAUCCUUCAAAUCUCUUAAUGAUUGAUUAAAGUAAGUUUAAAAACCUUCUAAUCUCAUCAAAACAAGUCAAAAAACACCUAGAAAAAACAAUUUAAUUGGAAAACCUGAAUUUCACCAUUAAAGAUCCCAAUUUUGACUAAAACAUGAAAUUCUCUUGGCACGAAUCAAAAAUUGAUUUGAGUAGCUAAAAUAUAUCAAAACUUAGUAAGGAAACAAAAAUUUAAUUUAAUCAAGAAGAAGAAUGAAUGAAUGAAAGGUUGAUUUCCAGAAAAUUCCUUUGGAAAUCGAAUGAGAAAAUUGAUAAUAUUUUUGGGGGGUUUUGUUAAAAAUUCAGAGAGAUUUCAGAGUUUUGGAGAUGAGAAAAUCACAAAGGUUAAGCCAAUUUGAGAGAAAAUUAGGGAUUUGGGUUUAAGAGAAAUUUUAUUUUGAAUGUUGCAAAAGAUAAGGAGAUGUGAGUGGCUGCAAUUUGAAACCCAAUUUACAAAAAUUGGGCAAUUUGCCUUUUUGGUCACUCCUAGUGUAACACCCCUAACCCAUAUCCUUUGCCAAAACAAGGUUACGGAGCGUUACCAGAGUUUACAGAUUAUAUAACAUACAUUUCAUAUCAUUUAGCAUUCAUAUUAGAAAUCAAUCAAAAUUGAUCAUAUUGUCCCUUAUGUGAGCCCUCGAGGCCUAAAAUAGACAUUAGAAACAUGUCGGGACUAAACUAGGUACUCAGAGAAUUUUUCAGAAAAUAUUACAAUUUUUCAAAGGUGUAGGGGACACACGCUCGUGUGGUCAGGUCCUGUGACUCACACGGUUAAGAGACACGCCCAUGUCUUAGGCUGUGUAGGCAUUCGAAAUAAAGACACACGACUGUGUCCCAGCCCAUGUCCAAACUUAGGAGAUCUCUGACUUGGGUCACACGGCCAAGACACACGCUUGUGUGCUAGGCAGUGUGAGAAUUUUGUUUUGCAAUUUUAAAGAUGCAGGGGACACAAGCCCGUGUCUCUACCCGUGUAGACAAAAAUAGACCAUUUUCCAAGCCAUAUUUUUUACCCCAAUUGUCAUCAACCUAACUUACAUUUUUACACAAUAAUAAGACAUAACAAGGCAUUCAAAUCAAGCCAAAACCAAGUCUUCUACAUAACAUAUCACCACAUAUAUCUAAGUAUCCAUACUUACCAAAUUAACCAAAUACACAUAUAUGCAUAUUUGUACCAAAUAUACUAUCUCAAAAAAAUCAUCAAUAUGCCUAUAUGAUUUCCAUCAUUCAACCAUAUCACACACACAUCAAACAUGUUAAGGCCAUAUAUAUACAUAUCAAAAUGUAUCAACCAGCCAUUCAAAUGGCUAAUCACAACAAAACAUUUGCAUGCCAUCAUUGGCCAAGUUAACCUAUACGUGUCAUUAUAACCAAAAUUGAUUUACUAAAUAUACCGAAAAGGGCCGAUGGAUAGUGUGAAGUUGCUCUGACCAGCUUCCAACCAAAAUGAGCUUCCGAAUUACUAUAAAACAGGGAAAAUAAAACAGAGUAAACAUUUAAUACUUAGUAAGUUUGUAUAACAUGAAAUUUAACUUACCAUUUAAUCACAAUUAAGGUAAGCAUUCAAGGCAUAUUCCAACCAAAUUGGCCAAAAGCCCUAACACAUAUCCUCAUCAUGUUAGCCAAGUAAUCACAUAUAAUAACCCUUAAUCAUGGAUGAACAAGAUCUUCAAGCAAGUUCCACAUUCAAGGGCUUUUACGAUUUUGUCCCUAGGCUCAAAAAAUGAAAUUCAUACAAUUUAAUCCUUAUUUCAAGCCUAGCUGACUUUCAUAUAUAACAACAGUAGCCCAUGAAUUUCAUAAAAUUUAGAAUUUUUCCAUGAAUUUAUAAUAUUUUCAAUUUGGUCCCUAAAUCAUAAUUUCAUCAAAAUUCACUUUACAGAAGUUAUUUAGCUAUCAACAACCUUUCAUUUUCUACCAUAAAAUUUCAUAAUUAAACUAUACUCAUCCAUGGGAAAACCCUAACACUUUAAUAGUUUUAAAAUUAAUACCCAAGAUAGCUAGAUUAAGCUAUUACGAUUUCGAAAACAUAAAAAUCAUUAAAAACGGGACCAAAAUACUUACGUAAUUAAGCAAAAUAAGCUUGCUUGAGCUCAACUCUCAUGGCUAGGGUUUCCAUGUUUUAUUUUAGGAAAGAUGAUGAAAAUGAUAUUAAUUUAAUUAAUUAUUUCAUUUACCAUCAUUAUUUUAUCAUCUUUCCAAAAUUAACCCUAAUUCUUUAUUCAAUUUCUAAUGAUGAAUAAUCAUCCUUAUCUGCUAACUCUUCUAAAUGGUCUAUUUUUCAUAUAAGGACUUCAAAAUUUAAAUUCCAUAGCUAUUUGAUACCUUUAGCUACUAGAAUUCAACUUUUGCACUUUAUGCAAUUUGACCCUCUUUAUCAAAUUAGACAUGUAAACGAUAAAAUUUCUUAACAAAAUUUUGAUAUGAUAUUUCUAUCAUACUGUAGACCAUAAAAUAAUAUUAAAAUAAAUUUUAUUUCGACCUCAGAUUUGUGGCCCCUAAACCACUGUUCCGAUUUCACUGAAAACGGGCUGUUACACCUAGCUUUUCCCUUUUUCUAAUUAGACCUCAAAAUUGAAAUUUUUUUUUAGCUAACAAAUAAAUUAAGAACUUGAUUAUGAAACUCACAUACUUAAAUUACUCACUUACGACCUUAUUUUCCUUUAUCUGACACAACCUCCAGCUAAAAAACUCGAUUCUUCUAACCCGUUCUUCAGAGUGUGACAGCUCUUCCCCUCUAAAAAGAAUUUUGUCCUCGAAAUUUUCCUGAUGACACAUCAUUCGCUUAAUCACAAAACCUGUUAUGUUUUCCUUUAAAACAACCACCACGCUUUCGCUGCACAACUCAGAUUUCUUUUUAACUUUUUAGGGUUUUUUAUGAAGAUCCUAUUCACUACCACGGACUGUCUUUCGGUGACUUCACUAUUAGUUUCCUUUAUUCUCUAUGAUACUCUCAUUUGAAGAACUCGUAAUCAUAGUUCCUAAUUUAAUAGCCUUUAUCUGGAUUCUUUGCUUAUUAGUUAAAUUGCUAAAAAUUUACAAAGGCAUAGAUCCUAAAUCUACCAAUGAGAAUAAAUGGAUUGAUUACAAGGAAAAAAUACCCGCAAUCUCGUUGAUAGAAUCCUAAUCUUGUGACUUCCUAAUAGCAUACAUGCGAGCUGGUCCUUCGGUCUCCACCUGAGUAGUAACGAUAUGAGCAGCAUCCCACAGCCCAACCGGUCCCACAUUACCACCUCUACCUCUGCCACGACCUUGAGCAUGCACAGGUACAGGUGCAAAACUCCGAGUCUACGAAACCUCAACUCUAUUUGGACAAUCCCUCACCAAGUGUUCUUUAGAGCCACACUUGAGACAUCCUCUUGUCAAUUUUCGGCACUCUUCAGAAUGUCUACGCUCAUAAUGUCCACAAUAUGGCCAUCCAAAUUCUCUUGACAACCCACCAGUGCUAACCACCACACUGCUCUACUGCUUAGAUUGACUUGGUAUAAACUUGUGUCAUGCACUCCUAUCAAAACCCUAAAUAUCAUGGCCUCUCUUAGACGGUCGUCUAGAUCUUUUAGAACUAUUAAAGGUUCUUUUCCCUGAUUCAGUCACCACUGAGCACGAUGGCUCAGCUAAAGUUUCCUCAAUAGCUUUGGAUUUCUCAACCAUCUCAUCGAACAACUCAAUAUUUUAAGCUACCGAAUAAACUCUAAUCUCCUGAUUAAGCCCAAAACAAAACCACUAGUAUCAGUCUUUCUUAGUAAGUACCAUCUCAAGAACAUACUGGUUGAGUCACACAAAUUUCGGUUCGUACUCAGCCACAGUCAAACUACCUUGAACCAGGUCUAUAAAUUCAAGGUUACGGGCUUCCAAGUACUGCUCACCCGUAAACUUCCUUUUAAACACUUCUAAAAAAUAAUCUUAAGUCAAACAGUCUGCAAUAGUACCUCUCUUCAAUGUAUUCCACCAACGGUGGGUUACUCUGUCGAGUAGGGACAUAGUACAUCCCAACUUCUCCUCGCCAAUAGUGGACAUGUGAUCGAGGAUCCUCUCCACACUUUCAAGCUAGUAUUCCACUAUAGUUGGAUCAACUCCCUUUAAUUGAAUAAAUUAUCGCUUAUUGCCCGCAGACAUUCAAGUGGCAGUCCCCGAUUGGAAGGAGCAGGGUUGGCAUCUACAAUCCUCUGAAAUACCCCAAUCAGGGCUUGCAUCAGAAGGCCAACACUCUCAUCUGGUACAUUUACUCUAUGAGGCAUCACAAGAGGUGCAGAGGAUGUACUAUCCUCUUGAGCGUUCCCAUUCACAUUAACACGUCUACGAGGCAUAUUGUAUCUACUCUAACAAACACAAUCAACCAAGAGUGUGAGUGGCGGGAAAUGAUCCAAGGCAUGUUCCUGAAAGGAAACAUUUAAAUAAAGGAAAUGUGUUCCCAAUCCUACCCCCCAAAAAAACAAUUUCAUAAUAACUUCAACAGAGAUAUUCAAGUCAAACAGUUUAAGUAAUAUGAAAAUCUAGGUACAUGGGUUACACCCUAGUCCCGAAUACUGACAAACUUAGGUCUAACUCUUAGAAAACCUAGGCUCUGAUACCACCAAACGUAACACCCCUCAUCUGGCCUGGUCGUCAAACCCUAGUAAUAGGAUGCUACAAUCGCUAUUGAAACUUAGGCUCCGUUUGUUUCACUGAAAAUAGCUUUUGGAAAAUGAUUUCUGGAAAAUAACUUACUUUUCUAGAAAAGCUAAUAUUUUCUGGUGUUUGGAUGAAUCUGUAUAAAAUAUUUUCUUUUGUUUGGCAGGUUCUUUAAAAAUAUUUCAUAAAAGUCGUUUUCAAUUAAACAAACAUACAUUUGAGAUUUUUUUUAUUUCAUUUUCUAAUUGAGUUUAUUUUAUAUCUAUAAUUUUAUAUUUUACAUUGUUUUUACAUAUAUUAAAAAUAUUUUGUUAAAUUUAGGUUCAUUGCAACGAUUAUUUUUAGUUACAUGACUACCAACUGAGUAUUUUUNNNNNNNNNNNNNNNNNNNNNNNNNNNNNNNNNNNNNNNNNNNNNNNNNNNNNNNNNNNNNNNNNNNNNNNNNNNNNNNNNNNNNNNNNNNNNNNNNNNNNNNNNNNNNNNNNNNNNNNNNNNNNNNNNNNNNNNNNNNNNNNNNNNNNNNNNNNNNNNNUAUUUUAACAUUUAUACUACAAAAUAUUUAUUAUUAAUAUAUUUAUAAUUGUAAUAAAUAUUUAGUAUUAAAAUAUUAAUAUUGGUAUUUUUUCAAGUGAAUAAUAUUAUUUAAAAUUAUUAUUUUUAAAAUUUACUAUUAAAAUAAAAUUUAAAUAUUAAAUAAAUUAUUAAAAAUAAUAAAUUAUAUUAAUAAUUUAUUAUAUGACUAAAUAUAAAUAAUUAAAUACGUAUUUUUAAUAAUACUAAAAAAUAUAACAGUUUCUAUUAAUAUUUUAAAUAUUUUAAAUAUUUUAAAAAUAAAAAUAAAAAUUAUUAUCAAUAUAAUAAUAUUAAACUUGAUUUAAGUUAAUUUUUAUAUAAAAGUAAAAUUAUCUAUUGAAAAGCUCUUUUCCGGAAAAUGACUUACGCUUUUCAAAAAGGUAAGCCAUUUUACAAGGAAAAAGGCUUAUUUUUCGUUGACUUGUAAGUCAUUUUCCGUUGACGAAGCUGUUUUCUGUGAAACAAACACAGGAAAAUGCAGAAAAUAUUUUCCGUAAAACCUUUUAUAUGUAAAUAAACGGACCCUUAUACACAUGCACAGAUAGCUUCAAAUAAGAACAACAACUACUACAUUCAAUAAUAAAAAAGGGCGGUCCUGACUAGUUAAACAUUAUACGACACUAGAAACAAUUUUAUCCGUAAAUAGGGUCCAUUUUUUUAAAAGUCUUAAAGAAAACAAUGUAGGUAUCGAUACAAAAUAGUAGGUAUUGAUAUAUAGUAAAUUAGGUAUUGAUACUGAUGUAAAAAUUGAUACAUUUUUAGCUCUCUGUCAAAAUUUUUUUAAACCAUUUUAUCGAUACUUUGGCAAGAGUAUUGAUAUUUCAAGAAAUACUCGUGGUUGGGUAUCGAUACAAAAUUGGGUUAUUGUUAAUUUUUAAAAACAUCCCAACCUCAUGGUAUCGAUAAUUGUGUCCUGAGUAUUCAAUAAUGCCUUUAUUCAAAGUGUUCAAAAAUUAUAAAACCACCUAUUCAAAAGUUUAUUUCCUUGCUAAGAUCACUUCCUUGGCCACACCAUUCACACCGAAAGUGCUACUUAUCUGCAAAAUUUUAAUGUGAAGUGUGUGAGCU
rnacentral:lncRNA from 1 species